rnacentral:lncRNA from 1 species
CAAACAAAUCCCAACCCACACCAUAUCUCAAUAAGUCAGAAACUUGUAUGACAUUACCUUCACUGUAUAGACCACAAAGACGGAGCAGAGAUUUUGCCUCCUCACUUUCCAAGAAGUCAUAACUCAAUUUUAUGGAGGUGUACACAUUUGCUUGCAUGCCAUGAAUUUCUCUUGCAUCCGAUCUUCUUAGCUGAUUCAAUGCAUCUUUCCAAAAGUCAAGCUCCUUAGUUUUCAAGGCAUUUGCAACUGUACUCAGUGCAACAGGCAAACCUCCGCAUCUUUCAACGAUCUCAUUGGCUGUACUUUGAAAAGCAGAUAUUUUAGUUGAAUCACCCACUAUCUCCUCAAAUAACUGCAAUGCUUCCUUUCGUGGCAAAGCAUCGAUCGGGAAAUUUUUCUGAGAAUUCAUAUCAAUGCACAAUAAAUCUCGACUUCUAGACGUCAAUGUUAUUGUGCAUCGUCUCUGAUCAUCCUUUUUAUCUUUAUCAUCAACAUCCCUGGAAGGAAUUCCAACUUUUUCGAACUCGAGUUUUUUCCAAAUAUUAUCCAAUAUAAUGAGGACCCGCUUCUCUUUCUUCAAUCUUUCACGCAAUCGAUCCGCUCGGUCGAAUAUACUCUCAUUCAACUCAAACUUUAUGCCUAAAUCAGAAGCAAGUUUCUUUUGAAUUUCCUGAUGAUCUGGGGUCUGUGUUACCUCAGCCAUAACGACCUUAUCGAACAACUUUUCUUCCAUCACUUGCCUUGCAACUUGCUUGACUAGCGUGGUUUUACCCACGCCGCCCAUGCCGUAGACCCCAAUUAUGUUGAGCUUAUCAUCCUUCAACGCCUCCACAACAUCUUGAAAUACUUUCAUUCUUGAAUCAAAGGCCUCGUAAUCUUUCACUUCCAUUUGUUCUGUACUCUCUGGAGCAGGACGGUAGGAAACAUUAGAGAAGUUUCCUUUUCCCACGAGACUAGCGGCAGCUUCUGCGGCCUUUGCUGCUUGUUUACUAAGCUGGUAACGAGAAAUCAAGUUGGGGCACAACCCUUUGAAGCAGGACUUCUUAGCUCUAUCUUCAUCAUCAAUGAUGGAUUUUGCAACCCCUUCACUGAUGAAUUCAUCAACUUUAUUUAGCCAGUCUGUGACACCCUCAUAAAUCUCAUCCCCUUGUAGUCUAGCAUGAUUAACAGGUUGUUGCACCGUUUCUCUUCUAUAUCCCAGCUGCUUCACUUGAUCUUUUAGGCCAUCUAUGUAGCUCUGGUACUUGAAAACAUAAGAUAUCUGCCGUAUAAUCGGUUUGAACACUGACUUUGCACCUUCUGAUACGAUGCUGGAAAAAGCAGCCAGACCCACUUCUGCCAUUGCCUGCUACUUAACAAAUCUAAUAAUAUGUCAAAGAAAGGAAUACAAAUAAAUAAAAAUGAACUAAAGGGAAAGACAGAGAAAGAAAAGAUUGCAAACAGCAUCGCGAUAUUGAUCUUGAACCAACUGAUAUCUAAAUAGAGAAUUUCUUUCUUCCAUCUUAAGGAUCAGAGGUUUCGCUAUUAACAGAAAGGUAUCCUUCAAGGAAAGUGGAUGGAAAUUAAGAAAGAACCGUUAUCAAGAUCAAGUAUUCAGCUGCUAAAAAUAAAUGAUAUGACUUAAGAAAAAUAAAUGAUAUGACUUAAGAAAAAUAAAUGAUAUGAUUAAGAAAAACCAGAGAAUUUUUUCCUAGGAAAGUUGAUGGAAAUUAAGAAAGAACCGCUAUGAAGAUCAAGUAUCAGAGAUUCUGCUACUAAAAGAAUAUUACAGGUUUUAGAACAAGUGCACCUCUUUACCAGGUCUGGGAUCAGAGUUGAUAAGCUGCUGUACUCACCUUGAAUAUAGAAGAAAAACAGGUGUCAAGAUCAAGGAGAUUAUGCUAUUAAUAGAAAUUAUCAAAGGAUUUAGAACAAGUUCACCUCUUUAAUUAUCCGGGAUCAGAUAGUUGAUGAGCUUCUCUUCUUGGCGUUGAAUAUUUAAGAAUAAUUUUAAUGAGCAAAAAGAUCACUGGUAACUGCUGAAAAAUGAGUGAGAAAAGAGUUGAUAAGAGUAAUAACAAUGAAUUGAAUAAGAAAGAGACUUAAUCAUGCACCCCCUUUCCUAUCAUGUAUUUGGCUACUGUUGCCUUGUUGACGCAUGUAUAGAAUAGUCAUAUGUAUUUGGUUUUUUUCGUUCACAUGCACUUUAAUCAUUAGUGACCUCUUUCAUGAAGAAUUAAACUUGUAAUGACCAAAAGACGAAGCUGCGGUGUAUUGUCGGACCCAAUUAAGUUGAAGAAAGCACUAGUUCACGACCUUACGUUUGGAUAUAUUCUAAAGAAAUAAUUAAGUUUGAUAAAAGAUAAAGCAAAAGCUUGAAUGCAUGAUUGAGGGCGAAGACUUUUAUAAAAGCAGAUGCCGAAAGCACACAAAAAUGAUUUGAUCUAUUGUUUUCAAAAGAAAUUGCAAUUAGCAGUUUUUGUCAAAAGUUCGCCCUGCGUGAAACUAGUGUUAAUAUAAUUUAAAAAAUUAAUUUCAGUAUUAUUUUUUAAAAUGUUAAUUAUUAGAUUUAUUUUAAUAAUAUAUUUAUAUUUAUUAUAAAAUUUUAGUUAAAUAUUUGUGUUAAAUAGAAUUUAUAAUUAAUAUAAUAUAUCUUAGGUAUUAUAAUUAUUCUAUAUGCUAUUGAAAAUAAUUUAAAUUUUUAGACGUUUAUUUUCAUAUUAAGUUUCUAUUUAUUAUAAAAUUUAGUUUAAUAUAGUAUAAGCUUGUAAAGUAUUAAACUAUUUUUUCAUAUUUUUUUAACAUAUUAAAAUUAUUUUAAAAUAUAUAUAUAUAUUAACAUUGAAGUCAAUUUUUUGAGUUAAUAGAGCUGGUAGGUGUUAUAGUAUAAAAGAGUUUCUUAGCAUCUCUUAUUGAAAAUAUAUAGAUCUAUAUAAUUAUUUUUUCAAAUAUUGAGAUGUAGUUAUAAAAGAAAAAAUAAAUUAAAAAAUUUUAAAUUUUAAUAUGGCCAUCGUAGAGUUAGAAUCCCCGCUCCAACCCGAUUUGGAGAUGUGCUUGGUCUAUUUAUGUUUUGGAAAAAGAAAAACCAAAGAAAAAAAAUACGCACCCGACCAAAUCAAGUAACUCAUCAAAUAAAAAAUAAAAAAGGAAAGAAAUUUAAUGACUUGCAUGCAAUUUUGGAUCUGAAAUUAAAAUUACAUAAAAAUUAAGGAUUACGUACCUUAAUAUUUACAGCUUAUUUGAUGGACUCAACAGGUUUAAGCAACAUCAAAAUGUUUGUGGCUCCUUAAAUGAGCCCCCGACAUGGUGCAAAUGACAAACAUCGACUUGUUUGACAGCUCCAACAAGGCUACGAUGAUCAGAAAAUGAGCCCUCAAUCAAGAAGCUAAGAUUGGCUUCUCUAUCCUCUUCUCCCCACAACCAGCGCCUUGCUCUUUGUCAUUUUUCCUCUUGUUAGUUUUCUUCUACAUAUAAUUAUUACACUGGGAAGUAUACACACACCUCUUUUCUUUUUAUAGUACCUUACUAUUAUAUCUUUACAAAACAAUAUCACCCUAAGACAGCUAUGUACGAAAUAAAUGAAAUAAAUAUAUAAGGAACUGACGAAAUAAAAUUAUCAUGACCAUGACUUUUCUAAUUUAUUUUUUCCUUUAAAAAAGGGACGAGGAUAAGUUUGGGAGAAUGAUUAUAUUUUUAAUAAAAGAAUUCUUUUUUAUUAUAAUACUUUUUAUCUUUAUUAAUUUAAAAAUAUUGACUCUUAUAUUUUAAUAAAUAUAAAUAUAAUAUUAUAAUAAAAUAUAACAAUAUAUAAAAAAAUUUAAACAAAUUUAAGAUUUUAUUAAAAUAAAUUUUAUAAUAACUACAAAUAUAAUAUUAAUACAAUUAUAAUAAUUUGCAUUUUAAAAAGUAAUACUGAUAUUAAUUUUUUAAAUUAUAUUACUCUACCAAAAAAAUUAAACUAUUAAAUUAUAUUGAUAUUUAUUACAAAAUUUGCAAUUAAUUCUUAUUAUAUUUUUAAUUGGAAUUUUUUCCUGUGUUAUAACAACAAUUGCUACAGUUUUUUCCCUAAAUAAAGAUGGAGUUAUAAAUUAUUUGUGUAAGUGUCAUGAAAGUUAUAAUUGAAUAACAAUAAUGGCGCUUUAGGCAAUUUUUUUAUGAGGUCUUCUUUCAAUUUCAACACUUAAACAGACUGCCACUAGGGUUUAUAGCCCAGUGGUGAACCAUUGCCCUCAAAGUUAAGCAUAACUAUGAGGGCAAUGGUUCGAGUCCCCACGGACUCAACCUCCCUCAAUUAAACAUAAUUGUGUAGAGACUUCUUAUAACGUCUUUCUCCCUUGCGAAAUGCGAGUGAAGUAGCGAAAUCCCUCUUCCGUGAGAGGUAUUUGGAUAGGCAUCUACUUCAUAGAAUAAAAAUGUAAUAAUAUAAGUCUCAUGUAUAUAUCUGAUUGUAAAUAUCAAUGUAAUGACCUGCUGUCAUAGCAGUUGUAUAUAUCUCUGUGUAAUAUAAUAACCUGAUGCUUAAUCAGUUCAAAAACAAAAAACACUUAAACAGACUUGUCCUUGAUCCCAAUUUAUUUACCCCAUAUGGGCCGUUAUGACAUAAACAUAUUCUUGUGGAAUGAAAAACACAGGAGAAGAAAAUGUUUUAUUAUAAUUAAAAAAAAAAACAAGUGGUCCAUAUGUUACCUGUUACCUGCAGAGGAAUGUGAUUAUAGAGAGCUUAUGAGAGUAAAGACAAUGAUUUGCAAAAGAAGAAGACUUAAUCAUGCAGCCCUUAGUAUUUAUCAAAUGAUUAGUGAGCAUUUCUUUUAUGGACAAAGAUGCCAACAGCAAAAAGAAAAACGAAAAAAAAGGGCUAAAUUACUAAGUCUUAUUUUAAUUUUAAUUUCUUUUAUUUUCAUUCGCCGAAGAGGGAAUCUCUUUUCCUAAUGUGACAUAAUUAAAGCAAUCUAUAAAUAAUACAAUAAUCAUAUAAUAUAAUAAUUAAAAAGACGCACAUGUUUAUAAUAUUAAUGAUGGGAUCCAUAUGUUUAUACUGAUUAAAUUGGUGGACCAGAAUUUAUUUGACCUUACUUGUUUUCUAUUUGAUUAAAAUUCAAACGACAGAGAAAUAUUGUCGUAUUGAUGGUUUCGAUUGUGGAGUUCCGCUGUGGAUAGCACAUCCAAUAGUGAAAAAUGAAGCUUUCGUCAACUAUCUCACAUGGACGCGUACCAUCAUGCAUAAUUGCAUAUUGCGUUAUUUCUUUAGAAAAGCAAGAUUAAUUCUUUUAACAAGCAAACGCAUAUACAUAGAAUAAUUAUAUGUAUUUGUUGGUUCAAGAAACUUAACUGACAAGAUUGAAACAAACAGGAGAUUUUAUUUUUUUUUGGACAUUAAGAAAUAACAGCUGUCAAGAUCAAGGAGAUUAUGCUAUUAACAGAAAUUAUUAAAGGAUUUAGAACAAGUUAACCUCUUCAGUUAAUCCGGGAUCAUACGGUUGAUGAGCUUCUCUGUUUGGCCUUGAAUAUUUAAGAAUAAUUUUGAUGAGCAAAACGAUCACUGGUAACUGCUCAGAAAUGUGUGAGAAAAGAGCUGAUUAGCGUAAUAACAAUGAAUUGCAAAAGAAAAAGACUUAAUCAUGCACCCCUUUUCAUAUCACGUAUUUGGUUACUGUUGCCUUGUUGACAUAUGUGUAUAAUAAGGGUCCGCCUAAGUUACAGCUGAUGUAAGUUGAAGAAAGCACUAGUUCUGUAGUUCACGAUUUUACGUUUGGAUAUAUUCUAAAGAGAUAAUUAAGUUUGAUAAAAGAUAAAGCAAAAGCUUGAAUGCAUGAUUGAGGGCGAAGACUUUUAUUAAAGCAGAUGCCGAAAGCACACGAAAAGCUUGAAUGUUGUGGCUCCUUAAGUGAGGCCCAGACAUGGUGCAAAAGACAAAAUCGACUUGUUUGACAGCUUCAACAAGGCUACGAUGAUCAGAAGAUGAGCCCUCAAUCAAGAGAGCUCCCUGCCUCUUAAAUGAUAAAUUAAAAGCAAUUGUAGCUUGUCGACAUCAGGCCAAUUUCAGGCCUUUGAAGAGCACAAAUGACAUGGCCUUGACCAAAGAUUGCCUUCUCUAUCCUCUGCCGACACAUCCACUUCUCUCCACAACCAACGCCUUGCUCUCUGUCAUUUUUCCUCUUGUUAAUUUUCUUCUACAUAUAAUUAUUACGCUGGGAAGCAUACACACACCUCUUUUCUUUUUUUCUUUGUUUCAAACUACUAAAUAUUAUGGGAAAAUGAUCGAAACCCUUUUUUUUUUCUUUCUAGUUAACAUUAUCAGGUGUAUUUUUGGCUUUUCACACUUGCAUAAAAAAUUGAUAAAAAUUUGAAACAUAAAAUUCACUUUAUUACCUUUUACUUUUGUAAAUAAACUAAAAGAUAUUUUGGUCUUUUCAUAUAUUUGCCAAACGUUUUUAUAAAUUAAAUGGUGAAAUUGUUUAUAUAGAUUACAAAUAAACAGUAUAAUUAAUUAUAUUUUGUAUGUAUAAAGCAUUAAAUAAUAAGAUAUUUGUGGCUUUUAAAACUCAAGAAAACUCAAGAAAAUUAAAUGACAAGAUUAAGACAAACAAGAGAUAGUUUUUGUUGGACAUUAAGAAACAACUGCUAUCAAGAUCAAAGAUUAGAAAUUAUGCUAUUGAAAGAAAUUAUUAAAGUAUUUAGAACAAACGCACCUCUUCAAUUAUCUAGGAUCACAGAGUUUAUGAGCUUCACUCUUGGCCUUCGAUUUAUAAGAAAAAUUUUAAUGAGCAAAAGAUCACUGUUAACUGCAGAAGAAUGUGAGUAAAGAGUUUAUGGGAGUAAGCAAUACAAUUGAAUUGUAAAAGAACAAGACUUAAAGCAUGCACCCCGUGUUCAUAUAAACAGAACACAUGUUCAAUUUUAACAAAGUGAUCAAUAACUCUAUUCGUUAUUUAAUUGAUAUUGUAACCAAUUCUAAGAGAAUAUAAUAAUAAUCAUUCAAUCCAUAAAUUAAGAAUUAUAUUUUUUUAACUCUUUAUUUAAAUAUAAACCUUAAUGGAAAAUUAUAAAAGUUUAGAGAUAAAAUUUUUCAAUCACCAAACGAAAAAAACAGGGGAAUGAAAACAGAGGAAUCUUGUUUUAACUAUUUUUUUCCUCAACUCUCGUUCUUAUAUUAAUAAUCUUGUUUUGAUGAUAGUGCUCGUGACUGCGGGAAAAUUUCUACUGGAAACAACUCAAUUUCGGAAGAAAACUUAAUUUUGCAAGUGAUGAAUUUGAACUCGUUGGAUUGGUUGAUUUAUGAUUGACUGAAUUUCACUUUUGCCCAAAAGAUCUUUAACCAAAGUUUAAUAGCCAUCAUGUACUCCUUGAAAGCAAUUUUUUUUUUUAGAUUUGACUGAAUUUGAACUUGUUGGAUUGGUUGUUUUUAGAUUAUUAAUAUGAGAUAUUACAACGUAAAUAUUUUCAUGUGGUUGAGCCCUAUUCUAAAAUCUGUAUAUUUAGCUUUAGAAAAAGGGCUUUUCCUGCUGAUCUGUAAUCUUCAAAUAAACUUAGAUACAAAUAAUGAAAUAAAAGACAACAAACAAGCAAUACUGAUACAAAGCCAACAGAUCAGAGUUUUUUCUUGCCUUCUUUUGUUGAAGGAUUAGAGUUUUUGGUAUUAUCAGUAAGGAUUUAAAGGGUCUGAGCAAAACCCCUAAAAGCUUUUUCUAAACUUUUUUUUGGGGGGGGGGGGGGGGGAGCAUGCAAAAUAACCAAAAGAAAUAAUAAGAGCACAGUGUCACGGGACGAGAGGUUACGAGCCCGUACGGCACUCCCGCAUCCCAUACUACGAGAGUAAGCCUAGUGGAAGUGGCACAAUGUCGAUUGGUUUCGCCCUGCCUUGGGCUCGUCAGGAGAACGGCUUCAGUUCCCAACCAGUGUGCGUCAGGAUUUUCCUAGACCCCUCUUCAGCGUUAAGUCCUCGACUAGCGACAAGCUCCCCAAACUCAACCGGGUCGGCCUGCCUGAACUCCAAAGAGUCUAGGGCAUUGUAUUCCCCACACGCACGCCCCUGAAGCACGUCUCCCACAAUCAGCACAACCAUCAUCAACACUAGCGUACAAGCGCAUAUCUUGGGUGCCACGAUUGCGGUCCGUGACAACAGGCUUUAACAAUGAAUAGUAACUUAAAACUCAUGCAAAAUAAGUUACAAUAUUAAAACAAACCAGAGAAAAUUUUUUCUUGGAAAGUAGAUGGAACUACCAAAAAAAAAAAAUUAUUCAAGGAUUUAGAAAACGUGCACCUCUUUAAUUAUCUGGGAUUAGAGAGUUGGUGAGCUUCUCUAUUUGGCCUUCCAUAUUUAAGAACAAGUUGAAAGAGGAAAAAGAUCACUGGUAACUGCUGAGGAAUGUGUGAGAAAAGAGUUGAUGAGAGCAAUAACAAAGACCUGCAAAAGAAAAAGAAUUAGUCAUGCACCGCUUUUCUAUAUCAUGUAUUUGGUUAUUGUUGCCCUGUUGACGCAUGUUGAAGAAGAAAGCACUAGUUCACAACUCUACGUUUUCAUAUAUUCUAAAGAAAUAAUUAAGUUUUCAUAGAAUGAUACCUGUUGUGUUUGAGUAAUUUUGGUAUAUACAUUGCUUGUGUACUGUGAAAUUGAAAUGAAUAUUGAUGGAAUGAUUCGGGACUAAAACUUUUAUAAAAGCAAAUACCGGAAACACACAAAAAGCAUUUAAGAGAGAAACUAAACAGCAAAUAAUGGAAGUAAGAUCAAUAAUAUAUGAUUUGAUUUAUGCAUAUUCAAAAACCAAAGUAAAAAAAAAUAAAUAAAGUUUGAUUUAUUCUUUCCACAAAAAACAGGGGAAUGAAAACAGAGGCAACUUGUUUUACCAAUUUUUUCUUCUUAAUUUCCGGCAAAAAAAAAAAAAAUCAAUAAACAGGGGAAUGAAAACAAAGGAACGAAAACAGAGGAAACUUGCUUUUCAGGCUAUCUUGUGACAUGAUGAUAUUGCUCGUGAAUGCAUGAAAAUUUCUAAUGCAAACAGCUCAAUUUGGGAUGAUAAGCUUAAGUUUGCAAGUGAUGCAUGUAAAUAACUUUUCACGGUUAAUUGAAUCUUUAAUACUCUGGGCCCUAUUCUAAAAUUUGUAGGUUGCUUCAGAAAAAAAAAAAAGCAUUUCUCACUCAUCUUUAAUCUCCAAGUAAAAUUAGAUACAAAGCAAAUCUAAUAAAAUAACAAACAAACAAACAAAACAAAGAAAAGACAGGAGGCAAACAACAUUGAUCUUAAGCCAGCUGAUAUUUAAACAGAGAAUUCUUUCUUUUUUUUUUUAACCUUUUGCUCAAGGAUUAGAGUUUUUAUAUUAACAGAAAGAUUUCAGGGGUCUGAAUAAAAGCCCAAAAUUUCUCUAUUUUAUUUUUAUUUUUAUUUUUGGAAAGGAGCUUCACUAUUGGCCUUGAAUGUGAGUAAAGAUUUCAUCAGAGUAAGUAAUACAAAUGAAUUGUAAAAGAACAAGACUUAAGCGUGCACCCCCUGUUUUGUUUUAUUCGUUAUGAAAAUGAUAUUGUACCCAAUUUUAAGAGAGCAUAACAAUAACCAUUCAAUGCAUAAAUUUAGAAUUAGUUUUUUUUUUUGUAAUUCUUUAUUUAAAUAUAAACGUCAAUGGAAAAUUAUAAAAAUUUAGAUAUGAAAUUUUAAGUCACCAGACCAAAAAAAAAAAAAAGCAUAGGAACGGAAAUAGAGGAAUCUUGUUUUACCUUUUUUUUUCCGUUUAACUCUUGUUCUUAUAUAAAUAAUCUUGUUUUGAUGAUUGUAACUCGUGACUGCGGGAAAAUUUCUAAUAGAAACAACUCAAUUUCGGAAGAUAAGCUUAAUUAUGCAAGUGAUGAAUUUGUUCAAUUGACUCUGUACUUGAACUAGUUGGAUUGAUUGUUUUUAGAUUUGACUGAAUUUGGGAACCUGUUGGAUUGAUUGUUUUUAGAUCAUUAAUUUCAGAUACUACAACGUAAAUAUUUUCUUGUGGUUGAGUCCUAUUCUCAAAUCAGUAGGUUGCCUUAGGAAAAGGGCUUUUCUCACUGAUCUUUUUUUUUUUUUCUUUAAUUCACACGCACUUGAUUAUUGACUUCUUUCAUGAAGAAAUAAACUUGUAAUGACUUAAAGAUUUAAUUUCAAGUUAGAAUCAAUACCAAAAGACGGAGGUUUAACCAAGCAUGCAGUGUGCUUUAAUGAUUUUGGCAUAGACAUUGCUUGUGUACUUUGAAAUUGAAAUGAAUAUUAAGUGACAGCACAGUGAAUAUGCCUAAUAAAAGAUCAGCAAAAGCUUGGAUGAAUGAUUGAGGACCAAAACUUUUAUAAAAGCAUUUUUGAGAGAAACUAAACACCAAAUUAUCAAAGUAAGAUCAACAGUAUAUGAUUUGAUUUAUACACAUUCAAAAACAAAAUAGUGAUUAAUAAUAAAGUUUGAUUUUGUAUUGCCAACGAUGCUUUUUUGUUGUUUCAUUUGUUCGACGUGGCCUUAUUUACAAAUUGGUUUAUGUUAACAGAAACAUGAAAUUCACAUCACACAAAAUUGCACGAACAAAUAUUAAGAGAACAUAAUAAUAAUCACUAAAUGCGUAAGGGUGAAUUUAGAAUUACAUUUUCUUUUUUAUUUAAUAAAAUCCCAACGGGAAAUCAUAAAAAUUUAUGUAUAAAAAUUUUCAAUCACAAACAAAAAACAGGGAGAAUGAAAACACAGGAAACUUGUUUUACCUUUUUCUCAUCUAACUCAUGUUCUUAUAUAAUAUUUUCCCUGGUAUUUCAGGCAAGCAAAUAAAUAAAUAAAUAAAUAAAUAAAGAGCAAGUUGCUAAAAUUGAUUUAUCUUGUUUUUCAGGCAAUCUUGUGAUAUGAUGAUAAUGCUCAUGAAUGCUAGAAAACUUCUAAUGCAAACAAUUCUAUUUGGGAUGAUAAGCUUAAUUUUACAAGUGAUAAAUAUAAAUAACUUUUUGUGGUUAAUUCAAUUUGUAAUUACCCUUAGCCCUAUUCUAAAAUUUGUUGGCUGCUUCAGAAAAAAAAAAAGAAUAUUUCUCACUCAUCUUUAAUCUUCAAGGAAAAAAAAAUAUAAUAAAAUGACAAACAAACAAACAAAUAAAAGACAGCAAACAAACAACAUUGAUCUUAUGCCUACUGAUAUUUAAACAGAGAAUUCUUUCUUCUUUUUCUCUUCAUGGAUUAGAGUUUUUGCUAGUAACAGAAAGGUUUCAAGGGUCUGAAUAAAAUCCCAGAUUUUUUUUAACUUUGUUUUUUGUGGGAAAAUGGAUUCAAAUUAACCAAAGCCAAUAAUAAGAUCACAGACUUUAACAAUGAACAAUAACUUAAGCAAAACCAAUGACAAGAUUAAAACAAACCACAGAAAUUUUUUCUCGGAAAGUAGAUGAAAAGCAAGUAAGAACUGCUAUUAAAGGAUAUUAUUAAAGGAUUUAGAACAUGUAUACCUCUUUAAUUAUAUGGGAUCAGAAAUCGAUGACCUCCUCUAUUCGCUUCAGAUAUUAAGUAAGAACUGCUAUUAAAAGAAUGAAUUGAUGAGAGUAAUAACAAUGAUUGCAAAAUAGGAAGACUCAAUCAUGCACCCCUUUUAUACCUGAUCAUAUUAAGAAGUCGUUAAAGAAUAACGACUAAAUUAGGAAUUAAUUCUGAAGUUCAGAAUCAAGAACAAAGACGAAGCUUUAAUAAAGCAUGCAGUGAGAUACAAGAAAUGGAUCUGGUAAAAUACAUUAAAAAAAUUUGUUCAACCUAGUUAAGCUGAUGAAAGCACUAGUUGUUGGCUCUACGUUUCAUAUGUUCUAAUGAAAUAAUUAAGUUGAAGUUUUCAACGAAUAAAUACCUGUUUCGCUUGAAUAGCUUUGGCAUAUACAUUACUUGUGUCCUGUGAAAUUGAAAAGGUUAUUGAUUUACAAAGCUUAUUAGUAGAGAAAAGCUACGCAAGAUGCCUGAUAAAAGAUAAAGCAAGAGCUUGAAUGAAGAAUGACAUUUUAGAAAGAAACUAAAGUGUAAUCAUCAAAGUAAGAUCAAUAAUGUACCACUUUCCUUGCAAAUCUGGUGGGUUUUCUGAAUAGAUUUUUACAUUAUUCUAUUUAACCAUUUUGGGUUUACCCUAAGCAUUCUUGGUUGGCAUUGUCCUGUAAUCUGCGCGCCCUGGAUACGUGAGAGGGAAUGAUGAGGGUAGAUAUGCAAUUUCAAGAAGCGAUUUGCUUGCAUAAUUCAAUGCAUGGAAAGAGAUGUACCUGGCCAGACAAAAAGGGAACCAUCCAUAUCUGAGCUUGACUUUUUAGACGGAUAAACAUUCUUAUUACUGUUGAUAAUGGAGAAGGGUUCUACUUUUGCUUUGCCAUCUUUGAUAUAAAACAGCAUGAUUCCUUUUUAUGAAACACUUGCCUAAGUCUUUUUUUUAUUUUUCUUAUUUUCAGAAAGAGAUUAGCUUAAUUUAAAUUAUAUUCACGAACAAAGUGUUAUACACUCAUAAAACGAGAAAUAGGCAUGUAUUGAUCACGCGCAAUCUGUUUUUUUUUUCCCCUUUUUGUUUUUAAUCCAGUCUUCUUAUUUAAAAAAAAAAGAAUUUAUUUGCUUUAUUUUAAAUUAUUUUUUCAUGCGGUAAAUGCAAUACUGAGUAAUGGGUGAGCAAAAUAUUUACAGGCACACCCCCUUUUAAUGAUUUCGUACUAAAAUUAAAAAUUGACGAUUCCAUGAUAAAGUUCAAAGAGUAAAUGAAGACCCAUAAAUGUUUUUUGGUCAUGAGCAAUUUUUGAGUUGGGACAGCACUCGUAUGAAAAAAAAUAGUUUUUUUUUUCUUUAAGCAUGAGGAUAUUAAUUCUUUUUUUAUAAAUCAGCGUGAAUAUAAAAUUAAAAAAAUAGUUUUGAAUAACUUCUUUUCUUUUUUCAUAAAUAUAGAUAAAAAAUUUUAAAGUCACCAAACACAAAACCAGGAAAAUGGAAAGGAAGCCCCUGUUUCUCCGCUGCUGCAAGCACAAAUUCGGUUUCUACAGGAGUACCUUCUAAAUGCACCAUUUGUAUUGCUUUGUUUCCACGUAAGCUAACGGAAUUUGAUGAAGACAAAAUAGAUAUGAGUCGUGCUAUUCACACCCCUCGAUAAUUCUUUCAAAAUCCCCUUUCUAAUUAUACCGCCUUGAAUAAUUUCAAAACUGACUUUUCCUCUUAUAAUACCACCUUCAAUUCCCUUAAUACCCUUGUUCGCUAUGAAAAUAGAGCGAAUUGCGUGGGAUAUACUUGUUUUCCCUCAAAAUACCUAAAAUAUACCUCCAUAUAUUAAAAUUGCUAGUUUUACACAUAUAUACUUAAAAAGAUCGGGAAAAAUACAAAAAUAACCUCAAUAAAAAUACUCGACUUAUUUAAUAUGCUUACUCGACUCAUUUAAUAUUCUUACUCGACUUCUUACCGGACCAUAUACUCGACUUAGUUAAUAUGCUUACUCGACUUAUUUAAUAUUCUUACUCGACUUCUUACCCGACCAUAUACUCGAUUUAUUUAAUAUGGUUACUCGACUUCUUACCCAACCAUAUACUCGACUUAUUUAAUAUGCUUACUCGACUCAUUUAAUAUUCUUACUCGACUUCUUACCCGACCAUAUACUCGACUCAUUUAAUAUUCUUACUUGACUUCUUACCCAACCAUAUACUCGACUUACUUAAUAUUCUUUCUCGACUCAUUUAAUAUUCUUACUCGACUUCUUACCAGACUAUAUAUUCGACUUAAUUAAUAUGCUUACUCGACUUAUUUAAUAUUCUUACUCAACUUCUUACCCGACCAUAUACUCGACUUAUUUAAUAUGCUUACUCGACUCAUUUAAUAUUCUUACUCCACUUCUUACCUGACCAUAUACUCGACUUCUUUAAUAUGCUUACUUGACUCAUUUAAUAUUCUUACUCGACUUCUUACCCGACCAUAUACUCGACUUAUUUAAUAUACUUACUCGACUCAUUUAAUAUUCUUACUCGACUUCUUACCCGACCAUAUACUCGACUUAGUUAAUAUUCUUACUCGACUUCUUACCCGACCAUAUACUCGACUUCUUUAAUAUACUUACUCGACUCAUUUAAUUUUCUUACUAGACUUCUUACCCGACCAUAUACUCGACGUCUUUAAUAUGCUUACUCGAUUCAUUUAAUAUUCUUACUCGACUUCUUACCCGACUAUAUACUCGACUCAUUUAAUAUGCUUACUCGACUCAUUUAAUAUUCUUACUCGACUCAUUUAAUAUUCUUACUCGACUUCUUACCCGACCAUAUACUCGACUUACUUAUCUCUAAUUCUUACUUGACUAAAUUCUCGAUUUACCAGACUUCGUACCCGACUUCUUCCUGUACUAAUUCUUCAAUCACUCAUAACUUAAAUGUAGUCUUAAAUCCCUACAUUGAAAUAGUGUGUGUGUGUGUGCAAGCACAAAAAAUGAAUAAUGUACUACUAAAAUUCAUAAAUCAUUAGGAAGUACACUUAUAAGAAAAAUAGAGAAUGGUGAGAGAAGCCCAAAAAAGAGAAGCAAUAGGAGAAGAGAGAUGUAAAUUCUUAGUUUUUUUAAGGUUAUUUUUUACUUUUCCUAUCUUCAUAAGGUAUAUGUAUGUAAUAAGGUAUAAAUUUGGCAUUUAAGGGUAAAUUGAGGAUAUUUAAAUAAAAAACCCAUGAAAAUAAGGAAAAUGCCUACAUAAAAAGCUGGCUCUGAUAAUCUACCUGAAUUUACAUUAGAAAAGAGUGGACUUUGAGAAAUAAGAAGACAAUAUAGGGAAUUUUACCAAAAUAAUCCAUUUUUAUAUACAGGGAAUGGUAUUUUCUAAUAUAAGGAGGAGUGGAGAAAUUAAAUUUAGCAAAAUAAAGAACCUCCAUCGAGAAGCAAAAAUGAUAAUAUCUUUGUCGUGAAGAGAUUUCAAUUCAAUUGCAUACACUGACGAAACAUUAAAUACGGAAAAAACAAAAAAGAAAUAAUAGGACAUGGGGAUUUCGAGAACUUCUAAAGAGAGAAAUGUAUUUAUAAGCAUUGAAAAUUAGCUCAUUAAAUUUGACAGAAUAAUAUACAAUCUCACUGUUGGCCAGAAAAUAAUAGUAAGAACUUGUGAACAUAAAUAAUCAAUUGCUUAUUACUUAAGCUUUUUCUCCGUUAUUUUGAAUGGGUGCAAAGAGGAGAAGUUUUGUACCCAAAUUCCAACUCGAAUUGUGUAGGCUGCUUGCAAGAGCUUCAUUAGAUUUUUAUUUGUCUUUUAAUAGUGCUUCUCGACAAAUACAGCUAGCUAUCUGUCCUUUUUGUUACUGGACUAUAGAUCAAUUGACAGCUGAAGUUAUAUUAAUUUGUUGUACUGGAAUUGAAGCUUGUAUCUUAGCCAUUUCGUGAAGUGUCAAAUAUAUUUUUAAUUUCCUUAAAAUUGUUCAAAAUAUGUUUACACUUUUAAAGUCACUAUUAUACAUGAGUGCCCUAAAAUUGGAGAAGGCGAUUUGCCUGACAUUACCUGUAUUCGCUUGUAUAGAGAGGACGAUUUAGAUAAGUCGGAACGGAACAACCUUCAUCACAUGCUUCCUCACGUGGUUACUUAAACUGAUAUGUAAAACGUGCUCCAUCCAUGUCGUUUCCACUAAAUCGUUUUCUGUUAAGAAUCAGCUGAGCAGCACGUGAGCUAAUGAAGCUUUUACGGCUUCAAAACGCAGCCGUUUCUGGGAACCAAACUUGAUUCAUCACCUCACAACUACAGAUGAAUUAUCGAAGUGGCUGAUUGGUGCUAUACGUGUUUUUCGUAUUGAACUCAACUCUGCUAUUUUCCCAAAGCUGGAAAACAGAAACAUCAUCCCUGUGGUUUUAUUUCCCCUCAACCUUUUUCUGAUCCCAUUUUCAUUGUAAUUUCUCAUUUACUUUGAGUGAAAGUCAUUGUUGCUUUCGAACGAGGUUUUGCAACUAAAAAGGAAAAGGGGGCGGCUAUAAUACAUGCGUGCAUCUGAUACAUGCACAAAAACUGACCAUUGGAUUAAAUGGAGUGGAUCUAAUGGCUGAGAUUUGUUUUAUUAUUAAGCAAUAAAAAAAUUUGAAACAACCAGAAACCUGUAAAACCGGUCAUUUGGUUUAAGUUAAAAAUAUAUAAAUGAAAAAAACAAAAAAACCCACCACUCCCCCGCCUCACACGCGCCUUACCGCUCCCUCGCCUCACCUCUCUUCUUGUUCCACGGCCAUCAACGGCGGCACGAGUCGGCGACGAUCAACUGCGGCUGUAAAUUGACCACGAUCAUCUCUCUCUCUCGGCUUGCUCAAAUUUGGCCGAUCUGUGCGCUUGAUUAAGCUUGGCCGAUCUAUGCUUGCUCGAUUACUCUUCCUAUCUUCAGUCAGAGUCAACUGUUUGACAAGAGUCGAAGUCCAAGGUUCUUUUUUACAGGAUUUGAGCUACUCCUUUUAUUCUUCUUGCAUGUUCACUGAUAUGAAGCUUUGAUGUGGUGUUCUGAUAGCGGGUGGAAUUUGAGAUUCUCCUUUCUUCUCUAUAUGAAGGUGCUUGUCAUGUGUCAAGAAAAAUAAAAUUAUUUACCAAAGAUUAUUUUAAGGAGAUUUAUUAUUAUUCGUGGAUCGGGAAGCUCAAAAAAUUUUCUUAUGUAGAACAUAAAGUGAUUUAAAUUUUGCCAUGGUAUAUCCUUUUCUUUGAUUGUGUUGUGGUUUUCCAGUUCUUGGAGAUGCAGAAGAAGUUUAUUUUGUUUUUUGGUAUCUUAUUUAUUUAUUGUUUUCACGAGGAAAUUGCUGUGCUUUUGGAAAUUAAUAUGCUGUGUUGUCAAUGUUGUGUGAAAUCCUUUUAUUGGUGUCUAUGUAAAGUGUUUCAGAUUUCAGACCUGAGAGUUAAUCUUCGCGUACCAGUUGGCUUUUGGGUUUAGUAUUGCUGCUUUUAACAUAAUUGACCUAUGGCCCAAAUCAUUUCUAUAGGGCAAAGCAUAUGAAUGAUAAAUAUUAUCUUUUUUUGGCCUUAUGUAUUUUUAUUUGCAGUGUGAUUUGGUCUAGCUUAAGAGCUUAAGCUUGCAGGUUGGAUUUGUCUGACAGGGAACAAUUUAAUUUGUUCAUCGUGAUGUUUAUAUCCAUUUUGUACUACUAUCAAUUUCAGUCAUGCCUAAUUUUUAUAUGUAUUUCUCGUGGACUCUCAGGGUCAGUGCACAAGAGGAUGAAGACGAUGGACACCCAAAUUUAUAGUGUAUUUUUGUCAUCUUUGUAUGACUGGCAGGUCGUCCUGAUUUGGUACAUGACUGGACACAGGAAUUGGACUCAUAUUUUUCAAACCAGAAUGCCAACAAUCAAGCAUUUUCUUUUGAAAGCACUGGCGUCUUCUUCAAUGCCAAAAAGGUUAGAGAUUUUCUGUAUCCUGUUUUGUAUUUGAUCAGUUUAGCAUGUGGGUGGCAAUCAAGAAAAGUUAUUAUAACAUUUUUGUGUUCCCGAAAAACUGCUGAUGAUGUGUAGUGCAGGAAAUGAAUUGUUUGUGACUUCUUUUUAUUUGUAUUCUUUCUUUUUUCUUUUCUCCCCAACAGGAUUAUGCAUUUCUGAAGAGCUUCUUGAAGUUGAUUACCUUGUAUGCCACUUUCUUUACUCUAUGCUCAGGAUGUGAUUUUGCCAAGCAUUAAAAUGGUUUAGGUCAGAACCAUCAUCUAAAGUUUACUUAAUGCAGCCGAGAAGCUGUAGUAGAGCAAUGAAGGCUGUUGGUGUUAUGAAGGCCAGCUGUGAAGAAAUAUUUGAACUUGUAAUGAGCAUGGAUGGGACACGAUACGAGUAUGCUUCUUUUCUAUUUUUUAUUUUUAGUUACUUUAACAUAAUCAAGACUAUAUUGGCUGUCUCUGUAAGCUGAGUAUUAUAUUUCCUCUUGUAUGCUGUGAAAUUCACAUUGUCUCCAGUCCCGAUUCUGUAUGUGCCUUUUUGAAUAUAUUUAGUUAAUCUGCAUGGUGCUUUCUAAAGAUUAUUACAAACUUUUGUUGCUUAGGUAUAUGAAGAAUGUGGAAAUGAAAAUAGCUUUUGAAGUUUGAUGGAUUGCUUCAUUAAUAAAGAAAGACUAGGACUCAUUUUUAUAACUUUUUCUCCACUUAGCUAAUGGUAUUUGAUGAAGACAAAAUAGAUGUAGCUAUCUGUAUUUUUUGUUGCUGAACUAUAGAUCAAUUGACGGUUGAAGUUAGUUAUAUUAAUUUGUUGUACUAGAAUUAAAGCUUGUAUCUUAGCCAUUUCAUGAAGUGUCAAAUACGUUCUUUCCUUUUUUUUUUCAAAACAUGUUACAUUUUUGAUGUCUAUUACAUAAAAGAGUGUUCUAAAACAGGAGAAGGCGUGCUGCCUGAAAUUACCUGUUUCCUAGCAAAUCUAGCUGGUUUGCGAAUUAGAUUUUAACAAGUCUCUUGGCAAUGUUUGCUAGUAAUGUGUUCAAAUUAUUCUAUUUAAUUUUACUGUCUGUACCCUAAUAAUUCUUGGUUUGCACCAUUGCAUUGUUCCAUAAUCUCUGUGCGUUGGCUUAUAAAGGCCAGCAAGGCUGAUCAUUUGUCGAAUAGUUAUUUCCAUGAAAUUCCUAUCAAUUUGACUCAGUAUUUAGAGGUCUUGAAGAGGGCAGUGUACUAGACAUGGAUUUCUACCUCUUUUGGUUGUACAAUUGUUGUAUUCCUUGGCCAUCAGAUCUUUUUUAUGUACCUUUCUCAAAGUUCAUGCUGCAUGUACACCCUUUUUCAUGUUUUGUGCAGGUGGGAUUGUAGUCUUCUGUAUCGCAGCUUAGUUGAAGAGGUAGAUGGGCAUACGGCUAUUCUCUAUCAUAGGCUUCAGCUGGACUGGUUUCCAAUGUAAUAGUCUCUCGAUUCAAUCAUCUCAUUUAUGCUUUGGUCAGAAUAGAACAUUUAUUGUUUUCUUCUUUCCCCUUUCCUCUCUUCUGAUAUAAUAUGUGAGGAAAUUACCUAAAAUUUUUCUGUAUCCCAAUGUAAUUGUUGGAAUUCAGAAAUAAAAUACAUACACCGUCUUGUUUUUCCCUCGGUUCAGUCCUAAGUUCUCUUUGGGCCUUCUGCAAGUUUUUAAACAUACUAUGACAGUAAAAAAUCUAGUGAUUGAGAUCAUUUUGAUGAAUUUAAUUUUAAUUCUUAGCUGAUACUUUUUCUGGAAAUUUUUUUCUUAUGUUUCCUCAAUAUGACUUAAAAAUAGGGCUUAGUUUGGUUUAGAAGUUCAUCUAAAACCUUCUGCUUGAUUCCAAAAAAAUUCUCAAGGAAGGUCUCAGAUGGAUUUUAGGGGAGUUCUGUGGCAAAUUUGAAAAGUUCAGGGGAAGGGUCUAAUGAAUUUCAAAACCACAUGGGUUAUCUGUUUUAUUCAGAGGAUAGUGCAAUUCCCUAAAAUUUAUCAUUUUUAUUUAAAUAAUCUUCCUACUUUCCUCUGCGGAAUUUAUUUAUAUAUAUAUGAAUUUAUUUGGUUGCAGGUUUGUUUGGCCCCAUGGCCUUUGUUAUGUGCGUUAUUGGCGUUGAAAUGACGAUGCGAGUUAUGGUAAGGUUCUUGCUUCCCCACUUCUUGAAAUUAAAUCUAUCUUUUCUGGCACUAGAAGUUUCCAUAAGCUGUGUUUUGUUAUCACGCAGUUGUGUUAUUUCAUUCUAGGGAGCAUGAGAACUGUGGUCCACAACCAGGAUAUGUACGAGCUCACGUGGAGAGUUAGUUUUCUGUCCUUUACUUUGGUUGAUGUAGAGAAUUAACAAGUGACUAAGUCAUGCCAAGUUGCACCACUUGCUUCCUGUAUUCUGAUUUCUCAGGUGGUGGAUUCAACAUUUCCCCACUAUAACCUCAAAAUGGUAGGCCCAGAACACAGGUACAACAUCUUAUGCAGAUUGAUCUAAAAGGGUGGGGUGUUGGUUGUGUGGCAAUGUUUCAGUAACACUGUCUUCGUCAGAUGUUAAAUAGCGUUGCUGGUAAGUUUCUAGUAUUUCACAUUUUAUUUUGCACUGUUAUGGAUUAAUAUGUUUCUGCUGGGUGGCCAUUUUAAGUCAUAUUUUUACGUGUUACUGUAUUUUCUGUCGGUCCUUUUAUAGGGAACACACACAUACACGUAUGUAGAGUCACCUUUUAAUGAGGGAUCAACCAUUUUAAUAAAAUGAGGAAUGAGCUAAAAGAUAGAGAUUCACGAACUCCAAUGCAAUAUGUGUGUGUGCGUGUGUACACCUUUUCUAACUCUUGUUCUUAGUUAGAUAUUUUUUGGGAUUUCAGGCAAAUGAAAAAAGAGAUUAAGAACAGGUGGAUGAUAACUUUUUAUUUUUUUUUUGGAACAAGGUGGAUGUUAACUUAAAUAUUCAUUUUUAUAUAUUUUGUUAAUGUCCUCUUUAAUGGAUUUCUAUGGAAUUAAUCUUUUUUUUUUCCAAUUAGUUGCAGCCCUAGAGGAAAAGCAGGGUGAUCAAAUUGAUUUAUCUCGUUUUUUUGGAGCAAUCUGCAACACAAUGACCGUGAUAAUGCUUGUGACUGCUGGAAACUUUCUGAUGGAAAUAACUUCAGAGUUCGUAGCAAGCAUUUUGUUAUGACAAAACAAAGGUUCCCGCCAAUUUUGGUUGUUUCUUAUGGUAUUUAUAUAUCUGACAUAUUCUAGUUCGACAUGUAACGAUGUAGUUUGGUUGGUUCUUCUUGUUCUUUGUGCAAUUUGUAACUGCAGAUACAUGUGGGAAAACAUUUAAUGGAUCUUGUUGCUGUUGAUUGGUUCAAAGACACAAAGAGAAUGGACCAUGUAGCUAGGCGUCAAGGCUGUGCUGCACAAGUAACUAUUCUUUUCUUUUUUAUUUUUCCUUUUCCAUUGACGGAUUAGAAGAAAAUACUGCCUGUGAGAUACUACAAUGUAAAUAACUUCUGGUGGUUCAUUGUAUCUAUAGCACUCUGAGCCCUAUUCUAAAAUAUGUAGGUUGCUUUCGAAAAAGGGCUUUUCUCACUGAUCUUUAAUCUUCAAGUAAGCUUGUUUAAUUUCAGAAGGUAUUAGGUUUCAAACUUAUCGUUUUGGGAGGUUGUAUGGUUGUAACGUAAGCAUCUGCAGGUUCCUGGUUCAACACAUUAUAGUAUGGUAUUUUAUUUUGUCACAAGGGAAUUAGUUACAGGAUCCCUUUUGCAAUGGUUUGUUGACAGCGAUGAUGAAUUUCGCAAUAGUAGGCUGAAACUUAUCCCGUCCGUUCCUAAGGUAUCCGUCUUGGUCUUCAUGUAUUAGGACUAUGUUAACGUAUACGUACCCUUCGCUGCAUAGUACACUUCAAUUUGUACAAAGAAGGCAUGCAUUUAGGUGUAAAUGUAUUGAUGGGUUGUACCUUCAAACUUCAUUUCCUUUUUCUACCGAUUUGAAUUUGUUUUGCAUUUGUUCUUGAUUUUAAGCACUGAAUCACGCGGGGGUCAUGGAUCGUGCGCCAGAGUGAUGGAAGCACCCCUUGUUUAUUAGGAAAAGCAGUUGAUUGUAACUAUAUCCACGGUCCUAAGUACUUGGAAGUAAAUGCUCUUCGAAUUCCUAUAGUACAUGGGAUGUGUUCCCUUUCAAAUAGCUUGUUCAAUAUGAUUAACAUGGUUUAACAUUGUUAAUCUUUCUGUAGAUUGAUGUUGACAUGUUCUUGUAAUUGGUGUAAUUACGGCAUUGGUGGUUGACAUGGCUUUCCUUGUGCAGGUAUGUAUGAUUGUUUUUUUCCCCCAGUUCUAAAUGACACAAGGGAAAAGACAUGAUUUUGAGAUAUUGUACUGCAAUUUGCAUAUUUGCAUACUUGAAUGUUCUCAGAAUGGUAUAAUGCUUUGUGUAUGCAGGCAAAUACUACAGAUGAAUUACCGGAGCGGCUGAUUGGAGCUGUACGUGUUUCUUAUAUAGAACUCAAGUCUGCUAUUGUCCCAAAGUUGGAACCAGAGACAUCAUGACUCUGGUUUCAUUUCACCUCAACUGUUUUUUUUUUUUUUAAUUGAAAAAAAAAUCAUUUGUUUUAGGUAUACAUACAUGUAUUUUGAUCCCGUUUUCAUUGUAAUUUCUCAUUUACUUUGAAAGAAAGUCAUUGGUGUUUUCGAAUGGGAAUUUUGCAUUAAAAAAUAAAGAAUACUUAAUAGGAAAUUUCAUGAUUCUUUAGUUACUAUUUUUGGAAUGAGUGUAAUAGUAUUAAAGUUGGUUUCUACUCGCAAACAAGUGAACUACUCGAUCCCCAACUGCGACCACUACUUUUAAAACUCAACAACUAACAAAAAUACUAAUAAAAAAAUGAUUUUCUUAUGAUGCUGUGAAAACAUUUAUGGGUUCACUUAUUUCCACAAGAUCUAUAAAAUGGUAUUGACUUCACGAAAUUCUUUUAAUUUAAAGGGUGUUGGUCUGAGAAAGUCAGUGUGACGGAUUAAUUUCUUCUAAUAAUGGUCGAUUUAAUUUUACUAUGCUCAUAAAACUAUUCUUAUUCUGAUAAUGUCAUAAAUGUUAUGAUGUUUUCUUCGGCUAAUGAUCUUCUAUCAGGACUAGUUAGAAAUCAAAUGCUUAAAACACCAAUUGAAUGAAUAAUGCAGAAGUUUAAACAGUAUCUAAUUGAAAAUUGCAUGAAACAUGAAACAUCAAUUCAAGUCCUUCCUUAAACAGAGAAUGCAUCAAACAAAUCCAAAGUGUCUUGCAAGUCUGUAGCAUGACUAAAAAAUUGUAAAUGCGUUUAGAACCAAAUUAUUCAAGUACAGGAGAACGAGCAAGUUGAAUCAUGUACAAGAGAUUGGCCUGGUUCGAGAUAGCUUCUUCACUGUACCUGAAGGGUUGGCUCAAUCUUUUCUCUAGAAUUCUGCACAUUUUGUAAUUACUCGUGUAAGCAAGCAUACAUUACAACCAUAAUAAUAAUAAAGCAAGAGUAAUGAUACGACCACAACCUCUUGUGCACAAAUAAUAUUGUACAAACUAAUAUGACAUAAUAUGAUUGAUUAAACAAAAACAUAACAUGACCCUCAUUUUUUUUUUUUAUUUUAUGUUUUCAGUCAAGCAACCAUAUUAUGCCACGUUAAUAGCUAUAGAAAUAAUUUGCUAGAUAGUGCCAACACUUCAUUGAUACUCACCAUUUCAUUGAACAAUUUUUUUAUGGUGUCAUUGAGGUUUCCUUCCCAACAUCCUUCAUCAUCACCAUCUUCUUCUUCGGUGGGUUUCACUUUGUUUAGCUUUGGUGCGUCUACGACUCCUUGAGAGAAAAUCUUCAUUGUUGGGCACUGUCUCACAACUACGUGUUCCAAGGACGGGAACUCAAGAGCGUAAUUACCCAAACAAAAGCUUGUUAGGCUUGGCAAGCAAUCAAGUCCCAAGUACUCCAAUUUCCUGAAAACAAUGCAAUCUUCCGCUUCUUCUCCAACCUGCAACUGUAUGAUUUCUUCUAUCAUUUUGCAAUCAGUUAUCUUCAUUAUUCCGAGAUUCAUUAGACUUUCAGAUGUUGAGAGCAUCAAUAAAUUUAUCAACCCAUGACACUCGAAUACUUCCAGAGUCGCAAGAUUUUCCAAAUGCCACGAAGCUGGUACUAAUUUCUGCAACUUACUACAUUCAAAUAUUUCUAGACUUUUCAAGUUUGCAAACACUUUGUUGGAUUUGGCAUUUUCCUUCCAGAGAUGCUGCACUUUGUGUAAUCCAGAUAGCUUUAACUUCAUCAAUUGAGGGAAUGCAACCUGAAAAUCAACAAAAUUAAGUUGUAAAUAAAAAUAUGUAUCCAAGCUCUGCAGUCUUCCCCUGCAUAUUUUAUGGACAAGAUUAAUCACGACAUUUUAUAUUUUUUUCCAAAUUAGUAUGCUUUGCAGUAGGAUCCCAAAUAUAAGUAUCAAAUCGAUUACCCUUUGAAACACAUAAAUGAAAUCUGAUCUUAAAUCCAAUAUGAAUUAGCUAGGAAAACAGAGAUGUAACAUGCAUAAUCGAUAUAGUUCAUCACCUCCUGUCACUAGGGAUCUAAUUAAUUUGAGACAUUUUUAUAAUUCAUACUAUAAAGUUAGUUAAUAACUACGGUUAUAUUGUUAAAUCAGAUAUAAAUUAAGACGACGUGCAAAAAGAUGAGUCAUUAAAUUUGAUUUGAUUCUAAUGAAAUUACAUUUGUGCGAACGAAAGUGAAGGGAAAAAUAAUAAUAAUGAUUACCUUUUCAUCGAAGAGAUGUUGUAUGUGAUUAGCUACCAAGAGGUUCUCUUCUGAUUUUAAUUUUUGAGGUUCCUUAUUAUCGGCUGUCAUGUGCGGUAGAGGUGUAGAAUUGGAUACAAAUGUUUCCAUAUCAGGGCAAUUCUCAAUAAUUAGAUAUUCCAACUUAGGCAUUUCAAUUAUAUUCCCAGUGAGGUUGCAGAAUCUUUUGAGUUUUGGAAGAUCAAUGAGCCUUAGCUCAAAAAGCAUAGGAAACAGGGGGCCUAUAUGUACUUUUUCAGCAUUUAGCUCUUCCAAAUGAAGCACCUCUUCUAGUGAAUCACAAUUGCUCACUUCCAGCCGUAGCAAAUUGUUAAAGCACCGUAGCAGAUUGGCAGGAAUAGCACUCGAAUAUUCGUGCAGUCAUCCACCACCAGCACUACUAAAUUGUUGAAGAAGCUGACAGGCAGUGCUUGGCCAUGCCAUGUUUCUUUCAAACGUGGAAAAGGUGAGAGUUGCAAAUACCAUAUGUCACGGAAUCCAAUCUGCACAAACCAAAACAAUUGCACUGGAUAUAUAUAAACUAUUUUUUUGAAAGGCAUUAGAUAUAUAUAAAAUAUAUAUACAAGGCAGGUGUAUAUGUUCAACGAAUCGAUUUAACACAUACCAUUUCUUUGUAACACUUUUGUAUAGUGGAAUUAAGGUUGCCUUCCCAAUGGCGCAAUUCAUCCUCUUUCUUUUCAGUCACCUGCACUUCGUGCAGCUUUGGUGUGGAUACGAUUCCCUGAGAAAAAGUCUUCAUGUUCUGACAAUGUGUCAUAGAAACUCGUUCCAAUAAUGGGAAUUCAAGAGUGUAAUUCUCCAAACAAAAGCUAGUAAACCUUGGUAAAUAAUCGAGUAUCAAAAGUUUUAAUUCCCUGAAAGCAAUACGAUUCUCCUUCACUUCUUCUCCAACAUGUCCUAUGAUUUCUUCUAUUUUUUCGCAGUGUGAGACAUUAAGAUUCACCAGACUACUAGGAAUUCCAACCUGAAAAUAAAGAGUAGCAUUCAACUAUAUUCAAAAUAUGUCUAAAUCAUACAAUUGUUUUAUGAAAAUAACAAACCAUGAAUGUCUACUAGAUAUUUUUUGUUAAAGAAAAAAAGGAAAACAAUAAAACAAAAAUAAAUAAAUAAAUAGAAAUCCAAAAAAACAAAGAUAAUGAAAAUGCAUUUAUGCUAUUUAGUGUUAGGAAUGUAGAAAGAAUUUCAGGUAAUUUUUAAAUAUUCUAAAUUCAUUUUUCAUCUUGAUGCUAGUUUUUAAAAAUUUUUAAUUUUCAAACAUGCCUAUUUUUAAAAUAACUAAACUAAAACGCUGUAUUUCCCAUUUUUUUUCCUGAUGUUUCCUGCUUUUAAAAAUGGAAAACAUUUCUGGAAAACACUUCCCAACGCCAUCAACAUGGGACUGUUAUAGAGUGAAUAUUUGAGGAAAUUUUUUAAUCAACGGUCGAUUCAAAAUGACCAUCAUGAAUUUGUGCUUAAUCAAUGGCGUAAUCAAUUCAUAACUAAACUAGAGAUAUUAACUACAUUUGAACACUUUUCUUUUUUUUUUUUAAAUCGAAAUCUAAAGACCCAAGGAAAAGAGAAAUAUAUAUGAAUUUGUGAACUUAAAAGCUGAGUAACUAAGUAUCUUUUAAUUUCUGAAAAUCUUAUUUAUUAGGAUUUAAGAAAAAAAACAAUUAAAUUGAAUUAUAUUAUGCUGUUAAAUCGUGUUUAAAACAAUUAUAUUGUUGACUUUAAUGCAGGUGAACCUAUAAAUUAGAUUGAAAAUGCAGAGUUCAGAAUGGUGAUUUGAAGUACACUACUUUUUUUCCCUCCACAAGUUUGAAGUACAAUAGUUGCAAUAAAUAAUUUGUGAAUGAAAAUUAUUUGUAAACACAAAAAUGAUUAAAAUAAUUGUUGAAUGUUAUUUGAAAUAAAAAUUCAAAAUGAAUAUAGCAAUCUUACCAAUGGAGGAAAAAUAUUCAGUAGAUUAUUACACCCAGAUAUCUCCAAACUUUUCAAUUUGCUAAAAGAGUCUAAAGCAAGCUGGUGGUGCCAUAUUUUUCUCAACUGAUCCAUCGAGCUAAUAUGCAAUACCUCCAGACUUGGGAGUCGUACCUGAAUUUAAAAAUUCAAUGCAAUUAGAGAUGGAUAUUAAUUAAAUUUGAAGACUCAACGAUAGAAGAAAUUAACUAUUAAGAAUAAAAUUAAUUAAAAAAAAAAACCUUUUCAUCAAAGAGAGGUUGAGGUUGCAUUUCAGAAUGAAUGGUGUCUUCUGGUGAGGCAAAGCUACUUAGUUUUGGAAGACCAUCGAGCUGCAGGGAGUGUAGUUUAGGAAAAACCUUUAAUUCAUCUCUUCCUCCUAACCCCGUGGUGUUGACUACCCCUUCAAUUGACCGGCAAUUUCGAAUCUCAAGAUGUUGGAGUUGCAAAAGACUAUUAACCAUAGAAUAUGAAAACGGAUACUUCAGACGAUGACACCUUUCCACGGUCACUUUUGUCAAGUUUUGACAACAAUACAUUCCCUGAAAUUGAUCGGGCCAUAAUUUUUUGAUGCUUAUUAAACGGUCAAGUUUCAGUUCCUCCAAGCGUGGAAAAGUAACCUGCAAAGCAAAACCGUACAUUCUUGUUAAUUAAUUAAUUAUUCUUUCGAUGAUUGAAGAUCAAUCGUGAUAAUAUAUUAAUUAAUUAAUUAUUAAAUAGAAAAUUAUUACCUGGUGAACAGGAUCAUCCUCUGCAUUGAUUUCUGUGAAUCCCUCAGUAGUUGUUGGUUUCUCCAUGUCGGGCCCUAUAAAUGAACAAAAACAAUAUAUAAUAAACAUCCGUUGUUUUAUUCACCAAAAAAAAAAAGAAAAAAAGAAAGAGUCAAUGUCAAUAAUCCUACCAAUAAUUAAUUUCAACACUUACCAAUAAUCAUUUUCAAAUCAUCGCAGUCUUCCACUUUUACUUUUUGAAGCCGCAAUAGGUUUUUGGCCAUAGAGAAUGAGAAGAGAUGCUUCAAUUUGUCACAAAAAGCUACUCUUAUAAUCCUUAAGUUGCUGAAAGAUUGAUCUUCUCUGAGUUGGCUGUAGCAUAUCGUCUCCAAAUUAGUUAAAUCAAUAAGAUCCAAUGACUCCAGCAAGGGAAAGACUUCGCAACGAACCCGUCUAACUGAACCGACAAUAUGUACAAUCUCAUAACAACUUUCUACAUGAAGAUGCUUCAAUCGUGGAAAACCUUCCCCAUCGUCUAAUUCAUGAACAACAUUCUGAACACCCUCCAAUUUUACUAGCCAGAGAUCUUCAGUUCUCUGCAGCAACAUUUUCGUCCCAUCAUUCUCCUGGAGAAUGCUAACUUUUUCUAGCCCCUUGAGCAUCAUCAAUCUUAAUGCUUCAGAUUUGACGAGCAAUUGGUCAAUCUCAUAUUCGAGCUUAUCUCCUAUACGUAUCCUAUAUCUUUGCAAUUCCACAGAGACAAAAUCCGGCAACAGAAUUUCGGCAUCCCGAACUUCUAUCUCCAAAGUAGUUAGCUUUGUCAACCUCUUCAACUCGACAAGACUGGCAUUACUUCCUCCUUCAACCUUCUCCCACCCUGAAAAGCUGUUAUCCAUAUACAAUUCUUCUAAUCGAGAUAAUUUUGAAAUGACAUUUGGUGCUAUCACCUGAAGGCUCCAACAAUUGGUCAAAUCUAACAAUCUUAACCCCGUCAAUUGUCCAAUUUCAAGUGGUAACUGCUCGAUAUUGGAAUCUGCAAGGUUGAGAAUCUCUAAUUUCUUUAGCUGUCCAAUUGCCGCUACAUCUUCUAGUUGGCACCAGUCUAAACACAAUGUUUGAAGGUUAAUGAGGCGACCAAGUGAUGAAGGUAAUGAAGAGAAAUGAAUUCCGAUAAGACUUAAAACUUUGAGUUCUUCUGUUCCUUCAAAAAAGAGGUCUGAAAUUUGCACGGGGCCAUAACCCUGUCUAAACAACAAAAAUAACUGGAGAUUGGGACAUUGCAACCUUUCAGGGAGCUCUUGAAUAUUUCUCUGGGGUAAUGAAAUGGCAAUUGGAUCUUUCCGUAUUGUCUCUUCCAUCUUUUUCUCCAAGUCGGCAACAUUUGGGAUAUUAAACAUGCGCGUCUCUGCGGCAACUGAUACGGCAACAACAUGAAUGAUGUCAUGCAUUUUAACUUCAUCUUCAGCAUCACCGUCCAACAAUAAGCAUGAAGAUUUGAGAUUGUCGAUCAACCGAUGCACCCUACUCCUUGCUUCUUCCAAUGUGUAAACAUUUUCAAACAAACCCCAACCCACACCAUAUCUCAAUAAGUAAGGAACUGGUAUAGCAUGACCUUCACUGUAUAGACCACAAAGACGGAACAUAGAUUUUGCUUCCUCACUUCUCAAGAAGUCGUAACUCAAUUUUAUGGAGAGGUACACAUUUUUUUCCAUUCCAUCAAUUUCUUUUGCAUAGGAACUUCUUAGCUGACGCAGCACAUCUUUCCAAGUGUCAAGGCUCUCAUUUUUCAAAGCUUUUGCAAGUGUAAUCAGUGCAACCGGCAGUUCUCCGCAUCUUCCGACGAUCUCAUGUGCUAUAGGUUGAAAAGCAGAUGUUUUCAUUGAAUCACCCACUAUCUUCUGAAAUAAAUGCAAUGCUUCUUCUUUUGAUAAAGCAUCGAUCUGGAUCUCUUUCUGAGAAUUCAUAACAUUGCGCAAUAAAUCUUGACGUCUAGACGUCAGUAUUAUUGUGCAUCGUCGCUGAUCAUCCAUUCUUUCUUUCUUAACAUCCCCGGAAGGAAUUCCAACUUCAUCGAACUUCAGUUCUCCCCAAAUAUUAUCCAAUAUAAUGAGAUGCCGCUCCUCGUUCUUCAAAACUCGACAUAGUCGAUUUGCUCUGUCGAAUAUACUCUCAUUCAACUCAAACUUUAUGCCUAAAUCAGAAGCAAGUUUGUCUUGAAUUUUCUGAUGAUCUGGGUUCUCUGUUACCUCAGCCAUAGCGACCUUAUCGAACAACUUAUCUUUUUCCAUCACUCGCUUUGCAACUUGCUUGACGAGCGUGGUUUUACCCACGCCGCCCAUCCCGUAGACCCCAAUAAUGUUGAGCUUAUCAUCCUUCAACGCCUCCACAACAUCUUGAAAUACUUUCAUUCUUGAAUCAAAGGCCUCGUAAUCUUUCACUUGCAAAUGUUCUGUACUCUCUGGAGCAGGAAGGUAGGAAACUUCCCUGAAGUCGCCUUCUUUUAUGAGACUAUCGGCUGCUUCUUUGUCCAUUGCAGCUUGUUUACUAACCCUGUAACGAGAAAUCAAAUUUGGGCACAAUCCAUCUUCAGUAUCAAUGAUGGGUUUUUCAAUCAAUCCAUCAACUUUUUUAAGCCAGAUUUCGACGUCAUCAAAAAUCUUAUCUCCUUGUCGAGUAGCCUGAUCAACGGCUUUUUCCACCCUUUGUCUUUCUUGUUUCAGCUUCUCCACUUGUUCUUUUAGCCCAUCGAUGUUGCUUUUGUACUCUGGCACAUAAGAUAUUGGUCGUAUAAUAAGUUCGAACAAUGUCUUUGCACCACCGGAUACAAUGCUGGAAAUAGCAUUGAGACACCCUUGUGCAGCCAUUGCGAGACACCCUUCUGCAGCCAUUGCCUGUUGCUAAACAAUAUAUAUAUAUAUAAAUAAAAGUGUCAAAGAAAUGAAUACAAAUAAAUUAAAAUGAACUAGAGGGAAAGACAGAGAAAGGAAAGACCGCAAACAACAUCGCGAUAUUGAUAUUGAACCAACUGAUACCUAAAUAGAGAAUUUCUUUUUCCAUCUUAAGGAUCAGAGGUUUCGCUAUUAACAGAAAGGUAUCCUUCAAGGAAAGUUGAUGGAAAUUAAGAAAGAACCGCUAUCAAUAUCAAGUAUUCUGCUACUAAAAAUAAAUGAUAUGACUUAAGAAAAAUAAAUGAUAUGAUUAAGAAAAACCAGAGAAUUUUUUCCUCGGAAAGUUGAUGGAAAUUAAGAAAAAACCGCUAUGAAGAACAAGUAUCAGAGAUUCUGCUACUAAAAGAAUAUUACAGGUUUUAGAACAAGUGCACCUCUUUACCUGUCUCGGAUCAGAGUUGAUGAGCUGCUGUAUUCACCUUGAAUAUAGAAGAAAAAUUUUAUUGAGCAAAAGGAUCUCUGUUGACUAAAGAGGAAUGCGAGUAACGAGUUGAUGAGAGUAAUAACAAUGAAUUUCCAAAAGAAGACGACUUGAGCAUUAAGCACGCAUCCCUUUUUCAAUCAAAUACUGGUACGUAUGUCCGUAGGGACCAUUAUGCGUAUACGAAGUCUAUUAGUUGCAAUCAGAAGCCCCGGCCCAAUUUAAUUGACACUCGAUUUUUGAUAAGAAGAAGGCAAGGAUAAGGAUAAAGUCAAUCAAUCACCAACAGUAAUUACUUCAAUCUUUGUCAAUAUACUUAAAUUGUCGAUCAACAUGAAAAUUGUUUAAAUUGAUAUUUGUAAAUGAAUCAAUUUUCUAGUUACUAUGAUUAUAACGUUUCACCUUUCAUAUUGGAUUUUAUCUUUUCAAAAGUUUUCAAAUGUGAGUUUCAAUAAUUAUUGAGACUCCAAGCCGUGCUCUCAAGAUUGUGCUGACAAAUCACCAUUAGCUUUAUUUAUGCAUAUUUCAAAGAAAAAAAAAGUUAUGGUUUGUAUUGCCAGCCCUGCUACUUUUUGUUUUUUUUCAUUUGUAUUAUUUACGAAUUAUUUUUUAACAGAAACAUGAGAACUCUUCAUCGUACAAAAUUGCAUGAAAAAACCUUCAAAUUUAUAAAAGUAAAUUUCAUUGACAGAUUGUGGAUAUGUUUGCAAGAAUAAGGAUAAGAAUGAGUUAAGAAAUUAAAAAAAAAAAAAAAGAUAGUGUAAGUAAACAAUGUUUUGGUACAUUUGGUAUUGUUUUCAAAAUAUUUUGAAAAGAAAAAUUUUCAAUCAUCCACCUAAAAAUUAUCUUAUUAUCCAAAAAGUUAUAAAAAUUUAAAUAUACUUAAUUUUAUACCCAUUAUUACAAUGUGUAUAACUGUUUACUAAAAAUUUAAAUAUACUUAACGGAUGUUUAAUACAAAUUGCAUACAUUGGGUGUAAAAUUAAAUAAAUUUAAAUUUUAUAAUAAUUUUAAUAACUGAAUAAACUUUGAGUAAAUGACUGAUAAUUUUUCUUUUAUAAGCUAUAAGAAGUCAAAUAAAAAAUAGGAUGAUAAUUUCUGAUGGGUGUCGAAGCCAACAAAAAUAAAUUCCUACUCUAAAUAAAUUGUGUAUAGUGAUUGAGCAGGGUCGUGUCCACAGAGAUCGGUAAUUAUUUAAAUCCUUUUGAAACGUAAAACGUAAAAUGAGGGAAUUGUUGACAAUAAUAAAAAUCAAACUAAAAUAACGAGAAUGUAAAUUAAAGUUGUGAUUCAAAUUGGAGAAAGCUCUGGUUGAAGGAAUUAACUCAGCUUGAUUCGACUACUGAUCAUUGAUUCAAAUAUAGAUUAUUAUUACUUAUGAAUAGACCGGUUAUAGCUACUGAGACCCUCUAAUAGCCAAUCUCUCCUUAACUAGUCGAUAACCAAAGUACGACCGUUGGUUAUUUCCCUAAUCAAUAGACAACCCUAGAUACGAUCAUAUGAUUUAAUCAAUUGACAGCCUGAAAAACCAGAGAGACCCAAAUCCUAAUCAACACAUAUGAUGAUUCAUUUAAAUUAGAUUGUUUAUUCUCACAACACAACUCUCUGCUAUGUUAUUUGUCACAAACAUUAAAUUCUUCAUACGAUGAAUCCUUUAAUUGACAAUAGAUUAAGUUGAUAAUUAAAUAGUGGCCAAUUACCUAAUUAACAAACAUAAUCAUGAAAAUAAUUCAGAGAAUAAACAAAUACCCAAAAGCAAUAAAACAAUUAAAGCACAAGAAAGAUCUCACAGUACUGAUGAAUCAAAGCUUCAUUAUCCUUCAACCAGAAAAAUGGGUUUAGUUCCUCAUAGAGAGAAGAGAAAAAUUAGAUCUAGGGUUUCUUUUUCUCCAAUCCAAAAAUCCCCUUUUUUCACAAUAGAUUCCUCCCUUAAAUACUCUCUCUCUCUUCUCUUUUAGAGUUCUAUUUAAAAUAAAAUACUAAUAUCUGAAAUAUUAAAUUCGUAAUUACAAAAAUAGCCAAAAAUACAAAACACGUUAAACUCAAAACUGCAGGUUCGCAGUUGACAGCACGCGCCCACGCCUUAUCAACAAAGUUCUUCUGCCGCUCAUAAUUUCUCCAAGAGAACAAUCAUCCUUAAACAUCAUCUUAUAGCUCAAUUUUAUCACCAAUUAAUAGAAUUGCACCUACAAAAGUAAAACACAAGUAAAUCACUAUUAUUAAGUGCAAAACAUCGAUAUUAAGGGAAGUAAACAAUGCAAAACUAGUGCAUAAAUUGCACUCUAACAAUUUCUCUUUUAUAUUGCUCAGAUGAUUUAUUGUUUGGGGACUAAGAUUUUAAGUAUUCAACUUAAAAGAUUAAUAUAUUAUAAAUUGAUUAAUUAAUUAAUCAUUAAGCAACUAAAUUGGGUCCCUGGAUGUCAAUUCCUUUAAUAUUGAUGCAACAACCUUUUUUUGGCAAAUAAUUGUUAAUGCACUUACGGAACUUUUGCGUGUCUACACAGCGAGUUCCAGGACAUUUUCGCAUUGUGCAACAAUUGCUAAUAGCACCUUUUUACGAUUAAUUUAUAAUAUAAUUUCAGUAAAGAUAGAAAUACAAAUUUUAUAUAAAUUGAUAUGAUAUUACUUAAAAACAUUUCAUUGCUCACAUGAGUUACUGCUGAAGCCUAUGAUUUUAGAUACUCAACCCAAAAGAUUAGCCUAUUGAGAGGAGGGAGGUCUAUGAUUUUAGAUACUCAACCCAAAAGAUUAGCUUCUUGAGAGGAGGGACCACUUGUAUUUAUUAGGAAUGGGCAUCAGAUCAGAUUUGGGUUGAUUUGAUCCGAUCCGAUAUGAGCUAAUCUUAUUUGGAUUGGAUUCGAAUUUAGCUCUAAAUCUGAUGGGAUAAGAAUGUUGCAAUCUGAUCAGAUCCGGAUCAAUACGAUCGAUUGCACUUACAAUUAAAAAGAAUACAAAACUUAAAUAUAAAUAAGAAAUAAAAAUUAAAAGACAACCCUAAAUCCCUAAAUCCUUAAAUUUCCCAAAUCAAAACAGAAAGAAUCAAAAAAAGCAACUCAGCCGCAUGCCGACAUUAGCGACGAACCCAGCCAUUCUCUUGAGAAAUAGUUGGCCAGUGUCACGAUCGGUUCCAAUGGCUUGACCACGUCCCCUUCCUCUAGCUCUUCCUCGAGCUAUGUUGUAGUGGCAAAGAAUAACGAUGGAGAAAUAAUGAUAGAACAGCUAACAAAGAAUUUAGUUUGAUUCUCAAUGAUCCUUUUAUUGAAUAAAUUAUGCUCAAUUUAUACACUACUAACUGCAACUUGACAACAAAAGCGCAACUCACAACCAGAAAAUAGCAACAGCAACUAAGAAAUAGCAAGUAAAUCAGAUUCUUGCCUAUUAUUCGGACUAGUGACCCACUACUUUGACUGACUCAACAAAACAAAUAAACUAAAAUGCUGACUCAUGACAGCCAGUUGCAAAGCCGAUGAUGCCCGAGCUGCAUGCCGAUGACGUCCCAGCCGACAGCUGCUGGGCCAGUGACCCGUACAUUGCAAAAGUCCUAAACCUAGUCGUUGCAUUUAUUUGUUUGUUGCAAAGGUUUCAAAUGGAGUCGGAUCCAUUAAAGCUUUUGAGGUGCAGAGGUUAUAAAAAUAGAAUAGAUACUUUGAAAAACUUGCAGAGGUUUGCGUCGUUUGAAUUGCUUGUGAACUUAUUUUUGCAUGCAUGUUAUUCUCUAUGCUUUUUGGUGAUUGUAAAAUUAAUUGUUUGAUUUAGCUUUCCAACUUUUGGGAUGCAAUUGUUACUGGUGUUCUCAACAAAAUAAUUGAUGUGAAAAUGGACGAACUUUCAUUUUUUGUCUUUGUUCUUCCAUUUGCUAGCUUGCUGCAUUUUUUUCUUAAUUUCUAUGAUUUUUCAAUUUUGUAUUUCAACUUGCAAGUGAUUGAGAUUCAUCUGAUUUAUUCGAACACAUCUGAUUCCAAUUUCAGUAUGAUAUUAUCGAUCUGAUCCGAAUCCAAAUUAAUCCGCACUAUUCAUCCAAUUUGAAUGUGAUCCGCACAUAAUCGGAUUGGAUGCAAGUUCAUAUUGCAUUCAUAUGACUUUUUAUCAAUUCGAACAAUCCAAAAUCUGAUCGUAUUAAUCCGAAUAUUAUCUGCAUCCAAUUUUGCCCAUCUCUACUACUUAUAAGCCCAAGUGACUCUCUUUUACUAAUUAACUAGAAAAUAGACCCGCGUUUCACGCGGCUUUGAAAAAAGAAUUUACUAUUAUCUUUUUUUUCUUACUUUACACUUGAUGAAAUAGAUAAAAAAAUAAGAAUUGAUUUUUUUUUAAAGAUGAGGCAGCCUUAUAAAAAAAAAAGUUAUUAGGUAGUAAUAUAAAUAAAGAAGCAACACAAGAUAAAGAAUAAAAUGAGAGAAUAUAUUAUAGAGAGAUUUUAUUCAUUCCAAUUGUGUGUGUACAAAAUAAAAAGAUGAGCUCUCCUUUUAUAGUUACAUAAUCACUCCAUGAAGUUAAUGAAAAAUUAUGGAUCAUAAUUUCUUGUGAGAUAGUGGGAGUUAUAGGGAAGCUAAAGGUUGCUAAUGGGAGAUAGUGGGGAGACUAAGAGAUAUAUGUUAUGAACAUUUAUAUUUAUUUUAAUAAAUUCAUAACACUCCCCCUUGGAUAUUCAUUACAAAAAAUAUGCAUCAUUAAAAUUUUUACAUAAUUGUUAUUGUAUAAUAACAAUCAAAUUAAUUAUGAGAAGAUGAAAAACCAAAUCUAAAAGAAAAUUUCUCUAUUUAUUAGAUAAUAGAGAAUAUACAAAGAAGAGAAAUGGUGAUGCCACAUCACCUCCUCAAGUCCCAACUUUAUAUAGAUAUAUAGAUAUGGGACAUUAUUUAAGAAUUCUUUCUCAAAUGAGGAAAAUUAUCAUACCAUUUUUAUCCAUUAAUUUAGAAUAAAUGCAUUUAUCAUCAUUAUUAUGUUUAAAUCCAUGCAACAUGAUCAUAGAAUCAAAAUUUUCAUGUUGUUGCGUUAGUGCUUAUUUAAGAUCAUAUAAUGACUUUAUUAAUUUACUAAAUUUAUUUUGUAAAUUAGUAAAUUUAUUUUUUCCUUUCUUUGUUGUAAAUCAUUUUGCAUCCAACCACCCUCUAAAGGCUUGGGCCAAUGUUUCAAACAACAAUGCAUCAAGUUCCAAUCUAAGUUAAGAUCCUGCUGAUGCAUCUAGUUGAUUAGAUAAUAAUGAGUCUAUCUCAUUACUUGUUGCCUCUUUCCACAAGGCUGCAUCUGUUGAAGCCAUAGCCUCACUGAGAGUUUAAAGAUCUUCUUCCAUAUUAAAUAGGGAAAUUAUCAUUCUACCAUCUUUCUUUUGACUUAUGUUCAUUUAACCACCACUAAAUUUCAACAUGUUUUCUGCAAUACCUUUCUUUUUAAAUUUGAAUCAAUUAGCCACUUUUACACUAACACUGUUAAAUAAUUUAAACAAAAUGAUAAUUUUACUUCUAAAUAAAUUAAAAUGCCAUUUUAUCUUAUAAAAGCUUUGAAAAAUAAAAAAAUUUUACUUACAAAAUAAUCCAAAAUAGAGGUGCUCAGCUUAUUUUUAUUAAAAAUUUAUAAUUUUGUAAAAUUUUAUUAAAAUAACUAAAUUUAUUUAUUAAAAAUAAAUCCCAAAAUUUUAAUGUUUUAGGGGAUGUUUAUUAAAUCCCAAAAUUUUGCAAUUAUUUUAUAAUUAUAAUUUUUAUUAAAAUAAAAAUUCUAAUUUGGGGAUUUAUUUCUUUAUUAAAUUUAGGGGUAUUUCUAUAAUUAUAAUUAUAAUUUUUUAUUUUUUAUAAAAUAAAAUGAUCUUUUAAUUUAUUUAGGGGUAAAUUUAUCAUUUUGUUUAAAUUAUUUAAUGGUGUUAGUGUAAAAGUGACUAAUUGAUACAAAAUUAAAAAGAAAAGUAGUGCAGAGAACAUGUUAAAAUUUUGUAGUAAUUGAAUGAGCAUAAGGCAAAAGAGUAGUGGUGAAAUGAUAAUUUUCCAAUUAAAUAAAACGGGUGUUCGAUUAAGAACUCUAUCUCUAUCUCCUCGUCCUAUCAAAUAACGUCAACCAUCCAAAAGAAAAAAAUAAAUUGGAAAAGUCCACGGGUAGCAAUAAUUUCUGGUCCGUUCCUGGACCUCCAUUAUCUGGCACUAUGAAUAAUGAAAAUGACAUUGCAAUCGUUAGGUAUCUUGGAAAAAUGACGAAAGUUUUUGGAGGGAGGUGGGGGAAUUGUCAAAAGUUCACACAAUGCGAAACAAGUGUUACAUCCAAUUAAAUUUUAUUUCAUUACCUCUUUUGCCUCAUAAAUAAUAGGAUCACCACGAGAUAAUGAUAAUAUCAAAUAAUGACAACCAUCCAAAUGUAUGAUGGGUCUUCCAAAUUUUGAAAAUGUCGUCAACAUCAAAUCUUCAAUGCCGAAGAAGGUAUAUGCCCAAAAAAUGACACGCAAGACCCACUCCACAGACUAAAUUGUCCUUGAUCAUAUGUAACAAACUUUGGCCUUAUGUGCCUGUGGUGACAUUAGACUGUUCAUUUUCAUUGUUUCUUACCUUCCAUUUACGCCCACUGUAGUAUUAUUUUAUUCACCAUUUUAGCCAUUUAAAUGAAAUUUUAUUUUUGUCAAAAAAUGAACUUUUACUUUUGUCAAAAAUAAAAUGAUACCCUAAAAAUUUAGAAAAAUAGUCACGUAGACCUCAAAUUUUUAAUAUAGGAUACCAAUACCCCUUUUGAUCAUAAUACUACUCUUAGUAGAUGGUAAAAAAAAAAAAAAGACUUCAAAAUUUUUUAUAAAAUUUAAAUAAUUAAUUUCAAUAUUAAAUUUUAAAAUGUGAAUUAAUAUAUUUGUAUCUAUAAAAUACUUGUAAUUAUUACAAAAAAAAUUUAAAUGAAUCCUUAGGUUAAAUAGAUUUUACAAUUAAUAUAAUAUUUCUCAUGUAUUAAUAAUAUUAAAAUUAUUUUAUGUGAUAUUGAAAAUAAUUUAAAUUUUUAUGUAUUUAUUUGAAUAUUAUGUCUCUAUUUAUUAUUAUUUGGUUUAAUAGAAUACGAGAUUUUAAAAUAUUAAAAUAUUUUUAGAUAUUGAAAUUAUUUUAAUAUGUAUACAUUAUUAUAUUCAUUUUAAUAUCCUACUUAUAUUUAUUAUAAAAUAUGAGAAUUAAUUUUUUUAGUUAAUAAAUUUAAAAAAUACUAUAAUAAAAAAAAAGGAUCUUAUUGUCCGGUAUUCACGACAUGAGGUACUACAAAAUUAUUUCCCCGGACGGGUGUGCUUUUCUUAUUUUUAGAAAGAAAAAUAAGUCAAUGGGUUUCAACAAUUUCUAGUCCUAUCUGCCACUAUGACUAAUGGAAACGACAUUGCAAUUGACAUUGCUUUUCGCAAUAUGACUAUUUUUUGGAGAAUCGUCAAAAGUUCACUCCACUAGAGAGUUUUAGGUGGGAGAAUUGUCAAGAGUUCACACCACAUGAAACUAAUGAUAGACUUAAUUUCGCUGUCAGUUCUUUAUUUAUUUAUUUUAUUUAUUUAAUACAUUAUUGUCUUGUUGGUAUUGUGUUGUAAAGAUAUAAAAGUAAAGUAAAAUAUUAAGGGUGCUGUUAAGUUACAACUGAUGUAACUUACAGUUUUUUAAAAAAUAAUGUAAAAAAUUUAAUAGGUGGUGGGACUCAAUUUUUUUUUUUUUGAAGAGAUCAUAAGUUACAGCACUUGUAACUUAACAAAAUCCAAAUAUUAGACAAUAAUACAUAUUAACAAUGCAUAUAAUUUGGGUCUGAUUUUUAAAAAAUUAUUUGAGUACCACCUAUCCUUAAGAUAUUAAUGUGAAUGUAUUUUAAUAGUAAAUAAUAAAUUUUUUUUAACUAUUAUUUGUAUUUCAUACAUUACAUAUUAUAUUUGUUUGAAUUUUAAGUUGUUGCUAAUAAAUAUUUAUGUUGUGAAAGUCGAAUUCAAUAGCUACAAAAGAAGAGAUAAUGGUAUUUUAUAUAGUUUUUAAGAAUACAAGGAUAAGCUGGAUAAUUGACUUAAGUUCUAAUGAUUAAAACAACAACUAUCCCUUAAAUUAUAAUGUCAAUUUCUUUAAUUAGAAUUUUUUUCAACAAUUGCUACAGUUUUUUAAAUAAUAAUGGGAGUUAUAAAUUAUUUAUAUAAAAUUUGUGUAGAAACUAAUGUAACCUAAAAGUGGUUGCUGAAUAACAAUAUUUGAAACUUUAGGUAAUUUUCAUAUCAGCCCUUUUUAUAUUCAGCAACUUUAGAACUUAAACAAACUUGCCCUCGAUCUUAAUUUAUUUACCCCAUUUAAACCCAUGAUGCAUGAUGACAUAAACAGAUUCUUGUGUGAUGAAAACAUCAAGAAAAGACAUCUCAUGUUUUAAUAUAACAGAAAAAAAGCGGUCCAUAAGUCUAUCCAUUAUUUUAUUUAUUCAGUACAAAUGGCCAACUUUAAAAAAUGAUAAAAGUCACACAACGCUUAAGUGAAAAUUAAAAAUGACAUUUUUUAAUACUCUCUGAGUCUCUCUCUCUCCCCCUUUUUUUUCUAAAUAAACCUUAGUUUAAAAUUAGAAGAAUUUUAGAUAUAAAAAUUUGUCAAUCACUUAACAGAAAAGUAGGGGAAUGAAAACAAAGGAGCCCCUGUUAUUAUUGGAAUAUUAAUUAUAGAUGUUAUAAUAUCUAUAACUUGUCGUGGUUCAUUGUAGCAUUCUAAGCCAUAUUCUAAAACUAGGAAAUAGAACCGCACUUCGUCCGGCUUUAAAAAAAAUUAGUAUUAUUUUUUUAUUCCUUUGUAAUUAAUGAAAUUGAUAAAAAAUAUGAAUUAUUUUUUUAAAAGAUGACGCAGUCUUAUAAAACUAAUGUUAUUUAUGAAAGUUAAUUAUUUUUUGUUAACAUUAAAAAUAUAUAUUAAUGUGUAUAGUUAAGUGUACACAACCUUUUCAUCAAUAAAAAUUAUGUUCACACUAAUCAACUCUCCAUUUUUCUUGGUAUAAAUGGCAUUGUUGAGGGAAGAUGAUGAAACCUUCCUUCUUAUAUUAAUUAAUUGAUGUAUUUUAAGCCACUAAAAUUUAAUUGUUGGCAUAAUAAAAUAAAUGAAUGUUUCAAAACUCAUAAUUAAUUAUUAUUAAUGGUUACAUAUUGUUGAAUUUAAAUAGAAAUAGGAAAAGACAUGUAAUCAUUUAUAAUUUAAUAAUUAUUUUAUAUUUUAAUAUUUUGUAAUGUAAUUAUUUUUUAAUUUCAACCAAUUUAUUAAAUAAUAGACAAUAUGAAAUGAUGAGAAAUGGUGAUGCCACAUCACCUCUUGUAGUCCCAACUUUAUAUAUAUGUAUAGAUAGAUAGAUAAAUUAAUUCAUGUAUUUUAUGCCACUAAGGUUUAAUUGCUAGCAUAAUAAAAUAAAUAAAUGUUUCAAAAGACUUAUAAUUAAUUAUUAUUAAUGAUUACAUAUUGUUGAAUUUAAAUAGAAAGAGAAAAAAAAGUACAAAGAAUAUUCACCAAUAUUUUAGAUAUUUUAUAUAAUAGAAAAUAUAAAAAGAUGAGGAAUGAUAUAUAUUAAUAAAGUUACUAUUUAUUAAAUGAGUUAAAUACAAUCAAAUUAAUUAUGAGAAGAUGAAAAGACAAAUUUAAAAAAAAAAAUAUCUAUUUAUUAGAUAAUAGAGAAUAUACAAAGAAGCAAAAUGGUAAUGCCACAUCACCUCCUCAAGUCUUAGCUUUAUAUAUAUAUAUAGAUUAGUAGAUUUGUUAAGAUUUUUAUUAUUGGCAUCAUUGUGUCAAUAUUAUUAUAAUUUAUUCAUUCUAUUGUAAUGAAAAUUUGUCUAUUCUUAGCUACUUAUUAAAUUAUCCUUAAUUUAUUACGAAUAUUUUUGGAGACAAAAGAAACACGUGUAUGUAGGAUUAAUGAUUGGAGAGUUGUAAGUAAAGGUGAUUGCUUCAUUGAGAAGCAUAUUAAAGAAUUAUGGAAAGUUGCACUGUUCCAGAAGCAUAUAUUUAUACUUCCCUAUUUGGACUUGUGAAGUGAUGAUCCGGCCGUAACUAUUGUGAAGCUUUCCUCAAGUAUUCUCAUGCAUACUUGAGGAAAGAUACAAAUUGCAUACAUGUCUAGGAGCCUUAUCAAAGGCGUUAUAUAACUUGUCCAAUUAAUUAAUUCUCUUAAGGGUCAUACCGUGCUCACUCAUUUCAAAAGCAAUUAAGGAUAAGAACUUUCAUCAUUAAUUGAUAUGGCCAGUGUAGAAAAAAUGCCAAGAUCAAAGCACAAGGAUAAGUUUAGAAUUACACUUUUUAAAUUUUGGUUAAUAAAUAAACGUCUAUAUGAAAAUGGAAAAUCUUUUUGGAAUAACUUUUCUUUUCUUUUCUUUUUUUAAUGAAUGUGGAUAUAAAAUUUUAAAAUCGCCAAACCGAAAAGAAAAACAGGGGAAUGAAAAGAGGGCUCUGUUUCUCCUCUGUUUCGAUUUUUUUAUUACUAAACAGGGGAAUGAAGAGAUCAGCUCUUGUCGCAAGUGCAAAUGCAGUUGGUUAUUCUACUUUUGCUAGUGAAGUUUUGGGCCUUGUCGUAAUUGCUGUAAUUGCGACAUCGGUGGUUGACAUGGCUUUCCUUGUACAGGUAUGUAUGAUUGUUUUUUUUUUUUUUGCACUUCUAAAUGGACACUGUUGAAAAGCUUAAAAUUGAACUGAUAAUUUUGUUUGGAAGCUUAGAAAAUUCAUGAGAAAGUGAAAUAGAAUAUUCUGGAUUUCUUACAUAAAAAAAAACAGAAUUAAAGCAAGGUACACAACUAUAACAGAAUCAAAAGCGUGCUUUACUAAUUGGCUGAGCUGGCAUAUACUUCUUUAACUAACAAUGCUGCUGACUGGACUUUAGCUCACACAUGCUUAUUGUGGAGCUACUCUUACUUCACACGUGCUCAGUGUGCUUCCUUAACAGACACAAGGGAAAAGACAUGAUUUUGAGAUUAAUUUAUACCAUAAUAAUAAUAAAGCUAGAGUAAUGAUAUGAAUCAUUAAUUGCUACAAAAUAAUUUGCUAGAUAGCGCCAACACUUAAUUGAUACUCACCAUUUCAUUGAACAAUUGUUUUAUGGUGUCAUUGAGGUUGCCUUCCCAACAUCCUUCAUCAUCAUCAUCUUCUUCAUCCUCAUCAUCUUUUUCUUCGGUGAGUUUCACUUUGUUUAGCUUUGGUGUGUCUACGACUCCUUGUGAGAAAAUCUUCAUCUUUGGGCACUGUCUCGCAAUUACUUGUUCCAAAGGAUGGGAAUUGAAGAGUGUAAUUACCCCGAACAAAGCUUGUUAAGCCUGUCAACCAAUGAAGUGUCAAGUAGUUUCAUUUUCUCGGAAGAACAAUGCAAGCCCUUUCACUUCUCUCAACCUGCAAUUGUUAUGAUCUUCCUUCUAUCAUUUUGCAAUCAGCNNNNNNNNNNNNNNNNNNNNNNNNNNNNNNNNNNNNNNNNNNNNNNNNNNNNNNNNNNNNNNNNNNNNNNNNNNNNNNNNNNNNNNNNNNNNNNNNNNNNUGAGAGUGUCACACAUUUAUCAACCUGUGACACUUCGAUACUUCUAGUCCCCACAGAUUUUCCAAAUGCCACGAAGGUGGUACUAAUUUUUGCAACUUACUACGUUCCGAUAUUUCUAGACUUCCCAUGUUUGCAAACGCUUUGUUGGAUUCGUCAUUUUCCUUCCAGAGAUGCUGCACUUUGUGUAAUCUAGAUAGCUUUAACUCCAUCAAUUGAGGGAAUGCAACCUGAAAAUCAACAAAAUUAAGUUGUAAAUGAAAAUAUGUAUCCAAUCUCUGGAGUCUUCCCCUGCAUAUUUUAUGGACAAGAUUAAUCACGACAUUUUAUAUUUUUUUUCCAAAUUAGUAUGCUUUGCAGUAGGUUCCUAAAUAUAAAUAUCAAAUCGAUUACCCUUUGAAACACAUAAAUGAAAUCUGAGGCUAAAUCCAAUAUGAAUUAGCUAGGAAAACAGAGAUGUAACACACAUAAUUAAUAUAGUUCAUCACCUCGUGUUACCAGGCAUCCAAUUAAUUUCAGACAUUUUUAUAAUUCAUACUAUAAAGUUAGUUAAUAACGGAGGUUAUAUUGUUAAAUCAGAUAUAAAUUAAGACGACGUGCAAAAAGAUGAGUCAUUAAAUUUGAUUUAAUUCUAAUGAAAUUACAUCUAUGCGAACGAAAGUGAAGGGAAAAAUAAUAAUAAUAAUAAUCACAUUUUCAUCGAAGAGGGGUUGUACUUGAUGAGCCAGCAAGAAGUUCUCUUCUGAUGUUAAUUUUUGAGGUUCCUUGUUAUCUGUUGUCACGUGCACUACAGAGUUGGAUAUGAAUGUUUCCAUAUCAGGGCAAUUCUCAAUAGUCAGACGUUUCAACUCAGGCAUUUCAAUUAUAUUCUCAGUGAAGUUGGGAAUCUUUUGAGUUUUGGAAGAUCAAUGAGCCUUAGCUCGAAAAAGCUUAGGAAACAGGGGGCCUAUAUGUUCUUUGUCAACACUUAGCUCUUCCAAAUGAAGCACCUCUGCUAGCGAAUCACAAUUCCUCACUUCCAGGUCCAUCAAAUUGUUCAAGCACCGUAGCAGAUUGGCAGGAAUAGCACUCGACAUAUUCGUGCAGUCAUCCACCACCAGGUGUCCUAAAUUGUUGAAGAAGCUGACAGGCAGUGCUUGGCCAUGCCAUAUUUCUUGCAAACGUGGAAAAUGCGAGAGUUGCAAAUACUUUAUGUCACGAAAUCCAAUCUGCACAAACCAAAACAAUUGCACUGGAUAUAUACAAUUUUUUACUUUUUGAAAGGCACAGACAUAUAUACAUUAAACUUACAUGUUUUGUGCUUAAAUGUGCAAGUGCAAGGGAGAUGCAUGAGCAAUUUUGAUGAAUCGAUUCACACAAAUCAUUUCUUUGUAACACUUUUGUAUAGUGGAAUUAAGAUUGCCUUCACGAUCGUGCAAUUCACCCUCUUCCUUUUUAGUCACUUGCACUUUGUGCAGCUUUGGUGUGGAUAAGAUUCCCAGGGAAAAAGUCUUCAUGUUCGGACAAUGUGUCACAGAUACUUGUUCCAAUGAUGGGAAUUCAAGAGUGUAAUUCUCCAAGCAAAAGCUGGCAAGCCUUGGUAAAUCAUCAAGUAUCAAAAGUUUUAAUUUGCUGAAAGCAAUACGAUUCUCCUUCGCUUCUUCUCCAACAUGUCCUAUGAUUUCUUCUAUUUUUUUGCAGAUUGAUACAUUAAGAUUCACUAAAAUACCCGGAAUUCCAACCUGAAAAUAAGCAAAAGAGUGUGUGUGUAUUAAAAAAGUAAAAAUUAAGAGUAUCAUUCAACUAGGUUCAAAGUAUGUUUAAAUCAUACAAUUAUACGUUUUAUAAACAUAACAAACCAUGAAAUGGCUACUAGAUAAUUUUUGUUAAACAAAAAAGGCAACAAGAUAAGUAAAUAAAUAAAAGCCAGAUAAACAAAGAUAAUAAAAACGCAUUUACACUAUUUAGUAUUAGGAGCGUAGAAAGAAUUUAAGGCAAUUUCUAAAUAUUUUAGACUUAUUUUGCAUUUCGAUGCAAAUUUUUAAAUAAAUUUGAAAUUGCAACUAUUCCUUUAAAAAAAAACUCAACCAAAAUGCUGCUUUUUCCAUUUUCCUUGGUCCCUUUUUUUUAUGUAUAUUAAAAAAUGCAAAAAAAAAAUGGAAAAGACUUCCCAAUACUGUCAACGUAGGACUGUUGUAAAGCGGGUCUUUAUUAAGUACUUCCAUGAAUUUAUGAUUAAUUAAUGUCAUAAUCAAUUCAUAACUAAACUAGAGAUAUUAAUUAAAUUUGAAGACUUUUCUUUUUCUUUUUUUCCAAACGAAAUGUCAAGAAUUAAGGAAAAGAGAAAUAUAUAGAUGAAUUUGUGAACCUAUAAGAUGAGUGACUAUCCUUUAAUUUUUGAAAAUCGUACUUAUUAAGAUAUGAGAAAAACAAUUAAAUUGAAUUAUAUUAUGCUGUUGAAUCGUGUUUAAAAAAAUUAUAUUGUUGAUUCUAAUAAUGGCGAACCUAAAAACUGGACUUAAAACGUAGAUUUCAGAGUGGUGGUUCGAAGUACAAUACUUGAAAUAAAUAAUUAGUGCCUGAAUAUCAUUCGUAAACACAAAAAUGGUUAAAAAAUUGUUGGAUGUAAUUUGAAAAAAAAGAUUCGAAAUGAAUACAGCAACCUUACCAAUGGAGGAAAAAUAUUCAUUAGGUUAUCACACCAAGAUAUCUUCAAAUUCUUCAAUUUGCUGAAAGACUCUGAAGCAAGCUGGUGGUGCCAUAUUCUUCUCAAAUUAUCCAUCCACCAAAUAUGUAAUUCCUCCAACUUCGGAAGUCGUACCUGGCAGUUAAAGGUUAAAUAACUAAUUAAUCGGCAUAAUCUAUUGAUAACCAAAUUAGAGGCUGAUACUAACUAAAUUUGAAGACUCAAGGAAAAGACAAAUUAAAUAUUGUGGCUAAAAUUAAUUUAAAAAAAAAAAAAACCUUUUCGUCAAAGAGAGGUGGAGAUUGCAUUUCAGAAUGAAGGGUGUCUGCUGGUGAGCUCGUAGAGAUGAAUCUUAACAUAUUAUUGCAACCACCAAUCUCGAGGUUUAGUAAAGAAGGGAAUUCAACAACUAAAUCUGAAUGAAUAUGUCCCGUAUUGGCAAAGCUCGUUAGUUUUGGAAGCACACAAAGCCGUAAGGAGUGUAGUUUAGGAAAAACCUCUAACUCAAUCAACUUUCCUUCAUCUCUUCCUCCUAACCACCCUGUGGUGUCGACUACCCCUUCCAUCGACUUACAAGAUCUUAUCACAAGAUGUUGGAGUUGCAAAAGACUAUUAACCAUAGAAUAUGAAAACAGAUACUUCAGACGAUCACAACUUUCCACGGUCAUUUUUGUUAAAUUUCCACAAUAAGACACUCCCUGAAACUGUUCGGGCCAUAAUUUUUCAAUGGUUGUUAACCAUAUAAGUUUCAACUCCUCCAAGCGUGGAAAAAUAACCUGAAGCAAAACGGUACGCUUUUGUUCCGUCAAUUACAACUGUCUAAUAUAAUAAUCUUUUGAUGAUUGAAGAUCAAUCGUGAUAAUAUAUUAAUUUAUUAAUUAUAAAACAGAAAAUUAUCACCUUGUGAACAGAAUCAUCCUCUGCAAUGAUUUCUGUCAAUCCCUGAGUAGCUGUUGGCUUCUCCAUGUCGGGCCCUAUAAAUGAACAAAAACAAUCUAUAAUUAACCUCUGUCCUUUUUUUUUUAAAAAAAAGAGAAAAAAGAAUGAGCCAAUGUCAAUAAUCCUACCAAUAAUUAAUUUCAACACUUACCAAUAAUCAUUUUCAAAUCAUCGCAGUUUUCCACUUCUACUUUUUGAAGCCGCAAUAGGUUUUUGGCCAUGAAGAAUGAGAAGAGAUGCUUCAAUUUGUCACAAAAAAAUACUUUUAUAAUCCUUAAGUUGCUGAAAGAUUGAUCUUCUCUGAGUUGGCUGUAGCAUAUCGUUUCCAAAUUAGUUAAACCAAUAAGAUACAAUGUCUCCAGCAAGGGAAAGACUUUGCAACGAGCUCGUCCAAUUGAACCGACAAUAUGUAAAAUCUCAGGACAGCCUGCUACUAGAAGAUGCUCCAAUUGUGGAAAACCUUCCCCAUCGUCUAAUUCAUGAACAACACUCGGAACACCAUUCAAUGUUACUAGACGGAGAUCUUCAGUUCUUUUUAGCAACAUUUUCAUCCCAUAAUUCUCCAAAAGAAUGCUAACGUUUUCUAGCUCCUGGAGUUUCAUUGAUCUUGAUGUUUCAGAUGUCAAUUUUUCUAGCUCCGUGAUAACUAUGGAUGCUGAUGCUCUAGAUGUGGCGAAGGACACAAGUCCAUUUCGUUGCACUUUUCCUAUACAUAUCUGAUACCUUUGCAAUUCCACAGAGACCAAAUCCUGCGGCAGAAUUUCGGGAUCCGGAACAUCUAUCUCCAAAGUAGUUAGCUUUGACAACCCCUUCAACUCGACAAGACUGGCAUUACUUCCUCCUUCAACCUUAUCCCACUGUGAAAAGCUGCAACCCAUGUACAGUUCUUCUAGUCGAGAUAAUUUGGAUAUGAUGUUAGGAAAUUGGUGGGUGCAGCAGGACCGCAGCUAAAAUAAAAUUGGAAAUAAAAUAAAGAACAAGCACACUAGAGGACACAAGAAAAUUACGUGGUUCGGCUUUUAGCCUACGUCCACGGGCGAAGACAGAAGGAAAUAUUUUACUAGUGAAAAGGAGUUACAAGUAUUGUAGUAUUUUAGCUCACUUCCCAAAAUCCCAAUACACCCAAACUCUCAAAACACUAAACACUCAAGAGUUUAUUAAACUCUUAAAACUCUCAACACUCAAAGAAAGCAAUGCUUCUCUCUCGAUGGAAUUGGAUGAAAAUGAAUGAGGAAGCUCUUCCUUUUAUAGCCAAAAAAUGGCUAUUAAAUUAAUAUAUAUAUGUAUAUAUUUCAAAUGUAGUUACCAACUUCUUCUUUUUCUCCAUUUGGAUGGCACCAUUUUCUUUGGCCGGCUGCACCAUUUUCUUCUUUCAAAUGUCAAACCCUUCUAGAUGCAGCCAUGCCAAACACUUCUAGAUGCAGCCAACUUUGACAUAUGACAUUCGGUGUUAUCACCUCAAGCCUCCUACAAUUGCUCAAAUCCAGCAACUGUAACCGCGUCAAUUGUCCAAAUUCAAGUGGCAACCGCUCAAUAUCGGAACCUCGAAAGCUAAGAAUCUCUAAUUUCUUUAGCUGUCCAACUAUUACUAUAUCUUUUAGUCGGCAAUAUUCUAAACACAAUGUUUGAAGGUUAAUGAGGCGACCAAGUGAUGAAGGUAAUGAAGAGAAGUGAAUUCCAGUAAAAUUCAAAACUCUGAGUCCUUCCGUCCCAUCAAAAAAGUGGUCUGAAAUUGGCAUAGAGCCACCACCCUUUUCAAGCAACAAAAGUAACUCGAGACGGGGACAUUGCAACCUUUCAGGAAGCACUUGAAUACCUCUAUAAGGUAAAGAAAUAGCAAUUGGACCUUCCUGUACUGUCUCUUCCAUCUUUUUGUCCAAGUCGGCAACAUUUGGAAUAUUAAACAUGAGCUCCUCUUUUGCAAUUGAUACGGCAACUACACGAAUGACGUCAUGCAUUUUGACUUCAUCUUCAGCAUCACCGUCCAACAAUAAGCAUGAAGAUUUGAGUUUGCUGAUCAACGUAUGCACUGUACUCCUUGCUUCUUCCGGUGUGUAAACGUUUCUAAAAUAGCCCAUACCCAUACCAUAUCUCAAUAAAGAAGAAACUGGUAUAGCAUGACCUUCACUAAAUAGACCACAAAGAAGGAACAGAGAUUUUGCUUCCUUAUUUCCCAGUAAGUCGUAACUCAAUUUCAAGGAGAGGUACACAUUUUUUUCCAUUCCAUCAAUUUCUUUUGCAUAGGAACUUCUUAGCUGACGCAGCACAUAUUUCCAAGUCUCAAGGCUCAUAUUUUUCAAAGCUUUUGCAAGUGUAAUCAGUGCAACCGGCAGUUCUCCGCAUCUUCCGACGAUCUCAUGUGCUAUAGGUUGAAAAGCAGAUGUUUUCAUUGAAUCACCCACUAUCUUCUGAAAUAAAUACAAUGCUUCUUCUUUUGAUAAAGCAUCGAUCUGGAUCUCUUUCUGAGAAUUCAUAACAUUGUGCAAUAAAUCUUGACGUCUAGACGUCAGUAUUAUUGUGCAUCGUCGCUGAUCAUCCAUUCUUUCUUUCUUAACAUCCCCGGAAGGAAUUCCAACUUCAUCGAACUUCAGUUCUCCCCAAAUAUUAUCCAAUAUAAUGAGAUGCCGCUCCUCGUUCUUCAAAACUCGACAUAGUCGAUUUGCUCUGUCGAAUAUACUCUCAUUCAACUCAAACUUUAUGCCUAAAUCAGAAGCAAGUUUGUCUUGAAUUUUCUGAUGAUCUGGGUUCUCUGUUACCUCAGCCAUAGCGACCUUAUCGAACAACUUAUCUUCCGUCACUUGCUUUGCAACUUGCUUGACGAGCGUGGUUUUACCCACUCCGCCCAUCCCGUAGACCCCAAUUAUGUUGAGCUUAUCAUCCUUCAACGCCUCCAAAACAUCUUGAAAUACUUUCUUUCUUGAGUCAAAGGCCUCGUAAUCUUUCACUUGCAUAUAUUCUGUACUCUUUGGAGCAGGACGAUAGGAAACACUAGAGAAGUUGCCUUUUCCCACGAGAUCAGCAGCAUCUUUUGCGGCCUUUGCUGCUUUUUUACUGAGUUUGUAACGAGACAACAAAUUUGGGCACAAUCCUUUGAAGCAAUACUUCUUGGCUCCAUUUUCAUCAUCAAUAAUGGAGUUUGCAACCCCUUCACUGAUGAAUUCAUCAACGCUAUGUAGCCAAUCUGCGACACCCUCAUAAAGCUCAUCCCCUUGUAGCCUAGCAUGAUUAACUGGUUGCUGCACCAUUUCUCUUUUACAUCCCAGCUGCAUUACUUGAUCUUUUAGCUCAUCUACGUAGCUCUGGUACUUGAACACAUAAGAUAUCUGCCGUAUAAUCGGUUUGAACAGUGACUUUGCACCUUCUGAUACGAUGCUUGAAAAACCACCGAGACAGAAUUCUACAGCCAUUGCCUGUUGCUUAACGAUGUAUGUGUAGUUUUUGGCUGUUAAAAAAAACAAAAAUUGGAUUCAAAUAAAUUAAAUGAACUAGAGGGGAAGAAAAAGAAAGAAACGACAACAAACAACUUUUUAGAGAAAGGUUGAUAUUGUUACAGAACACAUGUUCAUUUUUAACAAAUUGAUCAAUAACUCUAUUCGCUAUUUAAUUGAUAUUGUAACCAAUUUUAAGAGAAUAUAAUAAUAAUCCUUCGAUGCAUAAAUUUAGAAUUAGAUUUUUUAACUUUUUAUUUAAAUAUAAAUCUCAAUGGAAAAUUAUAAAAAUUUAGAGAUAAAAUUUUUCAAUCACCAAACGGAAAAACAGGGGAAUGAAAACAGAGGAAUCUUGUUUUACCUUUUUUUUUUUUUAACCUUCACUCUUGUUCUUAUAUAAAUAAUCUUGUUCUGAUGAUAGUGCUCGUGACUGCAGGAAAAUUUCUAGUGGAAACAACUCAAUUUCAGAAGAAUUUAUUCAAUUGACUCUGUACUUGAACUCGUUGGAUUGGUUGAUUUAUGAUUGACUGAAUUUAUUCAAUUCGGCCUAAAAGAUCUUUAACCAAAGUUUAAUAGCUAUCAUCUACUCCUUAAAAAAAAAUAUGUAUCUUUUUUAGAUUUGACUGAAUUUGAACUUGCUGGAUUGGUUUUUUUUAGAUUAUUAAAAUGGGGCACUGCAAAGUAAGUAUUCUAAAAUCUGUAUGUUGCUUUAGAAAAAGGGCUUUUCCCACUGAUCUUUAUUCUUCAAGUAAACUUAGAUACAAAGUAAAUCUAAAAAAAUGACAAACAAACAAUGAAAUAAACGACAACAAACUGGCAAUUUUGACACAAAGCCAACAAUUAAAAUUUAGGACAUUUUUUUUUCUUGCUUUCUUUUUUUGGAGGAUUAGAGAUUUUGGUAUUACCAGAAAGGUUUCAAGGGUCUGAGUUUCAAGGGUCUGAGUAGAAACCUAUAAUCUUUUGAAAAACUUUGUUUUUUUUUAAAAAAAAAUUUGGGGAAAGGAUGCAAAUUAACCAAAGGAAAUAAUAAGAGCACAGGCUUUAACAAUGAACAAUAACUUAAAACUCAUGCAAAAUAAAUUCAAUAUUAAAGCAAACCAGAGAAAUUUUUUUCUUGAAAAGUAGAUGGAAAUUAUGAAAGAACAGAUGUCAAGAUCAAGGAUCAGGGAUUCUACUACCCAAAAAAAAAAAAAAAAAAUUAAAGGAUUUGGAAAAUGUGCACCUAGAGUUGGUGAGCUUCUCUCUAUUCACUUGAAUAUUUAAGAACAGCUGGGGAAUGUGUGAGAAAAGAGUUGACGAGAGAAAUAACAAUGACUUGCAGAAGAAAAACCAUUAAUCAAGCACACCUUUUUAUAUCCUGUAUUUGGUUAUUGUUGCCCUCUUGACGCAUGUAGAGAAUAAUUAUGUGCAUUUUUGUUUUUAAUCCGCAUGCACUUUAAUGAUUAGUGCUCCUUUCAUAAAGCAGAUACCGGAAACACACAAAUAUCAUUUGAGAGAGAAACUAAACAGCAAAUCAUCAAAGUAAGAUCAAUAAUAUAUGAUUUGGUUAAUGCAUAUUCAAGAACAAAAACAAAAAUAAAUAAAUAAAGAAGGUUUGAUUUUGUUUUGCCAACGCUGCUUUUUUGUUAUUUCUCACUCAUCUUCAAUCCUCAAGUAAAAUUAGGUAAAAAGCAAAUAUAAUAAAAAAACAAACAAAUUAACAAAAAAAGAAAAAAAAACAUUGAUCUUGAGACAACUGAUACUUAAACAGAGAAUUCUUUAUUCUUUUUUACUUCCCCUCCCCCCCCCCCCCCCCCGGGCUCGAGGAUUAGUUUUUGCUAUUAACAGAGAGGUUUUAAGAGUCUGAAUAAAACCAGCGCUUUUUUUAAAAACCUCUUUUUUUUCUUUUUUCUUUUUUGGGAAGAUAGAUUCAAAUUAACCAAAGCUAGUAAUAAGAACACAGACCUUACAAAUGAACAAUAACUUACAACUCAAGCAACAUAAAUGAUAAGAUUAAAACAAACCGGAGAAAUUUUUCUUGGAAAAUAGACGGAAAUUAAGUAAGAACUGCUGUUAAAAGAAAUUAUUAGAGGAUUUAGGAGAAUGUGUACCUCUUUAAUUAUUUGGGAUCAGAGAGUUGAUGAGCUCUCUAUUCGCCUUGAAUAUUGAGUAAGAACUGGUAUUAAAAGAAAUUAUUAAGAACAAUAUUUUAGUGAGCAAAAUAUCACUGUUAACUGCAGAGGAAUUUUGUGAGUAAAAUGCUGAAAGAGCAGUAACAAUGAAUUGCAAAAGAAGAAGACUUAACCAAGCACCCCUUCUAUACCCGAUUUUUAAGAUUUAAUUUUGAAGUUCAGAAUCAAGAACAAAGACGAAGCUUUAAUAAAGCAUGCAGUGAGAUACAAGAAAUGGAUCGGGCAAAAUACCUUACGAAGCGUUUCAUAUUUUCUAAUGAAAUAAUUUAGUUGAAGUUUUCGACGAAUAAAUACCUGUUGUGCUUGAAUAAUUUUGGCAUAUACAUUACUUGUAUCCGGCGAAAUUGAAAAGCACACUCAUUUACAGAGCUUGUUAGUGGGGAAAAGCUUCGUAAGAUGCCUGAUAAAAGAUAAAGCAAAAGCUUGAAUGAAGAAUGACAUUUUAGAAAGAAACUAAAGUGCAAUCAUCAAAGUAGGAUCAAUAGUGAGUUGAUCAGUUAUGCUUUUUGUUAUUUCAAUUGUCCUGUCCACAAAUGAUGCUUCGUUAUUACUAAUUCCACAUGGACAUUAUUUAGAAACUGUUCUUAUGUUUAACAGAAAAAUGAAAACUCGUCAUCAUACAAAACUGCGUGAACAAAUCUUCAAUUUGAUUAUUAUAAAAUAAAGAAGUUUCAUUACUAGAUUAUGCGGACGUUAAUGUUAGAGAUUUCAUCAGAUUAUCAUAUAAUUUACCAAACGCUUUGAGAAGAACAUGAAUUAAUUAGUUAAAAAUUUAAAAAUAAAAUAAAUAAAGAGUACAUGCAAAUAUUGUUGCUUCCAAUCACCAAAGUGAAAAACAGGGGAAUGAUAACAGACGAGUCCCUGAUUAUCCUCUCUCUCUCUUUUUUCAAUCUCUCUUUAUGUUAUGAUUGAAUAAUUGUAUAGAAAGUGUGACGGUUGCUGCAGCAUUAUGAAGUCAAAAUUGAGAACGACAUUAAAUAAUCAAUCUCUUUAUGUAUAUACUCGAAUGUCUGAUAGUGUUCAGACUUGGAUUUUCUAUAAACACAGAUUCGAAAUCCAAAUAAUUGAAUAAUUGUGUGCGUUCAAAUUCAGCAUUUAAUUUCUAUAUAAUUGGACAUAAAUGCGUAUUUUUUAUUUAGCCCAUUUCGGUCCAUGUUCAAAUAAACAUAUUUCUGUGGAUGAUAAUAUCAGGACCUCUGAUGCUUUUUUUUUUAUCAGAAAUUUUAUUUUUAACUCUUCGUUAUUUAGAUAUAAAUUUUUGCAGUCACCAAAUAGAAAAACAGGGGAAUGAAAACAGAAGAGCCGUGUCCUAAAUCAGGAGUAGGUGUUUUGCCUAAAAGUACCACUUUCCUAGCAAAUCUAGUGGGUUUACUGAAUAAAAUUUUUAAUUAUUCUGUUUGAUCUUUCUCUCUUUAUCCUAAGCAUUCUUGGUUGGGAUCGCUGCAUUGUCCUGUAAUCCGUGUGCCUUAGUGAAAAGAGUAAUGGGUAACUGUAGUUAUGGGUACUUGAGAGCUCACGAUGAGGGUAGCUUGGUAAUGGGACUAUCCAUAUCUGAGCAUCAGAGCUUGACAUCUUUGAUAAAUACAUAUGCUUACUGGUACUGUUUUUGCAUAUGUCUUUCACAAAAUCUUUGUAUAGGCUUACAUAGAGAAGAAGAUUCACCAAUAAAGUGUUGGCUCCACUGGCAAUGAAGUCCCUUAAGUGGCUUGACUGGGUUUGCUCCUCAGUUCUAGUCUGGGUUGUGGUACGGGCUUAAAGGUGCCUCCCACAGUUGGGGCCUUCCCCAGGAUACCUCGUGGUCAAAACAAAAAAAAAAUAGAGAAGAAGAUUCGGAUAACUUUCAAAAUCUGAAUCCGCCUGAUGGACGGACUUGACCACACAGCCCCGUGACAAGGAAGUCCAAGCAACUAACCUAAACCGUUCUCCUUUAGUCCUUUAUUAGGUUGUUCAAAAUGAAAUUAUACUGAGGAGCACCCCCCCCCCCCCCCAAAAAAAAGUUCUUUUAUAUAUUUUUCUUGGAAUUUUAGGCAAAAGAAAAAAAAACUGAGAACGAUUUCAAGCGAACAAGUGGAUAAUAACUAAAAUACUUAUUUUUAUAUAUUUGAUAUAUGCGCUCACUAUUAAUAGAACUUAUUAGAUACUACAACUUAAAUAACUUCCAGUGGUUGAUUGAGGGUAUGUUUGGGAUUUCCUUUACUUUCCAAGAAUUAAUUUCUACCUUGAUUCUGAACAAAAAAAUAAUUUUACAAAUAAUUUAUUAGGGUGUUUGGUAAAUGAUGAUUAUUUGACAAUCAAUUUUUAAAUGGUUUACUAUACAAAUCUGGUAAAUGAAAAUUAAAAGUGUAAAAUGUUCAUGUACAAUGACAAAAAUGUACUUGUUUACUUUUUUGUAAUUUAUUUAGAAUAUUAUUAUUUAAAUCUUUUUUAUUUACAACAUUUUUAAGAGCAUAUUCUAUUUUCUUUAUUACAUAUUUAAAUAAUUUUUUAUUAACUAUUUUAAUUUGCAAUAAAAUUAACUUGAAUAUUUUUUUAACUAAAAAAAUUGUUAUCUAGUUCGUGAUAUAACAAAUACUAACAUAUCAUCAAAUUGAUUAAUAAAUUAAGUGCAAAAAAGAAAAUGCAAAAAUUUAAUCUUUAUAGCUCAUAGAAAUAUAAUAUUAUAUACAUGUGUGUAAAAAACAACAUAUGACCAUAAUAUUAUCCACUCAUUAAACUUGCUGCACUAUUAUUUCUCAAUCUCUCCAUCUCUCGACCUUCAAGAACAUUACUACCAUAAUCUUCUUCUUGAAUUCAACCUCCAUUUCCUCAUCAUCAACAAUGCGACCAAUUUGCCUUGAUAGCCUUUCAACUCCUCCCACUUUCCUCCCUUUUGCAGACACUCUUUUUCUUUUUCUUUUUCUGUCUUUAAUAGCUUCAAUGGGAACAACCUCAUCUGACGACAAGUCCAUUCUUCAACUAGGACAGAGUUGGUAGUAGAUAUUCUAGUACUCUCAAACGAUGCCCAAACGGGGUCACCAGUGAUUGUUGUAUUAAAAGACAUUCUAUUUAAUUUUCCUCUGACUCUUGGUCGAUACCUUUUGUACAAAAUCUAUUUACUUCAGGAAUUUUAUACAUAUGUCGAUAUCAUAUUAAAGUGAAUUCAGAUCCUAUAUUAUUGACAUUAAAAUUUAGCCGAAUAGUAAAAAAUUUCCCUUUUUGUUUGUCACACAACUAUAUAGUCCCAUUUUUGGUUAUAAGCUCACGAUAUGCAAGGGAAAUGAAGAUCUAUUAAAAACUUCCCCAUAAUAUUAAACAUUAAACAAUAUCAACAUUUUGUGCAUAUGGUGCCUCGUCAACAAUUUGAUGUUCAUUUUGUUGCUCGGAGGAAUAUGACUACCUAUUAAUUAAUUAGCAAGAAUUGCGUUGCGAGUCCAUGUUUUUUGUCGUUUGGAUGGAGGAUGUGCUAUCUUUUUAUUGUAGAUGCUUUGUAAGGCUUUUGAUUUAAUGAUUGAAUGCAGUCAAUUAACAAAAGCUUACAUACAGUAUUAUGUAGUUGCUGAGAUGUCUAUUCUUGAUAAAGUCGAUUUAUUUACACCCAAGCCAACGGAAUCAAAGCCUUUUCGUUAAUAAUAUACACGGUAAUUGUUUUUGUUAAAUUGAUUUCUGGCUAACAAGAUCUUUGAAAGCAUUUAUUAAAGAAACCACUGACUCAUAAGAAAGCCAUGAUUAAAUACACAGCCAAGCAUGUGAGCUCGUUUUUCAAUCUCUUUGAUCACUCAUAAGCUUCUCUAUACCACUCACUGUAUCAUCCUUUUAAGUCAAUUUUGACUGAUCAUCAGAGAUCAUGCACCCCACCUUGAGAUGAUUGAUCACCAAUUUGGCAUUGUAACGUUGAUCACCUCUAAUUGGCCAUGCUAAAAUUGGGACCUCACAGCCAAUUGCUUCUACAGUUGAAUUUUAUCCACAGUGAGAUAAAAAUCCACCUAUUAAUUGAUAACUCAGUAUCAAUAAUUGUGGCACCAUUCCAUCUAUUAUCAAACCCUUUUUACCGACUCUACUAUCUAAACCACUACAAAAAUAAGCUGGUUAAAUGACGUGGAGGAUCCAAUCUAUUUACAUCAGUUUGAAUUACCUAAAUAAUCGGUGGAUUUGAUGCUUCUAAAUCAUUGGCUAAUGUUGAAUAAUCAUUUAAGGUGGGACCCAUUUCGGUACCAAAUGACAUGUAUAACACGGAUCCACAUGAUUUCAAAUCUAACCAUUGAAUGAUCUCAUCUUCGGUCAUGUUAGAACUUCGCCGGUUGGUUCUCAUCUCACAAUCACGAAGCACUGAACCAGCCGAUUUGUAAAAUUGUUCAGGUAACAAUUGGCCCACUCCCCACACUGGCAUCAACACCAUCGAUCCCUCCACUUGCUUCAUCCAGUGUGGUUGAUCACUCGGUUCUGAUGGGCCUAUUUAUUCUGAACCGGGUGCACCUCACAAAGGUUGUGGACCACCAGGAAGGGACCCGUGAGGCCUGCGUUUAAGAUCCGAUUCGAAUAAAGCAAUAUCCUUGGGUAACCCAAGAAGUAAACGGGCCUCUCCCGGUUUGACAUCCUGGAUGCGAGCCUGCCACAUGGCACACUCCACAGCUGCUGAGCAAGCAUCAGAAGUGAAGAACCCAACAAUGGGAACUUCAAAAUUCUUGAAAACAUCAGCCGUCCAGCCCAUCAUAACGCCGAUGACUACGCAAACAGGUCGGCUUUCGGGUUCCGGGUUGAAAGGAGGUUUCGAAGGCCUUGAAGCAUUUGGCUGUGCAUGACAACAUGGUGGUGAGAAGGAGGUGAUGGUAGUGGUUGAGAUGGGGAGGGUAUUUCGGUAAUUUCAAAUAGAGCGUAUUGGUGAAGAGAGGAAGGGGUGAUGCUGGUGGUAGAAACGUGAGAGGGAAUAAUGAGGGUAGAUUUGUAACAACGAGAAGUGAUUUGCUUGCAUAAUUCAAUGCAUGGAAACAGAUGUCCCUGACCGAAGAAUGGGACAAUCCAAAUCUCAGCCUCAGCAGCAUUCGCAACAGAGCUUGACAUCUUUUAUGAAUUAUUUGAGACUUAAUUGUUAUUGACUGCUUUUGCCAUCUUUCAUAAAACAUUCUUUGUUAUAUAUAAAGAGAUGACUUGAUGGAGAAGCAAGUGUUUUACUUUUAUAGUUUUACUAGUAGUUGAGCUCUGAUUUUGAUAAUUUGAUUGUUAGUUUUAGUUGGUUAGUUAUGAGAAAGCAUCUUUCACAAAAUUCAUUCCAGUUUCAACUAAAAUUAACAAUACUGUUCAAAUUAAUUACUGGAUCAACAAAUAGUCAUAGGCAAAUCUAUCCCUAGCGCUAGAUCUUGAACAUAAUUAUUAUCAUAAUCUCCCCUUCCCCCACCCCCCACCCCCAAAAAAAAAUUUACUAAAUAUCUUUUGUUAUAUAAUGAACAAGAUAAGUUGACGGAGAAGGGUUCUACUUUUACUAGUAAAUGAGCUUUGAGUAGUUAAGAAGGUUAGUUUUAGUUAGUUAAAUAUCUACCAUCCGAAUCAAAGUUCCUUAGACUAUUAUUCAAGUGAGAUGCUUGAGUAACAUAUACUUGUGUUAGUUGGUGCCUAACAAUUCGUGUGAUACAUGAAACCAACCACUAUGAAAUCCAAAUGAAGCUGGUAGGAUUAGAUUAAUUUAAAUGAAAAUAAAAAUUUGUUUAUGCUAUUUAUUAAUCUUAUAAUGUUGAAACUUGAAAGUUAAUUCUUCAACCUGUCAAUUGGUUCAUGACAUGGUUUAAUAUUCAAGUAAAUAAAUUUAUCGUUUAAAAUUAAUUUUUCAUGUGGUAAAAGCAAUACAAAAUAUGGGGUGGAGAGAAUAAUUUGUAGGGUAUACCCCCACCAUUUAUUUAAUUUCAUUAAAAAAAAAGAAAAGAAAUAAAGGCUUGUUCAACAUUCAAUUAAAAUUAACAAUUCCAUGAUAAAAUUACUUGAGAAUAAAAAUUAAAAAAAAAAAAGUAACACAAAAACGAGGAAUUUUUGAGUAACUGAAGAACCAUAGAUGUUUUUUGGUCAUGAGCAAUUUUUGAGUUGAGACAGAACUUGUAUAAAAAAAUAGUUUUGAAUAACUUCUUUUCUUUUUUCAUAAAUAUAGAUAUAAAAUUUUAAAGUCACCAAACACAAAACCAGGAAAAUGGAAAGGAAGCCCCUGUUUCUCCUCUGUUGCAAGAACAAAUUCGGUUUCUACAGGAGUACCUUCUAAAUGCACCAUUUGUAUUGCUUUGUUUCCACGUAAGCUAACGGAAUUUUUAAUGAAAUUAAAUAAAUACAAUCUCACUGACCGAAAAGUUCUGUAGCUGUUUCAAUUCAAUUGCAUACAUUGACGAAACAUUAAAUACGGAAAAAACAAAAAAGAAGUAAUAGGACAUGGGGAUUUCGAGAACUUCUAAAGAGAGAAAUCUAUUUAUAAGCAUUGAAAAUUAGCUCAUUAAAUUUGACAGAAUAAUAUACAAUCUCACUGUUGGCCAGAAAAUAAUAGUAAGAACUUGUGAACAUAUAUAAUCAAUUGUUUAUUACUUAAGCUCUUUUUCUUCGUUAUUUUGAAUGGGUGCAAAGAAGAGAAGUUUUGUACCCAAAUUCCAACUCGAAUUGUGUAGGCUGCUUGCAAGAGCUUCAUUAGAUUUUUAUUUGUCUUUUAAUAGUGCUACUCGAUAAAUACAGCUAGCUACCUGUCUUUUUUGUUACUGGACUAUAGAUCAAUUGACAGUUGAAGUUAUAUUAAUUUGUUGUACUGGAAUUGAAGCUUGUAUCUUAGCCAUUUCGUGAAGUGUCAAAUAUAUUUUUAAUUUCCUUAAAAUUGUUCAAAAUAUGUUUACACUUUUAAAGUCACUAUUAUACAUGAGUGCCCUAAAAUAGGAGAAGGCGAUUUGCCUGACAUUACCUGUUUCCUGUCAAAUCUAGCAGGUUUACUGAUUAGAUUUUAACAAGUCUCUUGGCAAAGUUUGCUAGAAAUGGAAUCAAAUUAUUCUAUUUAAUCUUACUGUCCAUACCCUAAUAGUUCUUGAUUUGCAUCACUGCAUCGUUCUAUAAUCUGUGUGCGUUGGCUUAUAAAGGCUAGCAAGGCUGACCAUUCGUAGCAUAGUUUUUUUUUUUUUUUUUUUCCACAAUGAAACUCCUAUUGAUUUGACUCAGUAUUUAGAGGCGUUAACGAGGGCACUAUACUAGACAUGGAUUUCUACCGCUUUUGGUUGUACAAUUGUUGUAAUCCUUGGCCAUCAAAUCAUUUUUACGUAGCUUUCUCAGAGUUCAUGCCAAGUGUACAUUAAUGUUUUUAUGUUUUGGAUGCAAGUGGGAUUCUAGUUCUCUAUGGCAGUUGAAGAGGUAAAUGGGCAUGGAGCUAUGCUCUAUCAUAGGCUUCGGCCGCUACAAGAAAUUUGAUUUCUUAAGACGAUAUUUUUUACAACUUUAAAUUUGGUCACAAAAUUGUAUUUAUUGUGACAAAUUUUUAAAAUCGUAGUUAAUAAUCUUGUCGUAACUUAUAUUGUUUUUUGUAACCAAUUGUUUUUAUUUUGAGACUUGUUCAUUGGUCAUUAAUUAAAUUUUUUUAUGACAAAAAUUAUUUUAGUCACCAAAAGAUAUAUUUUUUUGGCGCAAAAUCUUCCCUCCAAAAGUGAUUAUUUUGAGACAAUAUUUCACUAUUUAUGACAAAAUAAAUAGUCACGAAAUAUAAUGAUAGGCGACCAAAUUAUUUGGUAACUAAAAGAAGGGUGUAAAAUUGACUAAACAAUCUAUGACACAAAAUAUUAGUAGCCAAAAUUAUUGUUCUUUUGGCUAAUUUUAAGACCAUUUUUUUUUGUCAUAUAUAAUUACCUACCAUGACAAAAUUUAAAAAUAGUUGUUGAAUGUUUUGUCUUGAAUAAUUUUAUAUUUGAUAACCAAUUUUUUUUUUUCUUUUUGAGACAUAUUACUUGGUCCCUAUUUCAACUUCUUUUUGACGAACUUUAUAAUAGUCACAAAAGACUUUUUUUAUUUUUGGCAUAAAAAGUCUGUCCAAAGUUAGCUCUUUUGGGACAAUAUAUAAUCUUUUAUGACAAAAUAUAUAGUGGCGAAAUAUAAUUAUUUUUUACAAAGUUAUUUCGUAACUGAAAAAGAGGUGUAAAUAUAGUUAACCUAUUUGUGACAUAAAAUAUUAGUCUCCAAAACUAUUAUGUUUUUAGCCAAUUUUAAGACCCUAUUUUGUUGUCAUGGAUAAUUACCUAUUUUCAAAAAACUAAGAGAUAGCAAUCAAAAGUUUGUCUUGAUUGACAUUGUAUUUUAUGAGCAAAAUAUUUUGUUUCAGUGACACUUUACUUGGUCUUUGAUUAGACUUGUUUGUGAUGAUCAAUAGAAUUAUAUAAUAACCACUAAAUUUUUUUGGGUUAAAUUUUUAUAGAUACUAUUAAUUAAGUUGUUGACGAAAAUGAUCGAACUAAUACUAAUAUGGGAUACCAUCAAUAGCCGUAAUACUUAUGAAGCGAGAAAUUAUAAUAUGUAGUGAUUUAUUUAGAAUUAUUUUGACUACUUUAUUGAUUUCCAAAACAUAAAAUUCUCAACCCAAAAUUCCCCGCAUUGUGUUUUAUUUUGUCUCCUCACUCAGUUACUCUUUUAGCUAAAGUUGCUUUGGAAAAGUUGGAAUCUUUUGUUUGGGUGGAAAAUUUCCCACCAGAGAUUAGACAUGUAUUCACCUAGUUGAAGUAAUGAAAGUUUUACUUUCCCAUAAAAAAAAAAACUCACGGCUUGACAAAAAAAAGGAAAAAAAUUCUCACAGCUUGAUGGUCUCCUCUCUUUAAAAAUAAAAAUCCCUAGUUACUCUGCUCAAACUCGUUAAUAUUUGUUUCCACCACCUAAGCAGCCACUAGUAUCUUUUUUUUUCGCAAUUCACUUUUGCUGUGUUUCGUGGUUUGGAUGGAGAUCAUGACAAUAAUUGAACGAUGGUGAUAAAUAUCAAAGAAGGAGCUUACAUGCCCUAUAUAUCUCUCUUUGGAUGAAUAACGAAGGUGAACUUUCAAAGUACAGAGAUUUACAUGUUUUAAUUGUCAUUUACAUUGCUGCAUGCCCAUUGCUUGAUAAAAUACCGCAACAAACACGCAUUCUCGAUUUUCUCAUAAAUUUAUUUUCUUAGUCUGAAAAAAAAAUUGAAUGUUCAGAGAAUUUUGAAGGUUUUGGUGUAUGCAUUAAUAUUUUGAUUCUAUUUAUGUUGUUUAACUAAUGAAGAUGAUACAUCUAGCCUCUUUUUGCCCCUUGUUGUUUUUAUUCUUGUGCUUUAUAUACGGUUCAAGUGUGAUACACUUUAGUUUUUCUCAAGUGUUUGUUAGUAUUUCCCCAAGCAAAAUUUGUCACAGACUUUGAGUUCAAAAGUUGAAAUCAUAACUAACAUACUUCGAUUUUUUAUUUUCCUUUUUUCUUCGGGGUCCCAUAUAUCUUUCUAUAUGGCAUUGCUUGAGAAAUUGGUGUACUUAGAUCGUAAUAUUCUGUAGAAAUAAGCUAAUAUUUCAUUAGGUACAUUGUUUAAUAUGAUAAGUACUGUAUGGAAGUUUUACAGAUAAGCUCCUUGUAUAUUAUGCAUUAUGUUUUUAUCAUAUUGUUGCUUGGAACUUUGAAGGAUUGGCCACAGGGCUUUAGUCCUACAAGGACAUUUUAUAUUGGGAAAUUAUCAUUCGUAUACCCUAUAGAUGCUCUGUUAUAAAAAAUACUACAACACUUUGAGGGUGUAUCAAUCGUCCACAUUAAGUUGACAAAAUGUAUCUGUUGUCCACCAAACCGUUACUUGCCGUUUAAAUAGGAUAACGACAGAGGGGUAAUUUGGUCUUUUCAUAUGAUACAAGUGAUAAUUUAAGGGUAUACAAGUGAUACUUUUCAAGGGUAAAAUUGUCAAUUCGCUAUAAUUCCGUUAACUUUCAAACGGUAGCUAACGGUUUGAUGGUUGGUAGAUAGCUUUUGUCAAUUUGGGGUGGACGAUUGAUACACCCUCAAAGUGUUGAAGAACUUUUUAUAACAGAGCUUCCUACANNNNNNNNNNNNNNNNNNNNNNNNNNNNNNNNNNNNNNNNNNNNNNNNNNNNNNNNNNNNNNNNNNNNNNNNNNNNNNNNNNNNNNNNNNNNNNNNNNNNNNNNNNNNNNNNNNNNNNNNNNNNNNNNNNNNNNNNNNNNNNNNNNNNNNNNNNNNNNNNNNNNNNNNNNNNNNNNNNNNNNNNNNNNNNNNNNNNNNNNNNNNNNNNNNNNNNNNNNNNNNNNNNNNNNNNNNNNNNNNNNNNNNNNNNNNNNNNNNNNNNNNNNNNNNNNNNNNNNNNNNNNNNNNNNNNNNNNNNNNNNNNNNNNNNNNNNNNNNNNNNNNNNNNNNNNNNNNNNNNNNNNNNNNNNNNNNNNNNNNNNNNNNNNNNNNNNNNNNNNNNNNNNNNNNNNNNNNNNNNNNNNNNNNNNNNNNNNNNNNNNNNNNNNNNNNNNNNNNNNNNNNNNNNNNNNNNNNNNNNNNNNNNNNNNNNNNNNNNNNNNNNNNNNNNNNNNNNNNNNNNNNNNNNNNNNNNNNNNNNNNNNNNNNNNNNNNNNNNNNNNNNNNNNNNNNNNNNNNNNNNNNNNNNNNNNNNNNNNNNNNNNNNNNNNNNNNNNNNNNNNNNNNNNNNNNNNNNNNNNNNNNNNNNNNNNNNNNNNNNNNNNNNNNNNNNNNNNNNNNNNNNNNNNNNNNNNNNNNNNNNNNNNNNNNNNNNNNNNNNNNNNNNNNNNNNNNNNNNNNNNNNNNNNNNNNNNNNNNNNNNNNNNNNNNNNNNNNNNNNNNNNNNNNNNNNNNNNNNNNNNNNNNNNNNNNNNNNNNNNNNNNNNNNNNNNNNNNNNNNNNNNNNNNNNNNNNNNNNNNNNNNNNNNNNNNNNNNNNNNNNNNNNNNNNNNNNNNNNNNNNNNNNNNNNNNNNNNNNNNNNNNNNNNNNNNNNNNNNNNNNNNNNNNNNNNNNNNNNNNNNNNNNNNNNNNNNNNNNNNNNNNNNNNNNNNNNNNNNNNNNNNNNNNNNNNNNNNNNNNNNNNNNNNNNNNNNNNNNNNNNNNNNNNNNNNNNNNNNNNNNNNNNNNNNNNNNNNNNNNNNNNNNNNNNNNNNNNNNNNNNNNNNNNNNNNNNNNNNNNNNNNNNNNNNNNNNNNNNNNNNNNNNNNNNNNNNNNNNNNNNNNNNNNNNNNNNNNNNNNNNNNNNNNNNNNNNNNNNNNNNNGAGGAUGAAAUUUGCAAAAACCUUGUUCAUAGCUAUGGUAAUUAAGCAAAUUGAGUCUUCUUUUUUUGUUGUUUUUUAUUCACUUUUUCCUGUCCUUAAAACAAAUAAUGAGUUUUCUUGUUUUUAAUAUUUCUUAUAAACUUUAUGUUGUUUGGUAUAAAAUUAGGUAAUUGGAAAGGUCUCAUGUUGGAUGAAAUUAUCAAUUAUGUGCAGUCCCUACAGAAUCAAGUGGAGGUAACAUUGCUACUAAAAAACCUUAUUAACAUAGUUAUAAUGAAUUAAUCUUCUUUAAUAUAUUGCAAUAUUUUUUACUAUUUCUAGGUCUUUCUAUGUUGGUUUUGGAUCAUUGUAGUUGCUGAUUGUGAUUUAUUGCCGCCUAUGGUUGCUGACUUUUGUUUACUGCAGCUACUUUAUUAAAGCAAUUUUGGAUAUUGAAGUUUAUGGCCAACUUUUAUUAGAUACUUCUGACCUUUAUCGAUAUAUUUUCUGAACCUUUACACUUAAGAUGUGUGUGUGUUUUUUUUAAGUAAUUUAAUCCUUACUAACAUUUUCUAACAAAAUCAAUUACAGAAAUGAUUAGGAAAAAACAAGCAAAAUCAUUGUAAAGUGUCUUCUGCGCACCGUGGUUGCUCAAGUCUCAUGUGCAACAUGUGAAUGAAAUAGUACUUGAAAUAAUAGAGACUUUGUUUUAUGACUCUUAUAUUUACAUUUCUUUGCAAGGAACCAUACUUAAUUGUACCUAAUAGAAGAGAUAUCUUUUCACUAUAUAGUCUUAGUAUAAAAAGAUACCUCUUCUAUAAGGCACAAUUAACGGGACAUGUCUUUAUACUAAGACAUCAUUCAUAUUUAUCACACAAUAAUAGAAACUGCAACGGUAGCUGGAAUAUUAUGAAGUCAAAAUUGAGAACGACAUUAAAUCAUGAAUUCUUUAUGUGUUUACUCUAAUGCCUGACGGUAUUUAGUUCAAUUAACACAGAUUCGAAAUCCAAAUGAUUGAAGAGUUGUAUGGGUUCAAGUUCAGUAUUUAAUUACUAUAUAAUUAUACAUAAAUGUGGAUUUUGCAAUCUUGAACCCAUUUAAUUACUAAAAAAGGAUGACGAAUAGAAUUGGUGGAAAUUGACCACAAUCAUCUCUCUCUCUCGGCUUGCUCAAAUUUGGCCGAUCUGUGCGCUUGCUUAAGCUUGGCCGAUCUAUGCUUGCUCGAUUACUCUUCCUAUAUUCAGUCAGAGUCAACUGUUUGACAAGAGUCGAAGUCCAAGGUUCUUUUUUACAGGAUUUGAGCUACUUCUUUUAUUCUUCUUGCAUGUUCACUGAUAGCGGGUGGAAUUUGAGAUGUUCACUGAAGCUUUGAUGUGGUGUUCUGAUAGCGGGUGGAAUUUGAGAUUCUCCUUUCUUCUCUAUAUGAAGGUGCUUGUCAUGUGUCAAGAAAAAUAAAAUUAUUUACAAAAGAUUAUUUUAAGGAGAUUUAUUAUUAUUCGUGGAUCAGGAAGCUCAAAAAGUUUUCUUAUGUAGAACAUAAAAUGAUUUAAAUUUUGCCAUGGUAUAUCCUUUUCUUUGAUUGUGUUGUGGUUUUCCAGUUCUUGGAGAUGCAGAAGAAGUUUAUUUUGUUUUAUGGUAUCUUAUUUAUUUAUUGUUUUCACGAGGAAAUAGCUGUGCUUUUGGAAAUUAAUAUGCUGUGUUGUAAAUGUUGUGUGAAAUCCUUUUAUUGGUGUCUAUGUAAAGUGUUUCAGAUUUCAGACCUGAGAGUUAAUCUUCGCGUACCAGUUGGCUUUUGGGUUUAGUAUUGCUGCUUUUAACAUAAUUGACCUAUGGCCCAAAUCAUUUCUUAGGGCGAAGCAUAUGAAUGAUACAUAUUAUCUUUUUUUGGCCUUAUGUAUUGUUAUUUGCAGUGUGAUUUGGUCUAGCUUAAGAGCUUAAGCUUGCAAGUUGGAUUUGUCUAACAGGGAACAAUUUAAUUUGUUCAUCAUGAUGUUUAUAUCCAUUUUGUACUACUAUCAAUUUCAAUCAUGCCUAAUUUUUAUAUGUAUUUCUUGUGGACUCUCAGGUUCAGUGCACAAGAGGAUGAAGACGAUGGACACCCAAAUUUGAUGUGGAGAAUAAGUAUUGCAAAUGGUCCUUGAUUUACUUCUCCAAUUGACUUGAAUUGGUUUGACGCAAUUUAUAGUGUAUUUUUGUCAUCUUUGUAUGACUGGCAGGUCGUCCUGAUUUGGUACAUGACUGGACUCAGGAAUUGGACUCAUAUUUUUCAAACCAGAAUGCCAACAAUCAAGCAUUUUCUUUUGAAAGCACUGGCGUCUUCUUCAAUGCCAAAAAGGUUAGAGAUUUUUUGUAUCCUGUUUUGUAUUUGAUCAGUUUAGCAUGUGGGUGGCAAUCAAGAAAAGUUAUUCUAACAUUUUUGUGUUCCCGAAAAACUGCUGAUGAUGUGUAGUGCAGGAAAUGAAUUGUUUGUGACUUCUUUUUAUUCGUAUUCUUUCUUUUUUCUUUUCUCCCCAACAGGAUUAUGUAUUUCUGAAGAGCUUCUUGAAGUUGAUUACCUUGUAAGCCACUUUCUGUACUCUAUGCUCAGGAUGUGAUUUUGCCAAGCAUUAAAAUGGUUUAGGUCAGAACCAUCAUCUAAAGUUUACUUAAUGCAGCCGAGAAGCUGUAGUAGAGCAAUGAAGGCUGUUGGUGUUAUGAAGGCCAGCUGUGAAGAAAUAUUUGAACUUGUAAUGAGCAUGGAUGGGACACGAUACGAGUAUGCUUCUUUUCUAUUUUUUAAUUUUAGUUAUUUUAACAUAAUCAAGACUAUAUUGGCUGUCUCUGUAAGCUGAGUAUUAUAUUUCCUCUUGUAUGCUGUGAAAUUCACAUUGUCUCCAGUCCCGAUUCUGUAUGUGCCUUUUUGAAUAUAUUUAAUUAAUCUGCAUGGUGCUUUCUAAAGAUUAUUACAAACUUUUGUUGCUUAAGUAUAUGAAGAAUGUGGAAAUGAAAAUAGCUUUUGAAGUUUGAUGGAUUGCUUCAUUAAUAAAGAAAGACUGGGACUCAUUUUUAUAACUUUUCUCCACUUAGCUAAUGGUAUUUGAUGAAGACAAAAUAGAUGUAGCUAUCUGUAUUUUUUGUUGCUGAACUAUAGAUCAAUUGACGGUUGAAGUUAGUUAUAUUAAUUUGUUGUACUAGAAUUAAAGCUUGUAUCUUAGCCAUUUCAUGAAGUGUCAAAGACGUUCAUGUUUUUUAAAAAAAACAUGUUACACUUUUGAAGUCACUAUUACAUAAAAGAGUGUUCUAAAACAGGAGAAGGCGUGCUGCCUGAAAUUACCUGUUUCCGAUUUUAACAAGUCUCUUGGCAAGGUUUGCUAGUAAUGUGUUCAAAUUAUUCUAUUUAAUUUUACUGUCUGUACCCUAAUAAUUCUUGGUUUGCACCAUUGCAUUGUUCCAUAAUCUCUGUGCGUUGGCUUAUAAAGGCCAGCAAGGCUGAUCAUUUGUCAAAUAGUUAUUUCCAUGAAAUUCCUAUCAAUUUGACUCAGUAUUUAGAGGUCUUGAAGAGGGCAGUGUACUAGACGUGGAUUUCUUCCUCUUUUGGUUGUACAAUUGUUGUAUUUCUUGGCCAUCAGAUCUUUUUUAUGUAUCUUUCUCAAAGUUCAUGCCGCACGUACACCGUUUUUCAUGUUUUGUGCAGGUGGGAUUGUAGUCUUUUGUAUCGCAGCUUAGUUGAAGAGGUAGAUGGUCAUACGGCUAUUCUCUAUCAUAGGCUUCAGCUGGACUGGUUUCCAAUGUAAUAGUCUCUUGAUUCAAUCAUCUCAUUUAUGCUUUGGUCAGAAUAGAACAUUUAUUGUUUUCUUCUUUCCCCUUUCAUGUCUUCUGAUAUAAUAUGUGAGGAAAUUACCUAAAAUUUCUGUAUCCCAAUGUAAUUGUUGGAAUUCAGAAAUAAAAUAAAUACACCGUCUUGUUUUUCCCUCGGUUCAGUCCUAAGUUCUCUUUGGGCCUUCUGCAAGUUUUUAAACAUACUGUGACAGUAAAAAAUCUAGUGAUUGAGAUCAUUUUGAUGAAUUUAAUUUUAAUUCUUAGCUGAUACUUUUUCUGGAAUUUUUUUUCUUAUGUUUCCUCAAUAUGACUUAAAUAUAGGGCUUAGUUUGGUUUAGAAGUUCGUCUAAAACCUUCUCCUUGAUUCCAAAAAAAUUCUCUAGAAAGGUCUCAGAUGGAUUUUAGGGGAGUUCUGUGGCAAAUUUGAAAAGUUCAGGGGAAGGGUCUAAUGAAUUUUAAAACCACAUGGGUUAUCUGUUUUAUUCAGAGGAUAGUGGAAUUCCCUGAAAUUUAUCAUUUUUAUUUAAAUAAUCUUCCUACUUUCCUCUGCGGAAUUUAUUUACAUUUAUGAAUUCAUUUGGUUGCAGGUUUGUUUGGCCCCGCGGCCUUUGUUAAGUACGUUAUUGGCGUUGAAAUGACGCUGCGAGUUAUGGUAAGGUUCUUGCUUCCCCACUUCUUGAAAUUAAAUCUAUCUUUUCUGGCACUAGAAGUUUCCAUAAGCUGUGUUUUGUUAUCGCGCAGUUGUGUUAUUUCAUUCUAGGGAGCAUGAGAACUGUGGUCCACAGCCAGGAUAUGUACGAGCUCACGUGGAGAGUUAGUUUUCUGUCCUUUACUUUGGUUGAUGUAGAGAAUUAACAAGUGACUAAGUCAUGCCAAGUUGCACCACUUGCUUCCUGUAUUCUGAUUUCUCAGGUGGUGGAUUCAACAUUUCCCCACUCAAACCUCAAAAUGGUAGGCCCAGAACACAAGUACAGCAUCUUAUGCAGAUUGAUCUAAAAGGGUGGGGUGUUGGUUAUGUGUCAAUGUUUAGCAACACUGUCUUCUUCAGAUGUUAAAUAGCAUUGCUGGUAAGUUUCUUGCUUUCACAUUUUAUUUUGCGCUGUUAUGGGUUAAUAUGUUUCUGUUGGGUGGCCAUUUUAAGUCAUAUUUUUACGUGUUACUGUAUUUUCUUCAGUCCUUUUAUAGGGAACACACACAUACACGUAUGUAGAGUCACCUUUUAAUGAGGGAUCUACCAUUUUAAUAAAAUGAGGAAUGAGCUAAAAGAUAAAAAUUCACGAACUCCAAUGCAAUAUGUGUGUGUGCGUGUGCACACCUUUUCUAACUCUUGUUCUUAGUUAGAUAUUUUUCGGGAUUUCAGGCAAAUGAAAAAAGAGAUUAAGAGAAAGAGAAUAGGUGGAUGAUAACUUAAAUAUUCAUUUUUAUAUAUUUUGUUAAUGUCCUCUUUAAUGGAUUUCUAUGGAAUUAAUCUUUUUUUUUCAAUUAGUUGCAGCCCUAGAGGAAAAGUAGGGUGAUCAAAUUGAUUUAUCUCAUUUUUUUUUAGCAAUUUGCGACAUAAUGACCGUGAUAAUGCUUGUGACUGCUGGAAACUUUCUGAUGGAAAUAACUUCAGAGUUCGUAGCAAGCAUUUUUGUUAUGACAAAACAAAGGUUCCCGCGAAUUUUGGUUGUUGUUAGGCCACAAGUGCGUUUCACAUAUGCAAGGCGCAAGGGUAAUUCCGGAAAUACCAAUCGUGGCUGACGUGUCAUCAAGUAGUAUAGAGAGAAGAGUUUGUUAUGCAUUUCUGUUAGUGAUAAGUUGAUGGUAUUCUGUUUUGAUAAUUUGUUAGAGUUUUCUAUUAUUCUAUUUGGGCGUAAAAGUGAGGAGGUUAUAUGGAGAGGAGCUGUUUUUUGGGAAGGGGAUCUAGAGAAUUAUUUUGUAGUGAGCUUGCUCAUUUUGGGAGAGAUACCAAGCCUCUCGAAUGCUUGGGUGUUUUGGUUUAUUUCUGCAGAUAAAUACCAGUUUUCCUACUUCCAACAACAUUCUGUUCUCUACUGUGUUGUUUAUCUAACCAUUUCAGUUCAGGGCUUAUCAAAUUGGUAUCAGAGUAGUCACGUACCUAGAAAAUGACUGGCAAAAAUGUUGCUCAACGAAUGGAUUCCAUAGAGGAGGCGAUGGGUGCUGCGUAGGAGGAGUUUCAACGGGAAAUGAGAUCGUUGAAGGAUGAAAUAUAGAUGAUGAACAAACGAUUCGAACAGUUCAUCAAACUUCAAGAGGAUACGGGAGGUUCGUAUUCGAAUAAAAGGGAAAAGAUGCUCAGCCCCAACUUCGGCGGGUUGAGCUCAAGCGGAACUAGCCAUGAUUUCCGAUUCCGGAAACUUGAGAUGCCACUGUUCGAUGGCUCAAAUCUGGAUGGCUGGAUCUGAAGGCUGAACGAUAUUUUUCCGUAAAUCGGUUAUCCAAUGAAGAAAAACUUGAGGCAGCGAUAAUAGCUUUCGAGGGAGAUGCCCUGUUGUGGUAUCAAUGGGAGAAUAGGAAGAGAUCCAUGAUGGUUUGGGAAGAGAUGAGGCUACUAAUCUUGAAACAAUUCCGAGUAAUCCAAGCCGAUUCUCUCCAUGAACAAUGGCUAGCCCUUACUCAAGAUAGCAGUGUGCGAGAAUACCGCCGGAAAUUCAUCGAACUUUCGGCGCCGUUGGAGAACAUUACAGACGAACUAGCUCUGGGAAAUUUUAUCAAUGGGUUGAAGCCUGAAAUUCGGGUCGAGGUUCGGAUCAUGGAACCCAGUAAUUUGGGCCGGGCCAUGGACUUAGCCCAAAAGAUUGAGGAGAAACUGUGGGUGACCAAGGCCCACAAAGCAGACGGUGGGUUUCAUCGAGCAGGAGGGUCAACGCGAGGUGUGAACUUCCAUUCUGAAGCUUCGCAAUCUUCGUUUGGGGCAAAUCAUAACACGGCCCGAUUUUCGGGAGAGGUUAGGAGGUUGUCCGAUUCAGAAUUACAGAAGAAAGAGAGAAGGGACUAUGUUAUCGAUGUGAUGAAAAGUGGGCACCUGGGCAUCGCUGCAAGAAGAAAGAAUUGACUGUCCUUCUCACCUACGACAUGGACGAAGCAGAGCAGGAAGAGGAAGAAGGUUCGGGUGAAGGCGAUCCCGAACUGGAAACGGCCGAAAUUAAUCAAGGGAUAGAGGUCUCUCUUAACUCGGUGGUUGGUCUGACUACACCAAAGACGAUGAAGCUUAAGGCGUCUAUCGGGGAGCAAGAGGUGGUGGUACUGAUUGAUUCAGGUGCAACCCACAAUUUUAUUUCUCUAGAUUUGGUUAGUAAGAUGCAGAUACCCAUUGUUAAAACUGAGGCUUAUGGGGUGACUAUGGGUACUGGAGCGGCUGUAAGGGGAUAAGGUUUAUGUCGGGGAGUGACUAUUCAUCUACAGGGAAUAGAUAUUGUAGAGGAAUUCUUGCUGCUUGGGUUGGGGAGCUCGGAUGCUAUAUUAGGAGUUCAGUGGCUUGAAACUUUGGGGAUGACACACACAAAUUGGAAGACACAAGUGAUGAAGUUCAUGCUCGGAAAUGAAUCUGUUACUCUACGAGGGGAUCCUUCCCUUGGCAAGACUUUGGUUUCAUUGAAGGCAAUGAUGCGCACCAUUAAGCACGAGGGAGCUGGAAUUCUGGUGGAAUGUAAUCAAUUUGAAGGUCUGUGCGAAGUGAGCCCUGAGGUGCCACCGAAUCUAAACCAAGUCCUAGCAGAAUAUGAAUUGGUUUUUAACAUGCCCAUGGGCUUACCACCUACUAGGGGACAUGAGCAUUCCACUUUGCUCAAAGACGGCAGUCAACCUGUUAGUGUCCGACCAUACCGCUAUCCUCAUGCCCAGAAGGAUGAGAUUGAAAGACUGAUUCAGGAGAUGUUAGAUGCGGGAAUAAUCCAAGUCAGCAAUAGUCCAUUCUCGAGCCCAGUUUUGUUGGUUAAAAAGAAAGACAGAUCAUGGCGUUUUUGUGUGGAUUACAGGGCUCUCAACAAAACGACGGUACCAGAUAAGUAUCUCAUCCCUGUCAUUGAUGAACUCCUAGAUGAGUUACAUGGUGCCAGAAUUUUUUUCCAAGCUAGAUUUAAAUUUGGGCUACCAUCAAAUCAGAGUCAGUAGUCAGGAUGUUCAUAAGACUGCUUUUCGAACGCAUGAUGGACACUACAAGUUUCUCGUCAUGCCUUUUGGACUAACGAAUGCCCCGUCGACUUUCCAAUCCUUGAUGAAUGAUGUCUUCUGGCCUUAUCUUCGGAAGUUUGUUCUAGUGUUCUUUGAUGACAUUCUAAUUUACAGCCCUUCAGUGGAAUCCCAUCAGCAGCACUUGGCUCUCGUCUUGGGAAUAUUGCAGGCCAACAGCCUUUAUGCCAACCGAAAAAAAUGCGAGUUUGGAAGAACUCAAGUGGCAUAUUUAGGCCAUAUCAUCUCUGGACAAGGGGUGGCAGCGGAUCCAAGUAAAAUCCAAGCCAUUAACUUGUGGCCAACGCCCACUAAUCUGAAAGCGUUAAGGGGAUUUCUGGGAUUGACGGGGUAUUAUAGAAAGUUUGUGGCUGGGUAUGCUAGAAUCGCAUCGCCAUUGACUGAUCAGCUCAAGAAAGAUAGGUUUGGGUGGAGUCCAGAAGCUGCAGCGGCAUUUGAAGAACUCAAACAAGCUAUGUCUUCAGUCCCUGUGUUGGCAAUGCCUGAUUUCACAAAGCCAUUUAUUGUUGAGAAUGAUGCAUCUGGUUUUGGGUUAGGAGUUGUUCUACUACAGGGGCAACAACCAGUAGCUUACUACAGCCAAGUUUUGGGGCCCCGGGCUCGUCUUAAGUCCAUAUAUGAGAAAGAACUAAUGGCCAUAGUGUUUGCAAUCCUGAAAUGGCGGUCGUACUUGCUGGGAAGGCGAUUUAUUGUGCGAACAGACCAACAGAGCUUAAAAUUUCUUUUGAAGCAGAGGAUUGUUGGAGUUGAAUAUCAAAAAUGGAUCACCAAAAUCAUGGGAUAUGAUUUUGAUAUUCAAUAUCGUAUUGGGGCUGUUAACAUAUAUGUUUCCAUAAUAUUGAUUUUGAUGAUAACAAAAAAGAUUAAAAAUGAUUAAUCUUUUAAGCUCAAAUUAUUUUUUAUACAUUUUAAAUAAAUCAUUAUUUUUAUAUUAUAAAGGUUUUAUAUUUAAUGGAAAAAUGAUUUUAUGAAAUUGGUUGUUUUUCAAGUUUAUGAUUUAAUUGAAAGAGUUUUUGAAAACUUUGAAAUCAACAAGUAUUGCUUGAAAUUUUAGAGAAUGACUUAUUUUAAAAGUGUCAUAGCAUUUUGGGCUAUAUCAUAAUUUCAGAAAGUUUUGGGAUUAACAAAGCAUUACUUAGAAAUUCUGAAAUUGGACCUAUUUGUAAACUUUCAUAACAUUUUGGGCCAUACUGUAGUUUUAUAAAGUUUUGGGGUCAAACUAUAAUUUUAAAAAAUAGUGCACUGUGCAGGUUACUGUACCAAUCACUGUAGCAAAUGGCUAACCGUUUAUUUAAAAACGGCUAACCGAUAAUUUCCAGAAAGCAUGUUCUGCAAAGUAUUGUUAAAAUGAUGAUUCUGGAAACUAACGGUGAACCGUUUACUGAAAACGGUUAACCGAUUAUUUCCAGAUUGUUAACCUUGAACCGUUUAGUAAGAACGGUUAAACCAAAUUUGUUUUGCAGGUCUCUGGAAAUUAACGGCGAAAGGGUAAGCCUAAACGGCUAAUCGUUUAUUUAAAAAUUGGCCCAACGGUAACUUUGACCGGCCUAAACGGUUAACCGUUAAUGGUUAACGGCGAACCGUUUUCGAGCAAACAGUCUAUAACGGCUAGUUUUUCAGCUCCAACUAUAAAUAAGCUCAAUCCAAUUCAAACAAGAAGAAUUCCAACGAUCAUCAUUGAGCAAAAUAUUGAGAAUAUAACUUUCAUUGAGCUUUAAAUCCUUGUAUUCAUCUCAUUCAUUCACACAUUGAGCUUUCACUUGUGAUUAAACACAUUGUGUGAGAGAGAUUUAUUUGUAAUCCUUUUUGUAAAAUCAAGUUAAAAGAUUGUAAGUGUUGGGAUACACUUGGGUUAAGAGAUUGGGGAUAAUCUCUUGUUGUAAAGGUCCAUUGACACCUUGGAAGUCAAUUGUAAGCGUUUGAAGCCUUGGGAGGCUAGCUUAGUGAAAUCCUCAAGCUCGGUGAGCUUGGAGGCAUGGACGUAGGCGGGGAUUGCCGAACCACGUAAAAAUCAUUGUGUUUGUUUUCUCUUCCCUUACUCUUUUAUAUUGUGAUUGAUUUAUUUGUUAUUGCUUUAAAUUAGUUUUGGAUUUGCAUUGAGUUUUGUUUUAGAAUUGAAUAAUUUUUAAUAUCCCAAUUCACCCCCCUCUUGGGUUGCCUAGUUAGUAUUUCAUUUGGUAUCAGAGCGAGGUGUUCUUGUGUAGACUUAACCGUCUAGAGUUAAAGAUCCAUGGCAACCUAUAGUGACUCAACCUUUAGGGAAGGACAAUCCACAAUUAGACCACCGUUCUUCGACGGUAAUGACUACCCAUAUUGGAAAACUAGGAUGAGAAUUUAUUUACAAGCUUUAGAUUAUGAAAUUUGGGAAAUUGUUUGUGAUGGUCCAUUUAUGCCUUUGACUAAAAACGAAGUUGGGGAAGAUAUUCCAAAACCUUCACGGGAAUGGAAUGAAUUGGAAAAGAGAAAAGCUUCUCUAAAUUCCAAAGCCAUGAAUGCCUUGUUUUGUGCACUUGAUAAGAAAGAGUUUCAUAGAGUGUCUAGUUGUGAAAGUGCUAAUGAAAUUUGGCACAAACUUGAAGUUGUUUAUGAAGGCACGAAUCAAGUGAAAGAGUCUAAAAUUAGUAGGUACACUCGGCAAUAUGAAUUGUUCCAAAUGGAACAAAAUGAGAGUGUGUAUUCUAUGAAUACUAGAUUUACGGACAUAGUGAACACUCUAGGAGCCCUAGGAAAGACCUUUUCAAAUAGCGAGAAAGUUAAGAAAAUCAUUAGGUCGUUACCUAAGAAAUGGAGACCAAAAAGGACUGUCAUUGAGGAAGCUCAAGAUUUGAAUAUCUUACCUAUUGAUGAUUUAAUUGGUUCUCUUAUUUCUUAUGAGGAAGACAUGGCAGCCGAAAGAGGCAAUGAGGAGAAGAAGAAAAGCAUUGCUCUCAAAGCCUCGAAACAUGAGAGUGAUGAGGAAAGCGAGCUGGAUGAGGAGGAGAUGGAUAUGCUGGCUAGGAGGUUCAGAAAACUUUUUAAGAAAUCCGAUGAGCGAAGAAAAUUUAGAGACCUCAAGAACCGAAAGGAGAAGAAGGAAGUAAUCAAAUGUUAUGAGUGCAAGAAGCCUAGCCAUAUAAGAACGGAAUGCCCUCUUCUCAACAAGCUGAAGAAGAAAGCAAUGAUAGCCACAUGGGAUGAUAGCGAUGAGGAAACAAGUGAUGAUGAAGAGCAUCAAGAAAUGACAAAUCUAGCUCUCAUGGCAAUUGGAGAUGAAUCGAAUGAUGAACUUGAUGAGGUAAAUGAUCUUUUUACUUAUGAUGAAUUAUAUGAUGCUUUUAAAGAAUUACAUGAUAAUUGGAUAAAAAUUGGUAAAAAGAAUGCAUGUCUUAAAAAGAAAAUGGUAGAGCUCAAAAAUGAAAAUGAAUCUCUAUGUGCAAAGAUUACAUGCCUAGAAUUAGAGAAUAAAACAUUGCAUGAUAGAGUUGCAUUAUCAAAUGAGAAACCUAGUACUUCACAUGAGCAUCUAGAAUAUCACAUAGAUGACUUGAAAAAUGAAAAUGAAAUGCUUAAGAAGAAGAGCAAUGAGUUAAAUGAGAUUGUUUUAAGAUUUACAAAUGGACAAAAGAUGUUGGAUAACUUGAUUAAUUCACAAAAAAUGUGUGUUUGAUAAAGGAGGACUUGGUUAUAAGCCACAUUUGAAACAAAAGUAUUAUAGGAACUACUUUGUGAAGAGUACAUCUACUAACAAUCAAGUUGUAUGUCAUUAUUGUAAUCAAAACGAUCACAUGAAGCUUGGUUGUCCUAUUAAAAGAAAAGUAUAUUAUGGAGUAAAAUGUGUUUUGGUUCCAAAAGGAAAAAUUGCUAACACUCAAGGACCCAAGAGUAUUUGGGUACCAAAGGGCACAACGUGAAUGUUUUCUUUGUAGGUACCACAAUCAAGGAAUGGUGGAGAGUUCCUUGAUGAAAGCUUGUGAGGAUAAUCACUUGAGUAUGAUCUAGGAGAAAAAGAUGAGGCAAGAUGAUUUAAUUGUUUUGGUAACAAUUUUUGCCAUAUUAAUUUUGUUGAAUGAAUCAUGAUAAAUGAAUUUGCGAAAAUAUGCUUGUAUGUUUACAUGAUGGAAUUAUCAUUGUGUAUAACAUUGAGUGAUUUAUCAUGAUGCCUUUGUUUGAUUUUGAUGAUUGUAUGGUCUUUGAUUUCAUCUUCUUAAUUGUCUAUCAUCAUUGUCCAUCUCUUAUAAAUGUGUGAAUUCAUAUGCCAUUAAUUGUGUUAUAUCAUCAUUCAUGUAUAAAAUUGAACUUAGAAAUUAUGAGGAAAAAGUAGUAUCCUUCAUCUUUACAAUCAGUACAAGGAUCCCUUUUAAAUAGAGCAAUUAUAACAGAAAAGGAAACUAAUUAAGAGCUAAUAUUUGACAGCUAUCAUCUAUAUUUACAGAGGAAAGGAUCCUACAAUAUCUCUAGGAUUAAGGCUAAAUUCAAGGCCUAAUUUCCAACACUCCCCCUCAAGCUGGUUUGAAGAUAUCUUCCAUAGCCAGCUUGCUAGUCAACUUAUCAAAUUGCUUCUUGUGCAAUCCCUUUGUUAAUACAUCAGCUAACUGUUCAGUUGUUGGAAGAUAUGUCAUACAUAUUAUUCCAGUGUUGAGUUUCUCCUUGAUGAAGUGUUUAUCCACUUCUAUAUGUUUUGUUCGAUCAUGAAGAACUGGAUUAUGAGCUAUAGAAAUAGCAACUUUGUUGUCACAAUAGACUUUCAAAGGAGUUGAGAAAGUAAAUUUCAGUUCUUCAAGAAUUCUUUUUAUCCACAUAACCUCGCAGAUUCCAUGGGCAACAACUCUGAAUUCUGCUUCUGCACUACUUCUAGCAACCACAUUCUGUUUUUUACUCCGCCAUGUAACUAGGUUCCCACCAACAAAGGAACAGUAGCCAGAUGUUGAUCUCCUGUCAGUGACACUUCUUGCCCAGUCUGCAUCUGUGUAGACUUCAACUUGAAGAUGUCCAUGUUUUUUGAACAUUAGGCCCCUCCCUGGAGUUCCUUUUAGGUAUCUUAAGAUCCUGUAGACUGCCUCAAAAUGCUCUGCCCCUGGUGAGUGCAUAAACUGACUUACCAUGCUGACUGCAAAGGCGAUAUCAGGUCGCGUAUGAGACAAGUAGAUCAACUUCCCUAUGAGUUUUUGAUACUGUUCCCUAUCCUUUACUUCUUCAACCUUAGCAGGUUGUAACUUCAAGUUAGGAUCAAUUGGGGUCUCUACCAUCUUACAACCAAGCAAACCUGUUUCUCCAAGGAGAUCAAGAACAUAUUUCCUCUGAUUCACAAAUAUACCUUCCUUGGAUCUUGCAAAUUCCAUUCCAAGGAAAUACUUAAGGACUCCCAAAUCCUUAAUUUGAAACUUCUUUGCAAGUCUCUUCUUGAGGGCUGCUAAUUCUGUUUCAUCAUCACCAGUUAAAAUGAUAUCAUCAACGUAAACAAUCAAAAUUGCAAUUUUACCGUCUUUUGAGUGUUUAUAAAAUAUUGUGUGAUCUCCUUGACUCUGCAAGAAGCCAUAACUGAUAACUGCCUUUCCAAAGCGUUCAAACCAUGCUCUUGGUGACUGUUUGAGACCAUAUAAUGACUUUCUUAAUCUGCAGACUUUAUCACUACCAAGACUCUUCUCAAAUCCUGGUGGUAGACUCAUGAACACCUCCUCUUUAAGAUCACCAUUGAGAAAUGUAUUUUUAACGUCAAGUUGGUGUAAAGGCCAAUCACAAUUCACUGCAAGAGAUAACAAAAUUAUGAUAGAAUUUAUUUUAGCAACAGGAGUAAAAGUCUCAUGAUAGUAAAUCCCAUAAGUCUGAGUGAAGCCUUUAGCCACCAGCCUCGCCUUGUACCUCUCAACGCUUCCAUACGCGUUACAUUUUAUCCUAAACACCCACUUACACCCAACUAUUUUCUUGUCUCUGGGUGGAUCAACUAUCUCCCAAGUACCACUUCUCCUCAAGGCAUUCAUCUCCUCCAUGACUGCUAAUUUCCAAUUCGGGUCAUCCAGUGCUUCCUGUACAUUUCUUGGAACAAACAAGUGUGAAAUCCUAGAUGUGAAAGCUUUAUGGUUUUUUGACAGUCUUUGAUAGGAAAGAUAAUUUGCAAUAGGAUGUUUGGUGCAGUUUCGAACACCUUUCCUAAUAGCUAUAGGGACAUCAAGAUCAGAAAUAAUUGGUGAAUUAUUGGAAACAAUCGAAGGAAUCAAAGCUGGAGUUGGGAUUUGAUUACCUGAAAUUUCAGUGCCGGAACUCAGUUUUUCAAAUUGGGCUUGUGUAGGAUUGACAUUCAAGUCUUUACUUCUCAGAUGAAAUCUCUUCCUAGUAUAAACCUGAAGUUCAGAAUUUAGAUCAUGUUGAUCUGUUUGUAGUACUUCUCCCCCUGAACGAGAAUCCCUUGUACUAGGCUCUAAAGAACUUGUUUUUCUCAACUGAUCAUUAUCAGAAAAGUGUGGUCCUUGAAUAGGACAAAUAACAUUUGGAAGUGGGAUAGAAAUGUCCCAAAAAUUGUCUUCUACUCCAUUUGUCUCCCCCUGAAGAGAAUUUUUUAUGAAAUAAGGAGUUUUUUCCAAAAACGACACAUCCAUACUCACAUGAAAUGUUUUUGUUUGAGGGUCAAAACACUUAUACCCCUUUUUGUUCGAUGAAUAACCCAAAAAUACACACUUUAUAGCACGUGGGUCAAGUUUUGAACGAAAUUGACUUGGAACAUGAACAUAGACAGUACACCCAAAAACUUUGACGGGUAAAUCAGAAAACAACCUUGUUGCAGGAAAAAAUUCUUUAAGGCAAUCAAGAGGUGUUUUGUAUUUUAACACCUUGGUAGGCAUCCUGUUUAUUAAAUAAGCUGCUGUUAAAACCGCUUCACCCCAUAAAUACUUAGGAAUAUGCAUGUAAAACAUUAUGGCACGUGCUACCUCAAGUAAAUGUUUAUUUUUCCGUUCUGCAAUGCCAUUUUGUUGAGGGGUAUUCCGACAUGUAGAUUGAUGAAAAAUGCCUUUAUCAUUCAAAUACUCACCCAAGUGCUCAUUGAAAUAUUCUGUUCCAUUGUCAGAAUGUAAAAUACCAAUUCUAGUUUGAAAUUGAUUUUCAAUCAUAGUGUAAAAAUUUUCAAAUAAAUAUUUUACGUCAGAUUUUUUAUGCAUGAGAUAAAUCCAACAUAAACGAGUAUGGUCAUCAAUAAAAGUAACAAACCAUUUUUUACCGGAAAGGGUAGUGACCUGAGAAGGACCCCAAACAUCACUAUGAAUCAAAUAAAAAGGUUUGGAGGCCUGGUACUGUUUUGGCAAAUAAGUAGAACGAUGAAGUUUUGCAAAAGUGCAACAUUCACAAUAAAAAGAAGAGCAAUCAAUCCCUUUAAAUAAUUCUGGAAAUAAGUAUUUCAAAUAAAGAAAACUAGGAUGUCCUAGUCUAUAGUGCCAUAGCAUUAUUUUUUCUCGAACAGAAAUUGAACUAGUACUAAUAAAGUUCUGAGCUUUUUUAUUACUAAUAGGUACUUCAUCAAAGUAGUAAAGACCUUCAAUCAUCCUAGCACGUCCAAUCAUCAUCCCCGAGUUCUGGUCCUGAAAUUCACAAUGUGAUUCAAAUAAGGUAAUACGACAAUUAGAAUCUCUAGAUAAUUUACUAACAGACAAAAGACUGCAGGCUAAUUUAGGGACAUGAAGAACAAAAUUGAGAUUAAUUUUCUCGGUCAGUUUGAUAAGUCCUUCUCCUGCAAUAGGUGAAAAACUACCAUCGGCAAUUCUAAUUUUUUUAUUUCCAGAACAAGGAGAAUAGGUAUUAAAUAAAUGAAAAGAACUAGUCAUGUGAUCAGAGGCUCCAGAAUCUAUGAUCCAUGGAGAAGAGUUUAAACAAGAAAGGGCUAUAGGAUUUCUACCUGUUUUUGCCAAAGAAACACUAGGAAUACCAGACGAGAAGUUGGAUUUUAUCAGCUUCAGGAGUUGAUCAAUCUGCUCUUUGUUAAAGUGGCCUGAGUUGGCUUCAUUGGCCGAAGGAAUCCCACGAUUCUUCUCUCCUUGCUUGCUGCUUUUCCAGUUUUCAGGUUUGCCAUGAAGCUUCCAACACUUCUCACGUGUAUGGCGAGGCUUGUGGCAAUGAUCGCACCAGGCCUGUGACUUAUCAUCAGACCUGCGCUGAUAAUUUGCAGUCUUGUAGGCUGCUGCAUCAGUAAUUAAGGCAGAAUUCUCAAUUGACUCACCGGCACUCCUUUUCCUGAGCAUUACGCUCCUUCGACUUUCUUCUCUUCUGACUUCAGCAAAGACUUCGCCAAUGGGUGGUAGAGGAGGUCUGCCAAUAAUCCUCCCUCGUACUUCAUCAAACUCAACAUUGAGGCCGGCAAGAAACUUGUAAAUACGACUGUCUUCCACGGUUUUCUUGUGGUGGUUGCAGUCAUCAGCGGAUUUCCAUUCAUAUGUGUUGAAGAGGUCAAGAUCUUGCCACAACCUUUUCAAAGAAUUGAAAUAUUUGGUGACAGAAUCAUCACCUUGACGAAUCUCUCCCAACCUUAAAGUUAACUCAAAAACCUGAGAUUGGUUGCCCAGGUCAGAAUACAUCUGACUAACGUUGUCCCACAAUUCUUUAGCAGUAGGAUAGCACAUAUAAUUGGAGCUUAUAUCCUCCUCCAUGGAGUUGACCAGCCAUGUCAUAACCAUGGAAUUUUCAGCAUCCCAAGUGGCAUACAGCGGAUCAUCAUUAGCAGGAACCUUCUUGUCACCAGUGAUGUAACCAAUUUUUCCUUGCCCACGGAUAUACAUCCGGACAGAUUGCGACCAGCGGAGGAAGUUGUCGCCAUUUAAGCGGAUGGUGGUGAUUUGAACAGAAUGAGAGUUGGAGUGGUUUCGCAGGGUCUCAGAUGUUUUUUCUGGAAUGGCAGCAGCAAGGGUUUGAGUGGUUUCAGACGUGACUUCUGACAUGGUUGCAGACACGAUUCCCUAUGCUCUGAUACCAACUUAGAAAUUAUGAGGAAAAAGUAGUAUCCUUCAUUUUUACAAUCAGUACAAGGAUCCCUUUUAAAUAGAGCAAUUAUAACAGAAAAGGAAACUAAUUAAGAGCUAAUAUUUGACAACUAUCAUCUAUAUUUACAGAGGAAAGGAUCCUACAAUAUCUCUAGGAUUAAGGCUAAAAUCAAGGCCUAAUUUCCAACAAUUGACAUUAUUGUUUGAUACGAUUUCAUAUGUUUGGUCUUGUAUACAUUUAUGCCUCAUGCAUUAAAAUGGCUUAUAAAACAUUUUUGGAUCAAUUAGUUAGUAUUUCAGGGGCAAGUAAUCGAGUAACGGAUGCACUCUCACUCUUAACAGAACCAGCAGAGUGUUCAGCUUUGGCGAUUCCUCAGUGCCAACAUUGGGAUUCCUUAAAGGUUGAGUUGGCAGAGGAUACCUUUCUGAAGAAACUAAGGGAAGACAUAACUUCGGGUACACAAUCUCACGUGGGGUUCUCAGUUGAGCAUGGAGUAUUGUUCUACAAGAGUCGGCUGGUUAUUCCUCAGACUACUAAGCUUCUUUUUGCUCUCAUAGGAGAGUUUCACACCACUCCGAUUGGGGGACAUUCGGGAGAAACAAAAACUUACCAACGCUUAGCAGCAGAAUUGUAUUGGAUAGGUAUGCGCAAGGAUGUCACCAGAUUUGUACGGGAAUGCACCAUCUGCCAGCAGAAUAAGUACUUGGCCACUACUCCCGCAGGGUUACUUCAACCUAUUCGACUACCAGCCCAGGUUUGGGAGGAAGUCACACUUGAUUUUAUUGAGAGGUUGCCUCGUUCUGAAGGGUGGGAUGCCAUCUUAGUAGUGGUGGACAGGCUGAGUAAGUAGGCUCACUUCAUAGGAUUAAAACAUCAUUUUUCUGCUGUUUCGGUUGCUGGAAUCUUUGUUCGUGAAAUUGUUAGGCUUCAUGGGAUACCACGGUCAAUUAUCUCUGACCGAGAUAGGAUAUUCUUGAGCCAUUUUUGGAGUGAAUUGUUGAAGCUGCAGGGAACUACUCUCAAAAGAAGCACCGCCUAUCAUCCACAAUCUGAUGGACAAACAGAAGUUGUCAACCGUUGUUUGGAAACGUAUCUAUGCUGCUUUGCUUCUGGAAAACCUCGAAGUUGGGCUCGCUCGUUGGCAUGGGCUGAGUAUUGGCAUAAUACUUCCUUCUACUCUUCUACACAUUGUACUCCAUUUCGUGCUCUCUAUGGAAGGGAUCCACCCCCUCUUAUUCGGUAUGAGCAAGGAGCUGCUUCGGUAUCUUUGGUAGAACAGUUAAUGGAGGAUCGUGAUGCCAUACUGGACGACCUGAGGAUGCAGUUGCUUCGUGCCCAGCAGCGGAUGAAGCUGCAAGCUGAUCAAAAGCGCCAUCAUGUAGAGUUCAAUGCAGGUGAUUUGGUAUUUCUGAAACUAAGACCUUACCGGCAGCGCUCCCUCGCUCAACGUAAGUUUGAGAAAUUAGUUGCACGUUACUACGGUCCAUUUAAGGUUCUUCAGCGUGUCGGGAAGGUGGCAUACAAACUAGAACUGCCUCAAACAGCAAAACUCCACCCUAUCUUUCAUGUUUCGCAGUUGAAAGAUAAGGUUUCAAACAACAAACUACAUACUAGUUUUCCUACUUCCAACAACAUUCUGCUCUCUACUGUGUUGUUUAUCUAACCAUUUCAGUUCAGGGCUUAUCAGUUGUUUCUUAUGGUAUUUAUAUAUCCGACAUAUUCUAGUUCGACAUGUAACGAUGUAGUUUGGUUGGUUCUUCUUGCUUUUUGUGCAAUUUGUAACUGCAGAUACGUGUGGGAAAACAUUUAAUGGAUCUUGUUGCUGUUGAUUAGUUCAAAGACAAAGAGAAUGGACCAUGUAGCUAGGCGUCAAGGCUGUGAUGCACAAGUAACUAUUCUUUUCUUUUUUAUUUUUCCUUUUCCAUUGACGGAUUAGAAGAAAAUACUGCCUGUGAGAUACUACAAUAUAAAUAACUUCUGGUGGUUCAUUGAAUCUAUAACACUCUGAGCCCUAUUCUAAAAUAUGUAGGUUGCUUCCAAAAAAGGGCUUUUCUCACUGAUCUUUAAUCUUCAAGUAAGCUUGUUUCAUUUCAGAAGGUAUUAAGUUUCAAACUUAUCGUUUUGGGAGGUUGUAUGGUUGUAACGUAAGCAUCUGCAGGUUCCUGGUUCAACAAAUUAUAGUAUGGUAUUUUAUUUUGUCACAAGGGAAUUAAUUACAGGAUCCCUUUUGCAAUGGUUUGUUGACGGCGAUGAUGAAUUUCGCAAUGAAACUUAUCCCAUCCGUUCCUAAGGUAUCCGUCUUGGUCUUCAUGUAUUAGGACUAUGUUAACUAAUACGUACCCUCCGCUGCAUAGUACACUUUAAUUUGUACAAAGAAGGCAUGCAUUUAGGUGUAAAUGUAUUAAUGGGUUGUACCUUCAAACUUCAUUUCCUUUUUCUACCGAUUUGAAUUUGUUUUGCAUUUGUUCUUGAUUUUAAGCAUUGAAUCAUGCAGGGGUCAUGGAUCGUGCGCCAGAGUGAUGGAAGCACCCCUUGUUUAUUAGGAAAAGCAGUUGAUUGUAACUAUAUCCGCGGUCCUAAGUACUUAGAAGUAAAUGCUCUUCGAAUUUCUAUAGUACAUGGGAUGUGUUCCCUUUCGAAUAGCUUGUUCAAUACCAUUAACAUGGUUUAACAUUGUUCAUCUUUCUGCAGAUUGAUGUUGGCAUGUUCUUCUACUGUUGCUAAUGGAGUUUUGGGCCUUGUAAUUGGUGUAAUUACGGCAGUGGUGGUUGACAUGGCUUUCCUUGUACAGGUAUGUAUGAUUGUUUUUUUCCUCUACUUCUAAAUGGACACAAGGGAAAAGACAUGAUUUUGAGAUAUUGUACUGCAAUUUGCAUAUUUGCAUACUUGAAUGUUCUCAGAAUGGUAUAAUGCUUCGUGUAUGCAGGCAAAUACUACAGGUGAAUUACCGGAGCGGCUGAUUGGAGCUGUACGUGUUUCUUAUAUAGAACUCAAGUCUGCUAUUGUCCCAAAGUUGGAACCAGAGACAUCAUGACUGUGUUUUCAUUUCACCUCAACUGUUUGUUUUUAAUUUAAAAAAAAUCAUUUGUUUUAGGUAUACAUACAUGUAUUUUGAUCCCGUUUUCAUUGUAAUUUCUCAUUUACUUUGAAAGAAAGUCAUUGGUGUUUUCGAAUGGGAAUUUUGCAUUAAAAAAUAAAGAAUACUUAAUAGGAAAUUUCAUGAUUCUUUAGUUACUAUUUUUGGAAUGAGUGUAAUAGUAUUAAAGUUGGUUUCUACUCGCAAACAAGUGAACUACUCGAUCCCCAACUGUGACCACGCUAAUUGUCAUUGUUUAAUAGCUACUACUUUUAAAACUCAACAACUAACAAAAAUACUAAUAAAAAAAUGAUUUUCUUAUGAUGCUGUGAAAACAUUUAUGGGUUCACUUAUUUCCACAAGAUCUAUAACAUGGUCUUGACUUCACGAAAUUCUUUUAAUUUAAAGGGUGCUGGUAUGAGAAAAUCAGUUUUACGGAUUAAUUCCUUUUAAUAAUGGUCGAGUUAAUUUUACUAUACUCAUAAAACUAUUCUUAUUCUGAUAAUGCCACAAAUGUUAUGCUGUUUUCUUCAGCUAAUGAUCUUCUAUCAGGACUAGUUAGAAAUCAAAUGCUUAAAACACCAAUUGAAUGAAUGAUGCAGAAGUUUAAACAGUAUCUAAUUGAAAAUUGCCUGAAACAUGAAACAUCAAUUCAAGUCCUUCCUUAAACAGAGAAUGCAUCAAACAAAUCCAAAGUGUCUUUCAAGUCUGUAGCAUGACUAAAAAAUUGUAAAUGCGUUCAGAACCAAAUUAUUCAAGUACAGGAGAACGAGCAAGUUGAAUCAUGUACAAGAGGUUGACCUAGUUCUAGAUAGCUUCUUCACUGUACCUGAAGGGUUGGCUCAAUCUUUUCUUUAGAAUUCUGCACAUUUUGUAAUUACUCGUGUAAGCAAGCAUACAUUACAAUCAUAAUAAUAAUAAAGCAAGAGUAAUGAUACGACCACAACCUCUUGUGCACAAAUAAUAUUGUACAAACUAACAUGACAUAAUAUGAUUGAGUAAUGAUACGACCACAAUCUUUUGUGCACAAAUAAUAUUGUACAAACUAAUAUGAUGUAAUAUGAUUGAUUAAACAAAAACAUAACAUAACCCUUAUAAUUUAUUUAUUAUUAUUUUAUAUUUUCAAUCAAGCAAUCAUAUUAUGCCACGUUAAUAGCUAUAGAAAUAAUUUGCUAGAUAGUGCCAACACUUCAUUGAUACUCACCAUUUCAUUGAACAAUUUUUUUAUGGUGUCAUUGAGGUUGCCUUCCCCACAUCCUUCAUCAUCAUCUUUUUCUUCUUCGGUGACGUUCACUUUGUUUAGCAUUGGUGUGUCUAAGACUCCUUGAGAGAAGAUCUUCAUUUUUGGACACUGUCUCACAACUACUUGUUUCAAGGACGGGAAUUCAAGAGCGUAAUUACCCAAACAAAAGCUUGUUAGGAUUGGCAAACAAUCAAGUUCCAAGUACUUUAAUUCCUUGAAAACAAUGCAAUCUUUCGUUUUUUCUCCAACCUGCGAUUGUAUGAUUUCUUCUAUCAUUUUGCAAUCAGCUAUCUUUAUUCUUUGAAGAUUCACUAGAUUUUUAGAUGCUGAGAGCGUCAACGCAUUUAUCAACCCGUGACACUUCGAUACUUGUAGUCCCCACAGAUUUUCCAAAUGCCACGAAGGUGGUACUAAUUUUUGUAACUUACUACAUUCUGAUAUUUCUAGACUUCCCAAGUUUGCAAACGCUUUGUUGGAUUCGUCAUUUUCCUUCCAGAGAUGCUGCACUUUGUGUAAUUUAGACAGCUUUAACUCCCUCAAUUUAGGGAAUGCAACCUGAAAAUCAACAAAAUUAAGUUGUAAAUUAAAAUAUGUAUCCAAUCUCUGCAGUCUUCCCCUGCAUAUUUUAUGGACAAGAUUAAUCACGACAUUUUAUAUUUUUUUUUCCAAAUUAGUAUGCUUUGCAGUAGGAUCCCAAAUAUAAGUAUCAAAUCGAUUACCCUUUGAAACACAUAAAUGAAAUCUGAUACUAAAUCCAAAUGAAUUAGCUAGGAAAACAGAGAUGCGACAAGCAUAAUUGAAAUAUAGUUCAUCACCUCAUGUUACCAGUCAUCGAAAUAAUUUAAGACAUUUUUAUAAUUCAUACUAUAAAGUUAGUUAAUAACUACGGUUAUAUUGUUAAAUCAGAUAUAAAUUAAGACGACGUGCAAAAAGAUGAGUCAUUAAAUUUGAUUUGAUUCUAAUGAAAUUAUAUCUGUGCGAAUGAAAGUGAAGGGAAAAAUAAUAAUAAUGAUUACCUUUUCAUUGAAGAGAUGUUGUAUUUGAUUAGCUACCAAGAUGUUCUCUUCUGAUUUUAAUUUUUGAGCUUCCUUAUUAUCUGCUGUCAUGUGCAGUACAGAUGUAGAAUUGGAUAUGAAUGUUUCCAUAUCAGGGCAAUUCUCAAUAGUUAGAUAUCUCAACUCAGGCAGUUCAAUUAUAUUCCCAGUGAAGUUGUAGAAUCUUUUGAGUUUUGGAAGAUCAAUGAGCCUUAGCCAGGAAAGCCUAGGAAACAGGGGGCCUAUAUGUUCUUCCUUAGCAUUUAGCUCUUCCAAAUGAAGCACCUCUUCUAGUGAAUCACAAUUCCUCACUUCUAGGUACCUUAAAUUGUUCAAGCAUCGUAGCAGAUUGGCAGGAAUAGCACUCGACAUAUUCGUGCAGUCAUCCACCACCAGCUCUCUUAAAUUGUUGAAGAAGCUGACAGGCAGUGCUUGGCCAUGCCAUAUUUCUUGCAAGCGUGGAAAAUGCGAGAGUUGCAAAUCCUUUAUAUCACGAAAUCCAAUCUGCACAAACCAAAACAAUUGCACUGGAUAUAUACAAAUUUUUUUUUAAAGGCAUUAUAUAUAUACACAUUAAACUUACAUGUUUUGUGUUUUAACUUUUAAAAAUAUAUAUACAAGGGAGGUGUAUAUGCUUAAAUGUGCAAGUGCAGGGGAGAUGCAUGAACAAUUUGGGUGAAUCGAUUAACACAUACCAUUUCUUCAUAACACUUUUGUAUAGUGGAAUUAAGGUUGCCUUCCCAAUGGUGCGGUUCACCCUCUUCCUUUUUACUCACUUGGACUUUGUAUAGCUUUGGUGUGGAUAAGAUUCCCAGAGAAAAAGUCAUCAUGUCCGGACAAAGUGUCACAAAAACUUGUUCCAGUGAUGGGAAUUCAAGAGUGUAAUUCUCCAAACAAAAGCUGGUAAGCCUUGGUAAAUCAUCAAGUAUCAAAACUUUUAAUUUGCUGAAAGCAAUACGAUUCUCCUUCACUUCUUGUCCAACAUGUCCUACGAUUUCUUCUAAUUUUGGGCAACCCGAUACUUUAAGAUUCACUAGACUACUAGGAAUUCCAACCUUAUUAUGAAAUGUCUGUGUGCAUGUGUGUGUGUAUUAAAAAAGUAAAAAUGUAAGAAUAUCAUUCAACUAGAUUCAAAGUAUGGUUAAUCAUACAAUUAUACAUUUUAUGAACAUAACAAAUUAUGAAAUGUCUACUAGAUAUUUUUUGUCAAACAAAAACGGAACAAGAUAAAUAAAUAAAUAAAAGCCACAUAAACAAAGAUAAUAAAAAUGCAUUUACACUAUUUAGUAUUAGGAACGUAGCAAGAAUUUAAGGCAAUUUCUAAAUAUUUUAGACUUAUUUUGCAUCUUGACGCCAGUUUUUAAACAAAAUUUGCAAAUUUCAACUAUUCCUUUUGGGAAAAAAAAUCAACCAAAAUGCCGCUUUUUCCCUUUUUCCUUGGUCCCUUUUUUUUAUGUAUAUUUAAUUUUGGAAACAAAAUUAAAGUGGAUCUUUAUUAAGUACUUGCAGACUCGAGGAAAUUUCUUUACAAUCAAGGAUCAGUUGUAAAUAAUCAUGAAUUUGUGGUUAAUUAAUGGCAUAAUCAGUUCGAACUAAACAAGAGAUAUUAAUUAAAUUUGAAGACUUUUCUUUUCUUUUUUUUUUCUUUUUCCAAUCAAAAUGUGAAGAAUUAAGGAAAAGAGAAAUAUAUAGAUGAAUUUGUGAACCUAUAAGAUGAGUGACUAUCCUUUAAUUUUUGAUAAUUGUACUUAUUAAGAUAUGAGCAGAAACAAUUAAAUUGAAUUAUAUUAUGCUGUUGAAUCGUGAUUAAAAAAAUUAUAUUGUUGAUUCUAAUGCUGGCAAACCUAAAAACUGGACUUAAAAUGUAGAUUUGAGAGUGGUGGUUCGAAGUACAAUACUUGAAAUAAAUAAUCAGUGGCUGAAUAUCAUUUGUAACCCAAAAAUGGUUAAAAUAUUGUUGGAUGUAAUUUGAAAAAAAAAAAAAAAGAUUCGAAAUGAAUACAACAACCUUACCAAUGGAGGAAAAAUAUUCAUUAGGUUAUCACACCUAGAUAUCUCCAAAUUCUUCAAUUUCCUGAAAGACUCCAAAGCAAGCUGGUGGUGCCAUAUUGUUCUCAGGUUAGCCAUCCACGCAAUAUCUAAUACCUCCAACCUAGGAAGUAGUACCUGGCAGUUAAAGAUUAAAUAACUAAUUAAUCGGCAUAAUCUAUUGAUAACCAAAUUAGAGGCGGAUAUUAACUAAAUUUGAAGACUCAAGGAAAAGACAAAUUAAAUAUUGUGGCUAAAAUUAAUUAAAAAAAAAACCUUUUCGUCAAAGAGAGGUGGAGAUUGCAUUUCAGAAUGAAGGGUGUCUGCUGGUGAGCUCGUAGAGAUGAAUCUUAACAUAUUAUUGCAACCAUGGAUCUCCAGGUUUAGCAAAGAAGGGAAUUCAACAACUAAAUCUGAAUGAAUCUGUCCCGUAUUGGCAAAACUUGUUAGUUCUGGAAGCCAUUCUAGCUUGAGGGAGUGUAGUUUAGGAAAAACCUUUAAUUCAAUCAACUUUCCUUCAUCUCUUUCUGACCACCCCGUGGUGUCGACUACCCCUUCCAUUGACUCACAAUAGCUUAUCUCAAGAUGUUGGAGUUUCGCAAGACUAUUAACCAUAGAAUAUGAAAACAGAUACUUCAGACAAUCACAACUCCACACGAUGACCUUUGUUAAGUUUUGACAACAGUACAUUCCUUGAUUAUGAUCGGCCCAUAAUUUUUUCAUGUUUCUUAAGUUCCUGAUAUUCAAUUCCUCUAAGCUCGGAAGAAUAAUAACCUGCAAAGAAAACCCGUACAUUUUUGUUCCUUCAAGUACAACCGUCUAGUAUAAUAUUUUUUGAUGAUCGAAGAUUAAUCGUGAAUCCGUGAUAAUAAAUUAAUCAAUUAAUUAUUGAACAGAAAAUUAUCACCUUUGGAGCAGGGUCAUCAUCAGCAAUGAUUUCGUUAAAUCCCAAAGAAGAAGUUGGUUUCUCCCUGUCGGGUCCUAUAAACAAACAAAAACAAUAUACAUAAUUAAUCUUUGUUCUUUUUUUUUUUUUGGUCCAAAAUAAUUGAAGAGAAGUCCAUAAUCCCACCAAUACUUAACUUCAACACUUACCAAAAAUCAUUUCCAGAUCAUGGCAAAACUCCACUUCUACCUUUUGAAGCCGCAGUAGGUUUUUGGCUAUGGAGAAUGAGAAAAGAUGCUUCAAUUUGUAACAGGAAUAUACUUCUAUAAUCCUUAAGUUGCUGAAAGAUUGAUCUUCUGUGAGUUGGCUGUCACAUAUUGUCUCCAAAUUGAUCAAACGACGAAGAGACAAUGACUCCAGCAAGGGGAAGACUUUGCGACGAACCCGUCCAACUGAACGGACAAUAUGCAAAAUCUCAGAACAACUUUUUACAGAAAGAUGCUUCAAUCGUGGAAAACCUUCCCCAUCAUCUAAUUCACCCUUCAGUUCUUCUAGAUAGAGAUAUUCAGUUCUCUUCAACAACAGUUUCAUCCUGUAAUUCUGCAAAAGAAUGCCAAACUUUUCUAGCCCCUGGAGCUUCAUCAAUCUUGAUAAUCCAGAUUUAACGGACCGGCUGCUCCACCACGUAUUUCCUAUACAUAUCCUAUAGCUUUGCAAUUCCACAGAGACCAAAUCCUGUGGUAGAAUUUCGGCAUCCCGAACGUGUAUCUCCAAAGUAGUUAGCUUUGACAACCCCUUCAACUCAACAAGACUGGCGUUACUUCCUCCUUCAACCUUCUCCCACUGUGAAAAGCUGUUACUCAUAUAUAGUUCUUCUAAUCGAGAUAAUUUUGAUAUGACAUUUGGAGCUAUCACCACAAGGCUGCUACAAUUGCUCAAAUCUAGCAACUGUAAUCUCGUCAAUUGUCCAAUUACAAGUGGCAACUCCUUAACAUCAGAAUCUCGAAGGCUGAGAAUCUCUAAUUUCUUUAGCUGUCCAACUAUUGCUAUAUCUUUUAGUCCGCAACCAUCUAAACAAAAUGUUUGAAGGUUAAUGAGGCGACCAAGUGAUGAAGGUAAUGAAGAGAAAGGAAUUCUAGUAAGACUUAACACUUUGAGUUCUUCUGUCCCUUCAAAAAAGAGGUCUGAAAUUUGCAUAGGGCCAUAACCCUUUCCAAACAACAAAAAUAACUGGAGAUUGGGACAUUGCAACCUUUCAGGGAGCUCUUGGAUAUCUCUAUGAGGCAAUGAAAUAGCAAUUGGUCCUUUCUGUUUCGUCUCUUCCAUCUUUUUCUCAACGUCAGCAACAUUUGGAAUAUUAAACAUGCGCUUCUCUGCGGCAAUUGAUACGGCAACAACAUGAAUGACGUCAUGCAUUUUAACUUCAUCUUCAGCAUCACCGUCCAACAAUAAGCAUGAAGAUUUGAGAUUGUCGAUCAACCGAUGCACUCUACUCCUUGCUUCUUCCAAUGUGUAAACAUUUUCAAACAAACCCCAACCCACGCCAUAUCUCAAUAAGUCAGAAACUUCUAUGGCAUCACCUUCACUGUACAGACCACAAAGACGGAACAAAGAUUUUGCCUCCGCACUUUCCAAGAAGUCAUAACUCAAUAUUAUGGAGGUGUACACAUUUGCUUGCAUGCCAUGAAUUUCUCUUGCAUCCGAUCUUCUUAGCUGAUUCAAUGCAUCUUUCCAAAAGUCAAGCUCCUUAGUUUUCAGAGCAUUUGCAACUGUACUCAGUGCAACAGGCAAACCUCCGC